rnacentral:lncRNA from 1 species
AUCAGAACCAAGCAACACUAGUUAACACCAAUCCACCAUGAAGACCUUCCUCGUCUUUGCCCUCCUCGCCGUUGCGGCGACAAGUGCAAUUGCGCAGAUGGAGACUAGAUGCAUCCCUGGUUUGGAGAGACCAUGGCAGCAGCAACCAUUACCACCACAACAGACAUUUCCACAACAACCACUAUUUUCACAACAACAACAACAACAACUAUUUCCUCAACAACCAUCAUUUUCGCAGCAACAACCACCAUUUUGGCAGCAACAACCACCAUUUUCUCAGCAACAACCAAUUCUACCACAGCAACCACCAUUUUCGCAGCAACAACAACUAGUUCUACCGCAACAACCACCAUUUUCACAGCAACAACAACCAGUUUUACCUCCACAACAAUCACCUUUUCCACAACAACAACAACAACACCAACAGCUGGUGCAACAACAAAUCCCUGUUGUUCAGCCAUCCAUUUUGCAGCAGCUAAACCCAUGCAAGGUAUUCCUCCAGCAGCAGUGCAGCCCUGUGGCAAUGCCACAACGUCUUGCUAGGUCGCAAAUGUUGCAGCAGAGCAGUUGCCAUGUGAUGCAACAACAAUGUUGCCAGCAGUUGCCGCAAAUCCCCCAGCAAUCCCGCUAUGAGGCAAUCCGUGCUAUCAUCUACUCCAUCAUCCUGCAAGAACAACAACAGGUUCAGGGUUCCAUCCAAUCUCAGCAGCAGCAACCCCAACAGUUGGGCCAAUGUGUUUCCCAACCCCAACAGCAGUCGCAGCAGCAACUCGGGCAACAACCUCAACAACAACAAUUGGCACAGGGUACCUUUUUGCAGCCACACCAGAUAGCUCAGCUUGAGGUGAUGACUUCCAUUGCGCUCCGUAUCCUGCCAACGAUGUGCAGUGUUAAUGUGCCGUUGUACAGAACCACCACUAGUGUGCCAUUCGGCGUUGGCACCGGAGUUGGUGCCUACUGAUAAGGAAAGAUCUCUAGUAAUAUAUAAUUGGGUCACCGUUGUUUAGUCGAUGGAUAUGUCGAUGCAGCGGUGACAAAUAAAGUGUCACACAAUGUCAUGUGUGACCCGCCCAAACUAGUUGUUUAAAUUCUGAAAUAAAAUAAAAAUAAAGUUGUAUCAAGACAAUGUUCAUAUUGGCAUUGUGUGGAUGUCAAUCUGAUUGCCAUGCUUGCAAGUUCAUAAGUUUGUCUUUCCUUGUCACAAGCGCAACCUGGUGCCUUAAUUAAUUAUCAAUGUACUGGAAUAAUCACUAUUUAAAUAUAAUAGUGUCACUGUAAAAUUUGGGUUGAACUCUUUAUUGGUUGGAGAUUUGAGAUCUUGUUUUUUAUUGGUUUGUAUCUAGUACCAACUAGUACCACUGUCUACAGUGACAAUCACAACCAGUUUUGUUGCUAAUUAUGUUUGCUUUCUUGCAAAUACAUUCAUUGAUUCUUUGCAUGUCAAAUUAUUUGCCGAGAAAAAUACCAGCUUUUUCUUGAACUUCACAAACACCACUAGCUAGUUAAUUUGAAAUAAGCUGCCAAUUUAUUUCCUUGUAUUUAUGCCCUUUACAUCGAACCAGUACAAUCAUUGUGCUAGCUAGAGAAAAGGAGUUGCUGGCACGUUCAUGUCUAGAACUAAAUCAGACUGAAUUGAACUUGUUCUUUACAACUAGCUAGGAGCAGAAAACUUACUGUGAAUUGCACUUGAUUAUAUUUGAUUUUGUUUAAGAGCUACAGGGAAAAAUCAUCAAAAAAUGCCCUAAAAUAUCUUAUCGUAAAAUAGGUUCACCAGGAGAUACAGUCGCAAGAAAAAAAAGGCUCACCAGGAGAUAGAUGCUGCACAUUAUCAUUUAGAAAUUAGACCAAGAGAAAUGUGGAUUUGGCGGCUCAUAAUUCUAUAAGACUAUAACAGGUUGUCCAAUCAUUUAGAAAUUAGAUCAAGAAAAUGUGGAACUAAACAUAUUAAUGGCUAGGAUCAUAUUUGCACUGUGGGAACUUGGUAUGCGCGCUCCAACAUGCCCGUUGAAAGCAUUUUUUCCUCUGAUGCACAUAUGAAAUAUGACUGGUCGAAAACAGAAGAAACAGUGAGAUAAUAUGGAUGCUUGGAUGUUGUAACAAACAUAAACUUAUUAUAUAUAUAUCCAAUCCACCGAGCGGACGAACAUCCUAGGAGCUUUUCUCUCGGAGAUCGAAAAGAAACGAAAUGUCCACGCCAACUGCUUCUUCUCCAUCUGUAUAACGCGUGUAGGAGAAUUAUUUUGAUGAUUAUUUGAAGUGGCAUCCACAUAGAGUACAAAGCUAUUCAGCUAGAAAAGCCACAAAUGUACAUCACUUUUAGCCUACAUGACUGAACUCUGCUCCAUGACCUUCUUGAUUCAUGCGGCUCCUGAAUUCAUGUGAAUCGAAUCGCGGAAGAGAUAGGCUUUCAGGGUCAAUACCUCAUGUUCAUGGGAAGGCCGGAGAGGCUGCGUCGAUGUGCAGCCUGAACCCGAGGAGGAGCUCCGUGUCGGUGUCAAAACCGGCGGAUCUCGGGUAGGGGUCCCGAAUUGUGCGUCUAGGAUCGAUGGUAACAGGAGACGGGGGACACGAUGUUUACCCAGGUUCGGGCCCUCUCUAUGGAGGUAAUACCCUACUUCCUGCUUGAUUGAUCUUGAUGAAUAUGGGUGUUACAAGAGUUGAUCUACCAUGAGAUCGUAAUGGCUAAACCCUAGAAGUCUAGCCUAUGUGUAUACGGUAAUGAAUGUCCCCUAUCCGGACUAUGCUCUCCGGUUUAUAUAAACACCGGAGAGAUCUAGGGUUACAUGGAGUCGGUUACAUAAGAAGGAAUCUUCACAGCUGGUCACCUAGCUUGCGUUCCACGCCAAGGGAAGUCCAAUCCGUACACGGGUGUAGUCUUCGGCCUUCGUAUCUUCACAGCCCAUCAGUCCGGCCCAAUGAAUAAUAGGCCGGACGCCCGAGGACCCCUUAGUCCAGGACUCCCUCAGUAGCCCCUGAACCUGGCUUCAAUGACGAGGAGUCUGGCGCGCAGAUUGUCUUCGGCAUUGCAAGGUGGGUUCCCUCCUUCCGAAUUCCGGAAUAGUCUUCGGAUGCAGUAGAUAUAUUUGGACCUGUGUAUAUAAUUGCAAAAAAUACAAUAUUCCACGAGUCUAAUUUGUUGAUAACUGUUUACAACAUCGCAUCACGCCUGCCCGGUUACUAUUUCCAACCGUUGGCUGGCACGUCGCCCCACGUCUCGGGACGCGGUUUUACUGGCACGUCUUGCCAAGGCAGAGAUCGUGUUCCCUUAUUCACGGGACUUUCAUUAAUGCAAGCGUGGGUAACCCAACCGUCCCCUGGGUACAACUCUCUGGGGAUAGGUAAGUUUCGAGACCCAGGUGGAUACCCUUAGUAUUUGGGGUCUUUAUAUAGGGCCCCAGACUCGUCUUCUUCCUUUGCGCUUGCUUCUUCCUCAACCCUAGCCACCCCAAGUUCCAACCCUCGGGUUCCCAUCGCCACCAGCCCUAAUCAUGUCCGAAUCCAGCCGUCAAGGCCGGUGGGUGGCUUCUUCUAUCACAGAGGAGGAUAUUGCAAAGCUCUGCGCAGUGAGGUAUCUGACCCCGGAAAUCCUUCAUCAGCUUCCUGCACAGGGGCAGGUCGUUCCUACCCCCAAAUCCGGCGAGAGGGUAGUGUUUGUGUCCCACUUCCUCCAUGGGUUAGGUUUCGCGCUUAACCCCUUCGUCCGGGGGCUCAUGUUCUACUAUGGGCUAGACUUUCACGAUCUAGCCCCGGACUCUAUUCUUCUCAUCUCGACAUUUAUCGUCACGUGUGAGGCCUUCCUUCGGACUCCUCCGCACUUUGGUUUGUGGCUCAAGACCUUUGAUGUGAGGCCGCAGGUGACAGAGGAGGAGCAGGCAGAGUGUGGCAGCGUCACAAUAGGCAAGCUUGCCAGCGCGGUUUGGUUUGAAGGAUCUUUCACCAAGUCUUCCGACCUAUGGCAGCACGGGUGGUUUUAUAUCAACGAGCCGCGGGGCUCCAAGUGGGAGGCUACGCCUGCGUUCCGACCCGGCCCUCCAAUUCAGCUCGCUUCAUGGAUCAAUAAGGGACUGGACUGGGGAUCCGUCAAUGAAAUGCAGACUCUGCAAGGUCGCAUCCGAAGCCUUACCAAGAAGGGCAUCGGUCUUGUGAACGUCGUUCAAGUAAUGCUAGUCCGCCGGACCCUGCCAUGUCAGCGGCGGCCUCUCCGUAUGUGGGAGUUUAAUUCAGAAGGGCAGCGGCCUCUUCAGCACUUCUUCGGCACCACGCACGAAGGAAUGUGGAAAUUAUAUUUCGGGGAACGAGAGCAAUGGCCGGACACCACCGAAGAUGUCGGCCUUGACUGCAAUCAUCCAGACACCGCGGUAAGUACUCAAACGCUGAACACAUUCAAGCAUCUCUUGACAACAUACUGAACAAUCCGUCCCUAUACAGGACUGGAUAAAGAAAGCAGUGUUAAUCUGGUGUCCGGCGCCCCUUCCCGAAGACUCUGCGACCGCCCUGCUGACGAGAAUGCUGAUUCCCACACCGUACCAGGUUUCUGCGGAGGAGGGCGAGAGCGGGGAACCCGAAGGUGAUACCCGCCCUGAGGACGAAUUAGACAUUGUGUUCGGGGAAACCGAAACUCUUUUGCCCAAGGGCAAAGGUGCGGAGGAAGCUCUCCAUGGCAAAAAGAGGGCUGCUUCCGAAGAUCAGGAGGGGAAGCCUUCCAAGAGAGGAAAAAUGCCAUCGUCGGGCAGUUUGGGCCGGCCAAGCGAUGCUGCCGUAAGGCUUUCUGGCGAGGACGAACCUCUGGCCAAACCGUAAGUGAGGCUGGGGCACUUUAAACAUACCUCAUUCUUUUCCUAUUAGUGAAGUAAUCAUCCGACAUAUGCACAUCCACGUAGGUUAACGCCUGGUGUUUCUCAAUCAUCCUCCUCCUCGGGAGACCUUCUUCCGGAGAUGAUGGAGAGUGACACGCCAUCUCCGGCUUCUUCGCGCAACAGGGGGGAUGAUACCGAGGUAUCGUCCCGAAGGGCUCCUCCCCAUCGUCAAGCGGUGCAGGAAACGGAGAAGGCGUUACCCGAAGGUGGUGCCUCUGUCACCCAGGGUUCGGGAAUCAAGAAUGACGGCCCCGAACCAUCCGGUUUACAGCCGGAGAUGAUUCUGGGGGAGAAUAAGCAGAUUAAUUCAAAGGAAUGCCGUACUCCGGCGGCGGUUUCCGAAGACCCCGGAGCGCCGGAAAUGUUGACGGACAUGCUGCGGCGAGCGUCCAUUUCAGAGAAGCACCAUGCCUUGAUGGUUACGGUGGUCGAAAAGGUUCUAUCCGCGAAAAGCGGAUUGAACGAGGCCUUCUGGAGCCUUCUAAGAGGUUUUGAGGUUUGUGAUGUAGUUUUGCCAAUUGAAUGAUUUUGACAGAAUGCACUUGUUGUAUAUGCAGUAGCCCCUGAGACUCGGAUUGCCUUCCGAAGGAAGCGAUCGGAGGAUAAAAAAGAUAUGCUCAGUUACUAACCUUGAAUCAACUUGGAAUACAGGCUGCCUCGCCUCCUGCGGCUACCCGAAAUACGGAAGUGGCCGAACUGCAGCGAAAGCUGAAUAUUGCAGAAGAUGACAUUGCAUUGAUCAACAAGCGUCUUGACGACUCGCAAGGUAUAUAGUUCGAGCAUUCCUUACACGAAUGUUCUUGUAAUGUAGGCCUGACGCCGAAAAGGGUUUAAUGUGCAUGAUUGCAGAUGGUGUUCCCUCCGUUGAAGCUCCUUGUGAGGAGCUAGCCCGGCCCAAGGAGCAGGCCCGGUGUAGUGAUGCGGCUGCCGAGAAGGCAUCGGCUGAUCUAAGAGCCGAAUAAGCAGCUCGGCGCCGAAGUGAGGAGAAAAUAUCCGCACUGGCGCUUGAAUUGAAGAAUACUGCCAGCCACUGUGAAUUCCUUGAGAAGGAGAAUAAAGCCAAAAUGGCUGAACUUGAUAAGGCCGUUCGAGAGGCGAGUGAAGCUCGGUCUGAAUCUAGGGCAGCUUGGGAAGAGAUUCGGCAGGCUAAGGAGAUAGCGGCCGGUAAGCCCUUUUUGCUUCAGACUAAGUUUGGCGAUCCGGACUAUGCUCAGCUAAACCAGGUCUGGAGUUCUCCGACUGAAUUUUUGGACUUGCCGAAGAGUUCUUCCAAUGCAGCGCAAUUUUACCAAGCGCAAGAGGGGUAUGCGAUGGAGAAGCUUUUCUGGUCACAAUUUGGCGCCUCAAAGCGCCCUCUGUUGCUAAAUGAACAGAUGUCCCAGUGGGCCGAGCUUCAUAGGAUAUCCGGCGACGCCAUGAAGAACGUCAUAAUCCGGUUGUGGCCGAGUGAGCCUGUUCCCAAGAGCUAUUUUGGCCUGGUGCGGCGUCUUGUUGAUGCUGUGCCGCGUAUCGAUGCUGCGAAGCGGUCGGCAUGCACUGAGGGUGCACGGAUGGCCUUUGCCCGAGUCAAGACGUUCUGGGGGAAGAUGAAGGCCAUCGAUGUUGCGGCGAAGGGUCCGCCCAAGGGCAAGGACCGUAAUGAGCCGGAGCAUUAUUUUGAAGACGUCCUAGAAGCCGCCCGCCUGAUAGAGGGUCAAUGCUCGAAGAACAUAAUGUUCGAGUGAGGUGUAUUAGAAUUGUAAAAGACAAUUUUAUGAUUGAUCUAUUUUAUAUUUUUGCUCCAAAGCUUGAAUUCCUCCUCUGCGGCCGUUUUAAUAUAAUAUGAAAGUUUUCCAGUCGUCGGCUUCAGCCCCCUCGUAGGAAGUACGGGGGUGUUCGAAAAAACAUUUAAUCACUCUUUGUCCAAUGUCUUGGUCCGUAAAGGAGGUGAUAAUGCAGCGAACCAGGCAAUCGGACUAUAAGGCGUUAACACUUUCACUUAGCCAUAGGAGUUUUAUGGUGGGGCUACGACAUUGCCCCUGGUGUGUAUGCGGCGUAUAAUGCCUUGCAUAUUUGAUCUGAAAAAGAUCCCUCGUAUGACACGGAGAAUCGCUAAGGAUUCCAAGAAGUCGUCAAGUGGUUAAUCAGCUCUCGCCGCAUCAUGACAGUCAGUUUUCGGCUUUCUCUACUGAGGUGCUCGUCCGGUUUAGAACAGGGCACAAUCGCAGUAGUUCUCCCUUUACUACCCUAGCCGAUAGAGCGGAACGUAGGGUAGCAAGCACAGGAGCCGGGCAACCCAACUAUUGACCCAAGACAAUGAUUCGGAGCUGAUGCAUAUAAGGCCAAACUUGCGACGCCCAAGUACGCUAUAGAGUUGUUGGGACUUUUGCUGGCAACUCUUUCGUUCCCAUACCGAGCCCCUGGCAGGGUAUGCCGAGGUGUAUCUGUAACGCAGCCAUUGAGGCCGUACUCAUUGUUGCAAGAGUAUGAAAGAUUAGUUCGGACGAGGUUUACUGGGAACGGAGCAAUAUGCCAAUGACGAAUUUAAAAAUAAUAAAAAAGAAACCACAAGCCCGGCUAUUUGACAUGCUCGGGGUCGGGUACAGAGGAAAAAAAGGCUUAAUACAGGCUCGGAAUAAAGAGUGUGGUCUACAAAAAGUUAUUUUGGACCUCCUGUCGCACGUCUGCGCCGCCCGUCCUCGGGGAGGGGAAUCCUUAAGGGAAGUAGCCCCUUAGGUGAGUGUACGGAUCCGAACUCCGAUAGAGUCCGUUGUAGAUGCUGUCAUGUUGGUCACCUGUUCUUAAGAAAUGAUACAGAAAAAUAAGAAAAACGGAUAAGAACGUUACAGGGAUUCUUGCAGGCUUGUCCAUAUUGUGCUUCCGCCGAUGCCCAUGGUAUCUUGAGUGCGUAGUGAUGUAUGCGUGGUGUGAAUCUCGCCGGUAUGGUAGGUGGGUGGCGGAUGCCGAACUGCUAUUUCUGUUCCGAGAGUGGUCGAACUUCGGAGGGAAACUGCUUCUGGCCCCUGAUAUUCGGCUGGCGAAACGCUCCGUUGUCUUUAUCGCCUGGUGGCCUCCUCCCCUUGCUAUCGGCGUUGAGCUUGCCUGCCUGCUUGAGGACCCAACAAUUUCUGUUAGUAUGGUUAGCUGGCUUAUCAGGAUGACCAUGAAUCUGACAAGGUCGGUCCAAUAUUCUGUCAAGGGUGGAUGAUCCAUCCUGGUUUGCCUUUAGUGGCUUCUUCCAUUGACCGGGUUUCGAAUUGUGAAAUUCGGCGUUGACCGCUGUGUCGCGUAAUCCUUCAGUAUUAUUGCGACUGUUGUGUUCGGUUCGUCGAGGCUUACCGUUGCCGUCUUGAAUUUCGGAAGUGCCCGGGUCACUGGCGUUGUUGCUCUUACGAGCGAGCCAGGUGUCUUCUCCCGCACAAAAGCGAGUCAUCAGAGCGGUAAGGGCUAUCAUGGAUUUGGGUCCUUCCUGGCCGAGGUGACGCGCUAGCCAUUCAUCCCGGAUGCCAUGUUUGAAGGCUGCGAGGGCUUCUGCGUCCGGACAGUCGACAAUAUGUUUUUUUUUUUGACUAAGAACCUAGUCCAGAGCUCCCUGGCGGACUCGCCGGGCUUCUGGACAAUAUGACCAAAGUCAUCAGCAUCUAGUGGCCGGACAUAUGUUCCCUGGAAGUUGUCUCGAAAGGCGUCUUCCAAGUCUUCCCAGCUACCAAUAGAAUUUUCUGGUAAACUGUUUAGCCAGUACCGGGCUAGCCCUUUAAGCUUGAGAGGUAUGUAUUUAAUGGCAUGAAGGUCGUCUCCGCGAGCCAUGUGGAUAUAUAUGGAGGAGGUAAUCCUCAAUCCAUACCGCGGGAUCUGUUGUUCCAUCGUAUGAUUCGAUAUUAAUGGGUUUAAACCCGUCUGGAAAUUCAUGCUCCAUUACCUCGUCGGUGAAGCAAAGAGGGUGUGCGGCUCCUCUAUGUUGAGCCACACUAUGAAGCACCUCCGGCGGACUCUGUUUACGGAGUUCGGAUCGAGCGUGGUCGGCUCUGUUGUGUCCGAAUAGGUGACCAUCAUUACGGUCGGGGCAUGUCCCCGCGAUCUGUGUAUUGACUUCGUGUGUCAUGUUCUACCCUCCAGGUCCUUGGAUGUCGCGAGUGUUCCCCCGAGCUGUGUUGUUCUUGUUUUGAUGGCCGGAUGGGUUGGUAUGAUGCUCUGCUUGGGCUACUGCUUUGUCCGGACCGAACUGUGGUCGGCCUACAUCCUUAUUCGAUGGUGGUGUGGGCUUCAACGCCCUGCCAUCGUAUUGAGGGGGCCACCUGCUGUUGGGGUGGCUCUUGUCUGGGCCAAUAAGGCCGUAUUGUUCGGCGGCCAAGACCUCGGUCCAUCUAUCAUUGAGCAAAUCUUGGCUCGCUUUAAGCUGCAGCUGCUUCUUUCUUAGGCUCCUUGCAGUGGCUAUGAGCUGGCGUUUAAAGUGCUCCUGCUCGAGAGGUUCCUUAGGCACGAUAAAAUCCUUGUUGUCGAGGAUCUCCUCUUCCUCGGAGAGUGGGAGAUAAUUGCUAUCCUCUGAGUCUCCAUAUGUUACCUGUUCAUCAGGGUUGUCUUGCCCGCCUUCCUGUUCCUCCUGUUCGGAUCCUACCUCAACAGGGUCUUCAUCGUCCGGAGUGUUGUCUUCUCCGGUGCAAGUGUUAUUUUCUCUUGAGCGUCGUGACUUGGAGCGGCGCAAGGCGCGCCGGUGUUCGGACUAUGCACCAGGAGGCUUAUCCUCAAUUGGAUCCUCCUUGUCAUCGUCGAAAGCAUCGUUGGGUGUGUCUAUCAUACACACGUCAUACCAUGAAGUGGUCAUCCCGCGUCUAGCGGGUAGUGAGUUCUGGCCUUGCCCCUCAUCGUCGUCCGUACCGUCGAUGUCUUCAGGGCCGAGGUCAAGCGUGUUGGUUGGGUCUUCGACAGUGGCUAUGAAGUGGGUGGUGGGUGGGAAGCAAAAUUCUCCAUCAUCAGCCGUAAGUUCGAGCCGAACAUAGUUCAGUGGCGAGUCGCCUACCAGAGAUAGGUUUUUUAGUGAGUUUAGUACAUCGCCCAUGGGCGAGUGUUGGAAGACGUCUGCGGCGCUGAACUUGAAGAUCGAUAACCGAUCGAGUUCGGCAUCUGCAGACUCGCAAGGUUCGGAACCUGUCGCCGGGGACGAAUCCGGGGUUCCGCUGAUGCGGAUAUCAUACGCAGUAGAAUCUGUGUGCGGCUCGAACGCCGCCGAAUCGGUAGCCCUCGUGAUGGGGUUGAGCUUCCCAUCCCGGGACGACUUGAUCUGCUCCGGAUCUAAGGCCAGAGUUGCUGUAGGAGCUAUCUCCUCGAUGCGGCCCAAUGACAGGUUUAAGCCAUGUCCAUCGAGGCGGCGGGAGCGAUUGCCGCGGUCUUGAAUCCGUCGAAGAUCAAGUCUCCACGGACGUCCCCAACGUAGUUCAAGCUUCCGAAUCUGACCUGAUGGCCAGGGGCGUAGCUGUCGAUCUGCUCCAGAUGGCCAAGCGAGUUGGCCCGCAGUACGAUGCCACCGAACACGAAGAUCUGUCCGGGGAAAAAGGUUUCUCCCUGGACAACGUCACCAUCGACGAUUGAAGGGGCCAUCGAACCUUUUGUCGACGGCACAGUGGAACUCUCAAUGAAAGCACCAAUGUCGGUGUCAAAACCGGCGGAUCUCGGGUAGGGGGUCCCGAACUGUGCUUCUAGGAUCGAUGGUAACAGGAGACGGGGGACACGAUGUUUACCCAGGUUCCGGCCCUCUCUAUGGAGGUAAUACCCUACUUCCUGCUCUAUUGAUCUUGAUGAAUAUGAGUGUUACAAGAGUUGAUCUACCACGAGAUCGUAAUGGCUAAACCCUAGAAGUCUAGCCUAUGUGUAUAUGGUAAUGAAUGUCCCCUAUCCGGACUAUGCUCUCCGGUUUAUAUAGACACCGGAGAGAUCUAGAGUUACAUGGAGUCGGUUACAUAAGAAGGAAUCUUCACAGCUGGUCGCCUAGCUUGCCUUCCACGCCAAGGAAAGUCCAAUCCGGACACGGGUGUAGUCUUCGGCCUUCGUAUCUUCACAGCCCAUCAGUCCGGCCCAAUGAAUAACAGGCCGGACGCCCGAGGACCCCUUAGUCCAGGACUCCCUCACUCGGAGACCUUCUUGUGGGGACCAUCUACGAGAGGAAGUAAAGAGGGAGAUCAGAAGAGGAUACAUGAGAGGUUAGGGUGGGGAGGAGGCUGCGCCGGCGAGCGGCCACGGCUCAAGGCGGUCCGGCCGACGAGGAGGACGAACAAGGGAGAGGAAGAUGCAGAUCGGCAAACUGUGGGUUGGGCUUAUGACGUUGGGUUCUCACAAAACUAUAGCCCAUUUCGAAUUUGGUGCCCGUGACGACACACACACAACGCUUAUGUUGGGCCUAAUCACUCACUUCCAGCCCCCAACUCUGAUUUCCCCCUCAAAGAAAAACAAAACUUCAACCCUUCUCACUCCCCAUGAUCACAACAACAACAACAGAAAUAUCUAUAUGCAAGAUCAGGAAAUAUCUAUAAGGGGCAUUCAGAACACAUGUGACCUAAUCGCUAUAACAGCUUGAUAUUAUGGUGGGAUAGACAUAAACUGGUUCACGAAGGAAAGUUUCAUGAUGCAAACCAAAAUUCAAGGGGAGCACGUGCUAUAAUGGCAAACUAUGUUAAUGCCUACUCCCCUAAAGCAACUAGUAAAACAGGGGGAUGGAGUAUCCCUUCUAGGGUUUUUGUGAAGCUGAAUAUUGAUGUAUCUUUUCAUCAUGGUCUGCUUCAGGGUACAUCGGGGGUUAUUCUUAGACAUUACAAAGGCAGGCUCAUUGUCGGUGGAAACUGGAGGAUAGAUUGUCGUGCGGAUGUAUUAGCAGCAGAAGUUGUGGUGCUAAAGUUUGGGUUAUUCCUUGCACAGAAGGCGGAUUGCAAUCGUCUUGUUGUUAACUCGUACAGUACAUAAGUGAUUGACACAAUAAAGAAUGGAUGACACUCGACCGGAGCGGCGGUUGUAGUUUUCUAUGAUUGUUAAUUUUUGGGCUUGUGAUUUUUCUUUUAUUAGAUUUGAACUUUGUAAUAGGGAAGUAAAUAAGAUGGCAAAUGAAAUUGCUAGGCCAGCGAAAUUUUUUGUCACUAGUGAUUGGUUUGAGGAGUGAAUGAGAUUGUGCCUUUUUUAUUGACAAUGUAACAGUUGUUUCUAAUAAAUAAAGUUGAAGUUUUAUUGAAAAGGACAACAACAAGAAAAAAUAUCCUCAUCUUGUCCCAAGGGAUCUGAAACCCCAGUAUCCUUGCAUCUUUCUUUUGCAUGGCAUGUACAUAAGAUUUUCUUUGUUAGUAGCAUGUGUUGUUGGCGGUGGCGGCAUGAUGUUAGAGGUGACAUGUGUGGACGGAUGAUUGUUUCGACUCCAUUUAUUCUUAGGGCCUGUACAAUGCUAGGUGUUCAGCGAAGUGCUUAGAAAAAUAAACUGAGUUUUUAAAGCAUUUUUUAAGCACCGAUGUCUAUUUCUAAUGAUGAGAGACACCUAAUUAGACGUUUACCCUAUACAAAUAAACGUCGAUGCUUUAAGAAAUACUGAUUUAUUUAUCUAACAACCUUUCUUACGCACCUUACAUGGUAAGGUUCGAGAGCUAGUGGCGUCUUGGUUUCUCUUGUUUCUGUCACAUCAAUAUCAUGCUUUGGAUAUAUUCCAGUGCCCUUUUAUUGAUCACUGCCUAUGGCCAUUGAAAUGAGAUCUGGGACUCGGCCAGCUGCAAGAUACCUCUAGAAAGCGAAUUUCCUCUGACGCACAUAUGAAAUAUGACAGUACAAAAUAGAACAAACACUAAGAUUAGACAGAUGAUUGGAUGAUGUAACUAACUUAGACAUCGCUGCACCCAGGACGGACUUUCUUCUCAGACAUCAGAGAGAAACUGAGUGUCCAUGCUGUCAGAGACGCUGGCCAUUGGGCGUUGUCAGUGACUUUAGUCUCGCCUCGGAUAUGGGAGGGGCUAGAACCACCUUAUAAGGAGGAGUGCCACACUCCCUUCAGGCUAGUCUUUUGCGAUGUGGUGGACUCUUUGCUUAUAGUGGUGUGUCUGAUGCACACCGGAAACGUCCGAACAUAUGCCGAAGGUUGGGAGCCGGGCCUGGGACGCUAACAAUUGGUAUCAUAGCUGGGCCCCAGUCUGCCCUGUUUUAGGGGGAUGAGGUGUCAGAGACGCUGGCCAUUGGGCGUUGCCAGUGACUUUAGUCCCACCUCGAAUAUGGGAGGGGGCUAGGACCACCUUAUAAGGAGGAGUGCCACACUUCCUUCAGGCUAGUCUUUUGGGAUGUGAUGGACUCUUUGCUUAUAGUGGUGUGUCCGAUGCGCACCGAAAAUGUUCGAACAUAUGCCAGAGGUUGGGAGCUGGGCCUGGAACGCUAACACAUGCCAACUGCUUCUCCUCCACUCCACCUGCAUAGCACGCAUAGGAGGAAAUUUGAUGAUUAUUUGAAGUGAUAUCCACAUAAAGCACAGAGUUACUCAGCUAGCAAAGCACCUAUGUACAUCACUGUAUGGCUACCCAACUGAAAAUUCUGCUUCCUGACCCUCCUGAUUCAUGCGGGUGGCAUGGAGAUGGGUACGCCUCUCGAAUCCAUGUGAAUCGAAUCGUUGGAACAGAUGGACGGACAGGGUCGAUACCUUGUGUAGAUGGGGAGGGGAGGCCGGAGUGGCUGCCGUCGACCGACGUACGGCCCGCAGCCGACGGAGGAGCUUCAAAAGUGACCUUUUUGUCGAGCGAUGGCGGUGGUGGUGGGGUGCCGGAUGCGGAGGGUGGUGGGAAGCCGGAUGCGGAGGGUGGAAGGAAGGCUGACGCCUCCGUCGCCGCGGACGUACGAGGAGCGGCCGCGAGCGGUGGGGUCCGGGAGAGGCUGCGCCGGCGAGCGGUCCGGCCGGCGAGGAGGACGGGGAAGGGGAGACGAAGACGACGCAGAUCGGCGGAGUGUGGGCUGGGCUUGUGACGUUGGGGCCUCCGAAAACUAUAUCCCAGUUCGAAUUUGGUGCCCUAACACACAACUCUUACGUUGGGCCUAAUCACUCCCUCCUGGCUCCAUCUAUCAUUCCCCAAAAAAAAUCCUUCACACAUAGAUGGAACUGAUGAUUCUCAAAAGAAAAAGAGAUGGAACUGAUUGUGUCAUGUCUUAAAAAAAAGAUCGAACUGAUUGUCUAAAAAAAACAUAGAUGGAACUGAUGAUUUAUCUCCGAAAAAAAGAUGGAACUGAUGAUGACGUGUCUAGAGUUAGGACCGGAUAUAUGUUAGUAGGAGUAGCUUGUAAGAAAUUACCAUCCUUUACAUAUAACGGGAAUUCGAUGAGUCAUGUCAUGCUCUAGAGGCGUCAGUUCAUCUUAUCAUCUUAGAGGAAACUACAAAGUUAUUUUUAUGAAAAGCAACCAACUCUAGAAGAACCCUCCACACGCAAGGCUUUAAUAAUCGAGCAUAUCUUAACAGCCCACACACGAUUGCAAACUUAGUCCUACACAAGCUUUGCCUUUCUUCUUUACGGCUGACAGCCUAUACAAGGUUUCAAACUCGGUUGCAAAAGUGAUACUAUCCUGAUAAGUGUGUGACAUGUAAAGUGAAUAAGGUGAGUCAUAUAUAGCAAACAUCGGGGUUUCUGUACUUUGUGUGUGAUCAUAUGCACAAUUAAAAAGCAACUUUGAUGAUCAAUCCAAAAGUACGCGUGUAGCUAGUGCAACCUAACGCAUUGUACCAAAAAUCAUUUCAGAUGCAUCCAAACGGAAUAAUUAAAGCUAAUGCAAAGAAGAAAAGAGGUGGUGCCCAGGCUACUAUAAAUAGGCAUGAAGUAUAAAGAUCAUCACAAGCACAAGCAUCAAAACCAAGCAACACUAGUUAACACUAAUCCACCAUGAAGACCUUCCUCAUCUUUGCCCUCCUCGCCGUUGCGGCAACAAGUGCCAUUGCACAAAUGGAGAAUAGCCACAUCCCUGGUUUGGAGAAACCAUCGCAGCAACAACCAUUACCACUGCAACAAACAUUAUCGCACCAACAACAACAACAACCUGUCCAACAACAACCACAACCAUUUCCACAACAGCAACCAUGUUCACAGCAACAACAACCACCAUUAUCGCAGCAACAACAACCACCAUUUUCACAACAACAACCACCAUUUUCGCAGCAACAACAACCAUCAUUUUCGCAGCAACAACAACCACCAUUUUCACAGCAACAACCACCAUUUUCGCAGCAACAACAACCAGUUCUACCGCAACAACCAUCAUUUUCGCAGCAACAACUACCACCAUUUUCACAGCAACAACCACCGUUUUCGCAACAACAACAACCAGUACUACCGCAACAACCACCAUUUUCGCAACAACAACAACCAAUUCUACCGCAACAACCACCAUUUUCGCAACAACAACAACAACCAGUUCUACCGCAACAACAAAUACUAUUUGUUCAUCCAUCUAUCUUGCAGCAGCUAAACCCAUGCAAGGUAUUCCUCCAGCAGCAAUGCAGCCCUGUGGCAAUGCCACAAAGUCUUGCUAGGUCGCAAAUGUUGCAGCAGAGCAGUUGCCAUGUGAUGCAACAACAAUGUUGCCAGCAGUUGCUGCAAAUCCCCCAGCAAUCCCGCUAUGAGGCAAUCCGUGCUAUCAUCUACUCCAUCAUCCUGCAAGAACAACAACAGGUUCAGGGUUCCAUCCAAACUCAGCAGCAGCAACCCCAAGAGUUGGGCCAAUGUGUUUCCCAACCCCAACAGCAGUCGCAGCAGCAACUCGGGCAACAACCUCAACAACAACAAUUGGCACAGGGUACCUUUUUGCAGCCACACCAGAUAGCUCAGCUUGAGGUGAUGACUUCCAUUGCGCUCCGUACCCUACCAACGAUGUGCCGUGUCAAUGUGCCGUUGUAUAGAACCACCACUAGUGUGCCAUUCGGCGUUGGCGCCGGAGUUGGUGCCUACUGAUAAGGAAAGGUCUCUAGUAAUAUAUAGUUGGAUCACCGUUGUUUAGUCGAUGGAUAUGUCGAUGCAGCGGUGACAAAUAAAGUGUCACACAACGUCGUGUGUGACCCGCCCAAACUAGUUGUUUAAAUUCUGAAAUAAAAUACAAAUAAAGUUGUAUCAAGACAAUGUUCAUAUUGGCAUUGUGUGGAUGUCCAUAUGAUUGCCAUGCUUGCAAGUUCAUAAGUUUGUCUUUCCUGGUCACAAGCGCAACCUGGUGCCUUAAUUAAUUAUGCAUGUAUUGGAAUAAUUACUAUUUAAAUAUAAUAGUGUUACUGUAAAAUUUGGGUUGAACUCUUUAUCGGUUGGAGAUUUGAGAUCUUGUUUUUUAUUGGUUUGUAUCUAGUUCCAACUACUACCAUUGUCUAUAGUGACAAUCACAACCAGUUUUAUCGUUAAUCAUGUUUGCUUUCUUGCAAAUACAUUCAUUCAUUCUUUGCAUCUUAACUUAUUUGUCGAGAAAAGACCAGCUUUUUCUUGAACUUCACAAACACCACUAGCUAGUUAAUUUGAAAUAAGCUUCCAAUUUAUUUCCUUGUAUUUAUGUCCUUUACAUCAAACCAGUACAAUUAUUGUGCUACCUAGAGAAAAGGAGUUGCUGGCAGCACGGUCAUGUCAAGAACUAAAUCAGAUUGAAUUGAACUUGUUCUUUACAACUAGCUAGGAGCAGAAAACUUACUGUGAAUUGCACUUGAUUAUAUUUAAUUUUAUUUAGGGCUACAGGAAAAAAAUCAUCAAAGAAUGCCCUAAAAAAAUCUUAUCGUAAAAUAGGUUCAUCAGGAGAUACAGUCGCAAGAAAAAAAGGUUCACCAGGAGAUAGAUGCUGCACAUUAUCAUUUACUCCCUCCAUUCCAAAAUAGAUGACUCAAUUUUAUACUAACUUUAGUCAACUUUGUACUAACUUUAUACUAAAGUUAGUACAAAGUUGAGUCAUCUAUUUUGGAACGGAGGGAGUAGAAAUUAGACCAAGAGAAAUGUGGAUUUGGCGGCUCAUAAUUCUAUAAGACUAUAGCAGGCUGUCCAAUCAUUUACAAAUUAGAUCAAGAAAAUGUGGAAUUAAACAUAUUAAUGGCUAGGAUCAUAUUUGCAAUGUGCGAUUGGUAUGCACGCUCCAACAUGACCGCUGAAAGCAUUUUUCCUCUGAUGCACAUAUGAAAUAUGACUGGUAGAAAACAGAAGAAACACAGAGAUUAUAUGGAUGAUUGGAUGUUUUAACAAACUUAAACUUAUAAUCCACCGAGCGGACGAACUUCCUAGGAGCCUUUCUCUCGGACAUCGAUAAGAAACGAAAUGUUCCACGCGAACUUCUUCUUCUCCAUCUGUAUAACGCAUGCAGAAGAAUUAUUUUGAUGAUUAUUUCAAGUGGCAUCCAUAUAGUGUACAAAGCUAUUUAGCUAGAAAAGCCACAAAUGUACAUCACUGUCAGGCUACACGACUGAAUUCUGCUCCAUGACCUUCCUGAUUCAUGCGGCUCCUGAAUUUAUCUGAAUCGAAUCAUGGAAGAGACAGGCUUUCAGGGUCGAUAGCUCAUGUUCAUGGGGAGGCCAAAGAGGCUGCGUCGACGUACGGCCUGAAACCGACGAGGAGCUCGAAGACCUUCUUGUAGAGACCAUCUGGUAGAGAAGUAAGGAGGGAGAUCGGAAGAGGAUACAGGAGAGGUUGGGGGUGGGGUGGAAGGGGAGGAGGCUGUGCCAGCGAGCGGCCGCGGCUCGAGGCGGUCUGGCCGAUGAGGAGGGUGAACAAGGGAGAGGAAGAUGCAGAUUGGCAUACUGUGGGUUGGGUUUGUGACGUUGGGUUCUCAGAAAACUAUAGCCCAGUUCGAAUUUGGUGCCCGUGACGACACACACUGAGCGUUUAUGUUGGGCCUAAUCACUCACUUCCAGCCCCCCACUCUGAUUUCCCCCUCAAAGAAAACAAAAGCUUCAACCCUUCUCACCCCCCCCCUUGAUGACAACAACAACAACAAAAAUAUCUAUAUGCAAGAUCAAGAAAUAUCUAUAAGGAGCAUUCAGAAUGCACGUGAAUUAAUCGCUAUAACAGCUUGGUAUUUAUGGUGGGAUAGACAUAAACUGGUACACGAAGGAAAGUUUCAAGAUACAAAUCAAACUUCGAUAGGAGCUCGUGCCAUAAUGGCAAACUAUUUUAAUGCCUACUCCCCUAAGGCAACUAAUAAAAGAGGGGAUGAUGGAGCAUCCCUCCUAGGGUUUUUGGGAAGCUGAAUGUUGAUGCCUUUUUUGAUCAUGAUCUGCUUCAGGGUACAGUGGGGGUGACUCUUAGACAUGACAAAGGCAGGUUCAUUGUCAGUGGAAAUUGGAGGAUUGAUUGUCGUGCUGAUGUAUUAGUAGCAGAAGUUGUGGCGCUAAAGUUUGGGUUAUUCCUUGCACAGAAGGCGGGUUGCAAUCGUCUUGUUGUUAACUCGUACAAUAUAGAAGUGAUUGACACAAUGAAGAAUGCAGGACACUCGGCCGGUGUGGCGGCUAUAGUUUUCUAUGAUUGCUAUUUUUUGGCUUGUGGUUUUUCUUUUAUUAGAUUUGAACAUUGUAACAGGGAAGUAAAUAAGGUGGCUCAUGAAAUUGCUAAGCUAGCGAAUUUUUUUGUUAUUAGUGAUUGGUUUGAGGAGCCUAUGAAUGAGAUUGUACUUUUUUUUAUUGACGAUGUAACAGUUGUUUCUAAUUAAUAAAGAUGAAGUUUUAUUAAAAACAACAACAAGAAAAAAAAUCUACUCAUCUUGUCCCGAGGGAUCCGAAACCCCAGUAUCCUUGCAUCUUUCUUUUGCAUGGCAUGUACAUAAGAUUUUCUUUGUUAGUAGCAUGUGUUGUUGGCGGCGGCUGCUCGAUGUUAGAGGCGACAUGUGUGGACGGAUAAUUGUUUCGAUCCAUAUAUGUUCUGAUAGCCUUCUUAGGCCCUGUAUAAUGCUACGUGUUUAGGGAGGUGCUUAGGAAAAUAAACCAAGUUUUUAAAGCGUUUUCUAAGCACCAGUGUCUAUUUCUAAUGAGAGACACCUAAUUAAGCGUUUAGCCUAUACAAAUAAACACCGAUGCUUUAAGAAAUACUAGUUUAUUUAUCUAAGCACCUUCCCCACGCGCCUUACAUGGUAAGGUUCUAGAGCUAGUGGUGUUUUGGUUUCUCUUUUUUCUGUCACAUCAAUAUCAUUCUUUCGAAUGGGUCAUGGGUCAACCAAAAUGGGUUUGUCUCGCGACACGAAGGCCGUAAGAGCCGAGCAUCACUAGUCUAAGAAGACCAUCGAACAUGACAUCAUGGAGCGUUUUCUUUUCUUCUUGCCGUCUUCUCCUCCUAGUCCACUAUGUCUCCUUCAACACCAAGGAGUAUUCUUUUUCUCUACAAACACCUCGUAUCGACCUUACGUCCUGCAAAUCACUGAUGGUAACUUCCAUCCUAUCACGAUAACAAUAUUCUCUUUCAAGAAUCAGCCUUCCUCGAGUUACUUAUACCACGUUAAUUGUUGAUGCUGAAAUUAAUAACCUCAACCGUCAACUGCACCCUUGCAAACAUUAAAACACGCGGGUCCAACUUGGUUCAAAACCCAUCGAUCGAUGAUAGUCGGUCAUGUGGGAUUCCGAUCGACUUAGACAUUGAGGCGUUAAAGUCACGUAGAAUAUUUUCUACAAGAAAACAUAUAAUAUAUUCAUCUUCAAUCACGACAGUAUAACAAACACGAGAAAUAAUAAAAAUUACAACCAGAUCCGUAGACCACCUAGCAACGUCUACACCAUAGAUCGAGACAAAGAAGACGAGGACUGAUCCAAAUACUUAAUCACAUGGUGCAUUCGUCGUUCGUUUCAUCAUCACCUCCCGACUGGUAUAGGCACGUCUGGUUCACGUAAUACCCCACAUAACAAUACAGUGGUUGCAUGGCCGGGCAAUAAGAAUAGACGGAGGGCGUGUAGCAUUUUGCUGAGCUCAAUCGCCGUGCAGCCGAUCAAGUUUAGGCAGAUCAAUGUUCCACAAAAUUACAUAGGCGACAAGACAGCCAUAGGCGACAAGACAGUAAAUAAACUACCACAAGCGAUAAUGGCGUACCACACAAAGGAGGCGUCGUCGACCGUCCUCGAAUUACUUAUACCACAUUAAUUGUCGAUGCUGAAAGUAAUAACCUCGACCGUCCACUGCACGCUUGGAAAAAAAAUAGUUCUUGUCAUGGAUAUAAUCAUGACAAUACUAUGGUGAUGUGAAUGUAGAGGCAAUUAUUACCUGAUUGGUACGUAAAGCAGAUGGGAUUAAACACACAGAAUUAUACAGGUUUGGGCUCUCUACGGUGUUGGUAACACCCUACUCCUGUGUGAUCUCGCUCUUGGCGUAGAUUACAAUGUGAGAGAGUUCAACCCUCAGUGUGAUGUCCUACUCUUGUCUUAUAUAUAUGGAGUACGCUAGGAGGGAGUGCCAUAACGGGCUGGUGUAAAUACUAUUGAUGGUCACAUGCAUGAUUGACUAUUCGUGGCUAUUAUUACUGCUAACUGGUGUAACGGCAAUGAUGAAUGCUCAUGGGGGGUCACGGCAUCCUAGGACGUAGCCGACUGUAGAUGGUCCGACUACUCCUGUCUUGCCGAUGUCCGACUGUAGAUGAUCUUACUGCUCCUAUCUUGCUCAUGACCGACUAUCGAGUCUUGUCUGUUAGGGGGCGUGUGAUCCUACUUUAGACACUGGACUCCUUAAUUAGCGAGUAUUCCCCUUGUAUCUGAUGCCCUGGGCUUGUAGCUCCAAUGCCCCAUUUGGGACCGUAUCCUUGAUUAGCCUGGGCUUUUGGCUGGGCCAUAUGUGUACUUAGGCCUAUCCCUUAUAUAUAACCCCAAUACUAUGUUCAUGGAACAAGUAGACGUCAAAAAAUAUAAGUUUAAAAAAGGUAAUCAUGUAUUUGAAAACUGUUGAACCUCUCUAUCAAAAAUAUUUUUGAUAUAUACAAAAAAUAUAUGUCAAAAGGUUGACACUAAAAGAAAGGAAAACAAUGAAAUCCCUAAACCCUAAACAAAGAAAACUGUGAAAGAAACAAAGAAAAAAAAGGAUAGAUAAACGAGUAAAAAAGGAAAACAAGUGUAAAACAUGAAAGAAACAAAGAUAACCAAUGAAGAAACAAAAGAAGAAAGAAAAUAAGAAGAAAAAACUAACCAAACUAGUAUGUGGAACCGAGUGAGCGAAUGACCUGAGCAUGAGCGAACGACCCAAGGUUGUCAGAAACAUGAUUUUGAAUCGGAUAGAAGUUCUGAUGGUAGGAUUGCAAACCUUACAACGACCUGAUGCUAUUCUUGCACCUUCAGGCGUGGCAAAUGCUAAUCUCGCUUUCAGCGAGAUAUAGCAUUCGUGAAGCAAUGAAGGGUGUCAAAUCGUCAUAGCUAUAUCACGCAUAUUCAGGCUCACCUCUGGAGUCCGCAUGUAUGGGCUGGAUCAUUAACGUGUUCUCUCAUAUCUCUGUACGUUCUUUUUCUUUUCGAGUCUUUUUUAAGUCGGGUUUCUUUUCAUCUACAUGAGAAAUAAUUUUAAAUAGAAUCAUUAACAUUAAAAAAAAUACAUGUUUUCAUGUCUAAUUUUUUCAUACACAUUAGAAAUUGUUUUGUAUGCACCAGGAACAUUUUUUCUCUAUACACAUUUAACAUUUUUCAAAUACACGAUUAAUACUUUCAAAAUAUAUCAUUUGAUGUAAAAAAAAUCCAUGUACAUUUUACAUCUGUCUUAUAUAUUAGGAACAUUUUUUUCUAUACACAUUUAACAUUUUUUCAAAUACACAAUUAACACUUUUCAAAUAUAUGUUUUGAUGUAUAAUUUGUUUCAUGUUUUACAUUACAUUAGGAACAUUUUUAAACAAAUUUAACAUUUUUUAUAAUUUCACAUACAAUUUUUUAAGUACGUGAAGAUUAUUUUGUUACCACAAUUUGUUUAAUGCUAUCAAUAUUUUUUUAACAAUGCACAAACAUUUUUUUCAAAAUUUCAGCAUUUGUUUGUGGAAUAUAUUUAUUUAUUUUAAUAUGAAAAAAUAGAAGUAAAAAAUAUAGAGAUAAUCUGAGAGAAAAAACAAAACUGAGGGUAGAACUGAACAAAUCUGUCUCUAGGGCGGCCCACCCGGGCGUUUCUUCAGGAGACGCUGGCUUUCGUGUCGCUAUAAGCUACCCAUAGCCGCGCGCAUAUCGAACCAGACAUGAUUGGGUGUUUGCCAUCUUCUUUCACAAGGUGUGGAUAUUGUAGGCAAGCAGCUUAUAUUCAGUGAUGGCUUUUGUCGUAACACGACAACGGUUUGCUCUUUCAGUUUCUUACCAAAGCAACUGCGGUCAUAACAUGAACCUAUCAAUCACACUUGUAACAUUCCCAUGCAACUCUAGCUAGAUUGGUUCAAACACAUUGGCUCACACAUCGAGGCGAUAUAACCGUAGAGUUCACAACAGGCAACCGAAUAACAAAACAUAUGCAACCCUAAUAUCACAAACUCAAAAAUGAAAGAUGUCAUAGCUUGACAAAAAGAAGGCACCGUAAUGCACCAGAUAAGCGAUCGAGAGACUUAAUCACAUUGUGCAUACGCUCGUUCGUGUGGUCAUUUGCUCCCUGGUCCGUGCAGCUACCCUACAACAGACUGCAAGCAAGUCUUUUGAUCGUGGCCAUUGCCGAAGCACCCUUGAUCCCACUUGUUCCCCGCCAAGAAAAAGGCAUCUAAGUACAGCUAGCGCGGCAUAAUUCAAACGUGACACUGGAACCGAUAUAGGUGGACCGGGGUGGUCAGGAACACUGUCAUCGAGGUUAUUAGGCAUGGUUUUCAUAUUUGUACUUCCUACCCUAAAACACGGUUCGGAUUAGCCGUGUUUUUUUUUUCCUUUCAUCGACCUUAGAAAUGUAGAGGCGAUUGCUGCGUCACCCUGUUUCUGUUUUUGCCGCCAUUUCUGAUAUAGCGAUAUAGGUACGGUCCCUAACUGUCCAUUGCAUGGCCGGAGCCUAAGAAUAACGGACGGCGUGCAUCACUUAAUUUGCAUGCUAAGCUUAAUCACCGUGCCACCGGUCAAGUUGAGGCAAAUCUACCCCGGCCGGCUAAAUUCUCGCUGAGCAAUCAAUGGAAAGGAGAUCGCCCUGUUUGAAAAACCAUAAGAAGGAGACGUUGUCAUCGUCGGGAAGCUAGUUAGAAUGGCGUACCACGGGAAGGAGAGCUCGCCGGCGGCGGGGCAGGUGCUGGUGGUGGCGGUGGCGAUGGCGGUGCUGCUGCUGGCGCAGCAUGCGGGGCGCGCCGACGCCAAGAUGAUCUUGUACGACGUGAUGCAGGGGGACGAGGUGCCGGGACGUAACGGGCUGACCCACGUGGAAGACGAGGCCAACAAGUACACCCGCGGCUGCGAGAGCUCCAACAAAUGCAGAGGCUGAGAACCACGGCAUAGCCGGGAUGGUAGGCAUGGGCUGAUGCAUGCCUGCCCGCCUGGGUUCGAGCCUCCGUGCUCGCAAUACCAGCGCGUACUCACCUAAUUCUUCUAUAAAAGUAAACCGAGGGAUUCUUCCCCUCCGGUCUCGAAAAAAAAUACUAACCAAUUUGCACUCAUUACAUUCCUUCCUACCUUUUUUUUGUUAAUAAGCGGGAGAUAAAUACCCACGCGAUUGCCACGGAAUUCGGUUGUAAUUAUUUUAAUAAGAAUUGGUUGUAUGAAAUAUCAUUAGUUAGAUUCACUUGUAGAAAACAGGGCUUUGGUUCGGGCAGAAAAAAGCAUUAAUCCCGGUUGCAUUACGAACCGGGACUAAUGUGAGCAUUAGUCCCGGUUCGAGCGGCUAGGGCACCGUACAGGCAUUAGUCCCGGUUGGUGCCACGAACCGGGACUAAAGGGUGCGAUGCCCAUUAGUACCGGUUCGUGGCACCAACCGGUACUAAAGGUUAGACCUUUAGUUCCGGUUCGAGCCACCAACCGGUACUAAUGGGGUUUGAGGCAUUAGUACCGGUUCAUGGCACGAAUCGGUACUAAAGGUCCCAUUUCCAAACUCUACCCCCUAUCGCCUUUUCAGUUUUGUAAAAAGCAAAAGAAAAUGAUAAAAACUUCAAAAAUUAAAAUCCUUCCAGAUGUAGUUAUGUUACUACAUGUACUAGUUAGGAAAAUUAAAAAACUUAAAAUUGGACAUGUUUUGCAAAAAGUGUAGGGAAAAUGUAAAACGGCUAUAACUUUUGCAUAUGACGUCAGAAAAAAACGUAUAAUAUAUCAAAAUGUUCAGCACGAAAAUCCGCAUCCGAUUUUGACUGCCUACGGCUUGUUUGCAAAUUUUUAGAAUCCUCAAAUUCUAAAAGGAAAAAAAGUUAUGCUCAAAUUUCUGUUUUUUUGAAUUUUUGUUAAAUCUGGUCAAACUAUGGUCAAACUACUUAUUCAAGAAGUAUUAGUGUUACUAAAUAAUUAUCCAAGAAUAUUAUUGUUACUAAAUAAUUAUUUCAAUUUUUUGAAUUUUGGUCAAAUCUGGUCAAACUGUGGUCAAACAAUGGUCAAACUAAUUAUUCAAGAAAUAUUAGUGUUACUAAAUAAUUAUUUCAGUUUUUUUGAAUUUUGGUCAAAUCUGGUCAAACUGUAGUCAAACUAUGGUCAAACUACUUAUUCAAGAAAUAUUAGUGUUACUAAAUAAUUAUUGUUUUUUAGAACAAUAGUUUCAAAUUCAAACAAUGAAAUGUGUGACUUCAUGCUCAAGCUAAAUUCCUGAGGGUUAAUAGGAUUGACAUCUUACUAUUGUCAGGAAAACAACAAGUGAAGACUUGGAAACGAGGGAGAAUAGAACCCGGAAGUUAAGCGUGCUCAGGCUGGAGUAAUGAGAGGAUGGGUGACCGUGUGGGAAGUUAGAUGAUUUGGAAUGAUGAUGGGUGAUUAGAGAUUAGAGGUUAAAUUGAGCAGUGAUGAGGGGUGAUUAAAGAUUAGAGGUUAAAAUAAUUCAGAAAUUUGAAAAUAAAAAAAAAUUCAAAAAAAAUCAUAAAAUUUCCUUUAGUACCGGUUCAACCGGGACUAAAGGUGGACCUCCAGGCAACGGCCACGUGGAGGGCCUUUAGUCCCGGUUCAUGUAAGAACCGGGAUUAAAGGGUCGUUACUAAGUUAAUGGAGAUAACUAUUUAGCUUGGUACUGAUUGAUUUGUUGUCACAUGCACAUUGGCCAAUUUCAUCGAUUCAUGUCGUCCAAUUAGCUAGCCAAGACCUGGCCGUACAUGCUCUGCUGAUUCCUAACUAACAUAGGUUAGAGACCAGUCGAGUGAAAAUGAAUUUUGCGUUUGUCCAAUCGUUUCCACCCUUCAGAUACAGAUCCAACGGUGUAGGUGCCUUUUUCUACCUCUCAAUCAUUUUCCCUGUUCAUCUUCUACCCUAAGCCGUCCGCGGCCAGCGGCGCUCCGGCACCUGCCUCGCCUCCCCGCGCACCGCCGCGCUGCCAUCGUCUCUGGCCAUCCCUCUAACCCUGGCGAUGAACAGAUUUUUCCGGCGGACCAGCACCCUCCCCCCUAAAAUAGAUAGCCGGCGAGCCUACCAUCCUAAUGUAGACACCGGGGUCGCCUGCCAUCCUAAGAUAGACACAAAGGGCUUCGCUGGCGAGCCGGCGGCUGUUUCCUUCAUGUGAACUCGACUGACCCAUAUAUUAUUUUGAUGCAACUUACAAGUAGCUAAAUUGGAAUAAACAAAGCCCAUAUUCCAUAAAAGUGUUAGUAAAUGAGGUUUCCCAAUGUUAAUAAUGCUGUCGAUCGAUGGGGAUGUCCCGGUAGAGAAAGUCAUCAUGCUACAUGAGCGCAUGGCCACCCAUGUGUACAUCACGGCUUUCUUCUUCUCAUCCAACUUAUCUGCAUUGAUCGAGACCACGCACCAGGCCACCUAGGCGGAUUAGGCGCCAUAGCUCCUUCCAGGAGGACAAGUUGCUAGUGGUAACCGGAAUCGUCAUGCCCUUUUGUCGUUGCCACUAACCAGGACGAUCGUCGAUUGAAGUGUAGACGCAUGAAGGUGACGCUUGCGUAGCAGCUACUACAAAACAACCUAUUUUAUUCAUCUCCCGCUUAAUUUAUUUUCUUCCCUCUGAAAUGCUUGCAUAUUUCACAAAACAAAACAUUAAUAACGUCGUGAAGGCGCCUUAGCACAAUCGAGACAAGGAGAUUUCAAGUGGCUCCUCUAUUUUCUCCGACGACGACGUGAACACCACGGAGGGCCGUCGGUUUGAUCCGGGACACUGAGAUUAGCGAAGCACGAAAUGAAAGAGAAAUCUAGCCUUUUUUUUUCUUCUAAUGGAGGAGACGGGUACUAGUAGUCAGCUGAGAACUACGAACUAAAACCGCGACAUUCUUUUUUUGGAAUGGAGGAAGUAACUAUUUUCGAAUCGAUCAAGUCGUGUGUGCUUGAUUAUGAAAACAUUUCAGUUUUAUAAUUAAGAAAAUCUCCUUAAUCGCCAGAAAGAAAAUGAAAGGAGAAAGAAUACUACUACUAAUAUAAAGAGCUGCUUUUGUAGCUAGGCAACAUUCUCGCAGCAUCAACGUUAAGGCGGUAGCUGCCAUGGUAGUGGUUGGACCGGCAGUGAUCACCGUCAGCUUGAUCACGACUGAUCGACUGAUUGGUGUGAGACUAGGGCGUGCCAUACGUGCACACCGGCCAGCCGCCCACCCGACCCGGGCAGGCAUCAACAGCACAAGAGUACAGUGCAGUACGACUGCACAAUGAUUUCCCUCAUCUUCCUCUUUGAUUGGAAUGCACAGGACUAACAAAAUUUUAAAAAGUAUUCAAGCAUGUAUUAUGUGUGAUGGAAAGCGUAUGUGUGGGUAGCUAGUUUUCUCAUUGAUCAACGUACGUACUUAAUUGAUGGAGUAUUGCAUAAUUACUUGGUUAAAUUCAGCUAUCAUCAAGUAGCUAAUUCAUUGUAUCAGCAGAAUCAUGAACCCAAGAAUAACACAUGGGUAAAACUACUGAUUAUAAUCAAUCCAUACUCUGGAUAUCACAAGGGAGGGUUGUAGGGGUAGUUGAAAAGCGCUGUAGCUGAAAAGAAGGUCGUUGCUUUGCAAGAAAAAAAAUAAUGCAAACCUUACUAUAUGUACACAUCUACCGGUUAAUCUAGAGCUUCAGAUGAUUAAAUAACUUUGUAUGUGCCACUCCAUGGAAAAUUGAGUAAACACAUCUCUUUAUUAAUCAAGAAGCUACAUACGCGGCAACAAACAAACAUGAUCACAUGUACUACUACAAGUAGUUGCAAGCAGCAAGAGCAGAACAGAACAGAAGAUAGGCAGGAGUCAGAUGGAUCGGAUGAAAAAAAGAAAACGGAAGAAGGGGAAGAGCAGCUUAAUUGGAGCUGGCCGGCCGGGGUGAUGGAGCUCAGCCGGUCUCUAGUCAGUGGUGAUGUGCACGCCGAUGACGAUGACGAAGAGCGCGAUGAGGGCGAAGUAGAUGAUGGCGUGGACGAGGAUGGCCAUGGCGCUGGUGUGCAUGUUGCCGAACUCCACGAAGUGGUGCUUCCCGGGGAGCUGCAGCAGCAGCCCCGGCGACAGCAGCACGAACAGCACCACCGCGAUCACCACCGGCCCCCAGUCCGACAUCCUCCCUCUCCCUCCCCUUCUCCGACUCCGGCAAGCUUCUUUCUUUCUCUCUAGCUAGCUCCUCGCGGCAGAGAAAGGAAGGCAAUGGAGCAGAGCAGAACAGGAGCGGGGGCGCAGAGUAGAGCAGAGAAGGAUGGUGUGAUUGUGGAGGGAAAGGCGUGAGGGCUCCCUUUCAUCGCCAUUCGGUUGGUGACGUCUCGCUUUCCCUACCGCCUACGACCACAUCGCCCGUUUUCUAGUCACACCUUUUGCACUUGUAUUUUCUAGUCACGCCUUUUGCACUUGCGCUUCAGAAAAGAAAAGAAAAGUUUUUUUCUAAAUUAUUAUAUACUGUUAGCAGCUCCAUGCAUGAAUUUUUUUUAAUCAAAUCUUAUGAUUAGGUAGUCCUUUUUGCGAAAAAGGACCUAGAUCUUUUACAAAGGUUUGUAAAAAGGGCAAAGCAUCCUAUAUACAUAAUAAAAUAAAAUCGAGCACAACCGAAGGACCACUGCCACCGUCGGAGUGGCCAUCUAUGCGCAGCUAUUGAUGCUCUCCUCUACCUGAGCCGGUUUGACUUCGUUGAUGACAGUCGGGAAGUCUUCAUGCACGUGCCCCUAAGGUGCGGCGUACUAGAGCUGAUAUCAUCGCCACUGAACCCUUGAAUAGAUCUAAAACAUCUGACUCCAAAUCUAAUCAUCGCACACAAACAACGAGAAACUGUAACCUCAUCACACCAAGGAGACAUCAUGGAUCUACACCGGAGCUCCAUCGAAUCCAUCCCGAUGGACAAACUCGAUGAGAAUCGAUGUCCGGAAGACCAACUCGAAAUGAACCACCGACAUCUACCUAAACGCCGCUUAUGCGAGAACAAAAACCCUAACCUAAACUACUACCCAAAGUCGAGGCACCGAGAUCCCCCUUCCCCAUCACGGCCGCCUGAGCGGCACGCAGAGGGGAGGUGGAUCCAUGGGCUCACCGGCGAAGCCUGAAGGGAAUGAGUGCCCUAGCCGCCGGAGUCACGAAAGUGAAAAGGAAACCCUAACUUGGCGGGAAGGUUUGUGUAUUUUCUUUGACCAUUUAUAAUUAGGUAGUUAAAUAGGUGAUUUCGACAACAACAGGAGCGAGGAGAACAACUUCAGAAACGAAACCUUUUUUAAAUUUCACUUGUUUAACUCCAUGGAUGGGGAGUUCAAACAAUUAUGAUUAGCUAGCUAUAUCUAGGUGAUUUCAAUGCCACAACAACAUCAAGGAGGAGAACAACCGCAAUUUUGCUUUUUUUUAAUGAGCUUGUUGAUAACAGACAGGCAGGCAGGCAGGCAGGCUGGUGGACAGUGAGUGUGAGAGUGAGGUCUCUCUGGCGGGACACCUCUCACUCUCGUCCUGUCCUCCAUGAGAGUGAGUGCUGAGGUCAACUGGCAAUGCUCAUUGCGUGACCAAUAUCUCCUCCCAACUGACAACGACUUGGCCUGAACUUUUCUUAUCUAUUCGAGCAUAUCGUACCUUAAUCUAGAAUACAAUCCAGUGGAACCAAUGCGGGAGAUGUAAUUGCGAUUAACCUUCAGGAAGCUGCAUGAAGAAGAUGAUGAUGGUCUCUCAUGUUUUAUGGCCGUGCCUGAAACUUCGCUUUCCACCGAGCAAGAACAAGUGGCGGAGGGCGAAAUGAGGAAAAGGUGGAGAAGAAAAAUGUGCGUGUAGAGGAUACGCAACACCUAAAGCCACACACACAAAAACAAUAUGCUAGCUAGCUAGCUGGUCCAUGCCAUGGCAUAUUGACAUGACAACUCCGCUUAUUUGCUGCAACCAUUUCAAAGGACACAGUGGAUAUGCUAUACUCCCUCCGUUCCUAAAUAUAAGCCUUUUUUAGAGAUUCCAACACAGACUACAUAUUAAGCAAAAUGAGUGAAUCUACAUUCUAAAAUAUGAUUAUAUACAUCCAUAUGUAGUUCCUAUUGAAAUAUCUAAAAAACUUAUAUUUAGAAAUGGAGGGAAUACAUUAUUUAGAAACUUAUAUUUAAAAAACGUAUCGAAAUAUCUAAACAAUACAUUUUUUUUUAAUUUUCAUAAAUAUUACGCUGGGUAAUUUUUUUCAAAAAUAAUACUCCGUCGGCCCGUUGCAGGCCGACUGGGCCUAGUCGGCCCACAGCAGGCCGAUUGGACUGGCCCCUGUCGGCCCACUGUGGGCUGAUUGGGUCCUGUCGGCCCACUGUGGGUCGACUGGAGCUAAUUAGCUCGUUGUGGGCUAAUUGUUUUUGCAAAAAAAGUAGGCAUAAAAAAUAUGUUUAAAAAAUAUUAAUUAUGUAAUUAAAAAAUGUUAAACGUGUAUAAAAAAAUGUUCCUAAUGUAUAAAAAAAAUGUACAAUAUAUAUGCAAAAAAGUUGACAUAAAAAAUAUGUUUUAAAAAGUGUUAAGCAUGUUUUUAAAAAUUGUUAAAUGUGUCUAUAAAAAAUGUUUCUUAUCUAUUCAAAAAAUAUAGAAUGUGUAUGAAAAAAAGUUGACACCAAAAAAAUAUGUUUGAAAAAAAUAUUCCAGUUCCAUACAAAAAGAGCAACCAAUCAUACUUAGGUCUGUGAUGCUCCCAUACCGGAUCCGGAGCUGGAACAUUUUUUAUACACGUUUAACCUUUCAUUCCAAUACAUGAAACAUUUUUGUGUACUCGUUGAACAUUUUUUCAAAUACAUGAUUAACUUUUUUUCAAACAUAUUUUUUUGGUGUCAACUUUUUUCAUACACAUUCUAUAUUUUUUGUGUAGAUAAGUAACAUUUUUUCAAAUACAUGAUUAAUAUUUUUUUCAAACAUAUUUUUUUGGUAUCAACUUUUUUUCAUACACAUUCUAUAUUUUUUGUAUAAAUAAGGAACAUUUUUUAUACACAAAUUUAACAAUUUUUAAAUACAUGCUUAACACUUUUUAAAACAUAUUUUUUAUGUCAACUUUUUGCAUAUAUAUUGUACAUUUUUUGUAUACAUCAGGAACAUUUUUUUUAUACACAUUUAACAUUUUUUAAUUACAUAAUUAACUUUUUUUAAAACAUAUAUUUUUUAUGCCUAAUUUUUUUGCAAAAAAAUUAGCCCACAGCGAGCCAAUUAGCUCCAGUCGGCCUACAGCUGGCCGACAGGAGUCCAAUCGGCCUGCUGUGGGCCGACUAGGCCCAGUCGGCCUGCAACGGGCCGACGGUGUAUUAUUUUUGAAAUUUUUUUAUCCAGCGUAAUAUUUAUGAAAAUUAAUUAAAAAAUGUAUUAUUUUAAAAAAAUAGCCAUUAUUUGCAUGGAUGAAUAUAUCGUCGAGGAUAUAACAAGAAAAAGAACACUGACAAGAGUUACCAAGCAAGAUCUGCUGCAUAUCAGUUUGUGCUCCUUAAUUAUAUCCAAGUGUAUCGAAACGGCAGUAUGGCUUUUGUUUGCUGCAUGAUGGAGACUGGUUCCCCCAUUCAGUUAGGCCGAUCUACAGUUUACGCAACUCAGCCAUACUCAUUCCUGAUUUCAUCUAUUCUCAUAUCGUGGGGAAACAAUGAAACACUUUCUUUCCUGCCGGCUCCUUGCUUGCUUAGUCUUUCUCUGCUCCCAUAAAAUCGACGAUGAUAAGAAGACAAAAAUAAAAUUCACCAGACAAGCUCAACCCCUUUCGUUCCUGAAUGCGUGAUCCACCCAAGUGUAUUCACAUGCCUUUUGUUGAUGCUAUGAUGGAGACAUGUUUUUCCCAUUCAGUUAGGCAGAUCAACGUUUUUCUUUCUAGCAUAUUGUUAACUCCAUGGAUGUGUUUAUUUAAUUCUUAAUUAUGAUUAGGUAGCUAAGUAGGUGAUUUCAACAUCAACAACACCAAGCACUAGGGCAUCAAUAAAGAGAACAACCAACUUCAAGAAAGAAAACUUCUUAAAAUUUCACUUGUUUAAUUCCAUGCAUGGGACUUUCUUUCCUUUCUUUUUUUAAGAAAAUGAGGAUUAUGAUUAGCUAGCUAAUUAGGUGAUUUCAACACAAGAUUAACAUCAAGGAGAAGGAGAAGAGUGAUUUCACUUGUUUUUAAUGAGCUUGUUGUUAACAGACAGGCAGGCAGGCAGGUGGGCAGUGAGAGGGUGAGAGCUAGGUGUCUCUGGCUGGACACCUCGCACUUUUUCCUCUGUGGGAGGAAAAAGUGCUUAAUUGUGUAGAGGAUAAGUAACACCUAAGGCCACACAGACAUUGACAAUUUAAUUGAUUUGCUGCAACCAUCUCAAAGGACAUGUCGGAUAUACAUAUAUACGCAUGGAUAAUAUCAUCACAGAUAAUAAAGAAAAAACAAUCGAUGAUUCUUACUUUACGGGCAGAUAAUACAUGGAAAACAAUGUGUGUAGAGGAGACGCAACACCUGAAGUGUCACACACACACACACACACACACACACAAACAGUACUAUGCUAGCUGGCUUGUCCCUGACAUGGACAAUUCAAUUGAUUUGCUACAACCAUUCGAAUGACACAGUGGACACAAAAACAUAUAUGAAUGAAUAAUUUCUCCAAGAUAAGAAGAAAAAACUGUAUGCAUACCGGUGUGUUCUUCUUUUGUUCAUGCAUGCAUGUUGGAUGGACCAAGUGUAUCAGCAGUAUGGCUUUUAUUUGCUGCAUGAUGGCGACAGGCUCCCCCAUUCUGUUAGUCCGAUCUAAGAACUUCACAAUUCAGGCAUGUGCUUAGUCCAAAAUUCAAUUAUUUAUCGUAUCCCGGAUUUAAAUUAAACGAUAAAACGCUUGAGACAGGUUUCUCUGCAUGGAUAAAAACAACAAGGAUAACAAAAUAGAAAAACCCAAAUGAUAAGUGCCACACGUCAGGUGCGUGGCACUCCGGCCCUGACGUUUUUCGAAGGAAAUUCCAGUCAUGCAAGGAUGACAAAUUGCAGUGAUCUGUCAAAAAUAAACUGAAGCACGAAAGUUGUCAUGCUUGUCAACUAAAGUUGCCAUCCUUGUGUAACUAAACUUGCCAUCAAAAACGUUCGAAGUUGCCAUAUGCAUGCACCUGACGUGUGGCACUUAUGAGGGUCCUAGAAAAAGGAAACAAAUAUAGUUAUCAAGCAAAAUCAACUGUAUGUUGCUCUCUUCGCCCAUUGUUCCUGAAUGCAAUACCCAUCUAAGUGUAUUCACAUGCCUUUUGUUGAUGCUAUUGCAAUGGUUGAGACAUGUUUUUCCCGUUCAGUUAGGCAGACAUUUUUUUAGCAUACUGUUAACUCCAUGAAUGUGGUUAUUUAAUUCCUAAUUAUGAUUAGGUAGCUAAGCAGGUGAUGUCAACAUCAACAACAACAACUACUGCAUCCGUAAAGAGAACAACAACUUCAAGGAAGAAAAACUUCUUAAAAUUUCACAUGUUUAAUUCCAUGCAUGGGACUUUCUUUCCUUUUUUAUAAGAAAAUGAGGAUUAUGAUUGGCUAGCUAGUUAGGUGAUUUCAACACAAGGUUAACAGCAAGGAGGAGGAGAAGAGUGAUUUCACUUGUUUUUAACAAGCUUGUUGUUCACAGACAGGCAGAUGGACAGUGAGAGGGUGAGAGCGAGGUGUCUCUGGCUAGACACCUCCCACUUUUCCCCUGUGAGAGUGAGUGCUGAGGUCAAUUGGCCACAAGGCAAAUGCUUAAUUGUGUAGAGGAUACGCAACACCUAAAGCCACACACACAAACAACAUGGUAGCUAGAGGUCCAUGACAUUGUCAAUUCAAUUGAUUUGCUGCAACCAUUUCAAAGAACACAGUGGAUAUACAUAUAUACGCGUGAAUAAUAUCAUCAAUCAAAGAUAAUAAAGGAAAAACCACCGAUGAUUGUUACCGACGGGAAAGAUAAUACAUGGAAAACAAUGUAUGUAGAGGAGACGCAACACCUAAAGUCACACAAACAAAAACAAUACUAUGCUAGCUAGCUGGUCCAUAAAAAGGGCAGGGUCUUUGGGUCUUUUCUAUGCAGUUUUUCUCUAUAUUUUUGCUAGAGGUUUCAGGACUCGAACCCGUGACCUGACCAAGACAACAGCUCUACCGCUAGCUAGCUGGUCCAUGACAUGGACAAUUCAAUUGAUUUGCUACAACCAUUCGAAUAACAAGGUGGACACACAAACAUAUAUGAAUGACUAAUUUCUCCAGGAUAAGAAGAAAAAACUGUAUACAGACCGGUGUUUUUUUUGUUCAUGCAUGCAUGUUGGAUGGACCAAGUGUAUCAGCAGUAUGGCUUUUGUUUGCUGCAUGACGGCGACAUGCUCCACCAAUCAGUUAGGCCGAUCUAUGAACUUCACAAUUCAGCCAUGUGCUUAGUCCUAAAUUCAAUUAUUUAUCGUAUAACUAAGGUGUCCAGCAGGGUUACGCCUUGGAGGGGGCGCUACAAUUCUACUGCUGGAAGGGUCUGUUUGAUCAAUGUGUGUUUGUCUUCUCUUCGUAUGUAUGUUAUGGGUUUCUAUCGCCUUAUGGAGGGUAUUCAUGCCGGUUUUGAUAAAUAUCGGGGUGGUUUCUAUUGCAAUACCAUGGACAAUAAAAAGAAGUACAGAUUGGUUAAGUGGAAACUCAUGUGUAGGCCCAAAAGUAUGGGGGGUUUGGGGAUCCUUAACACUUUCAUUAUGAACAAGUCUUUGAUCCUUAAGUGGUGGUGGCGUAUUCUUUCAGAUGAUCAGGGCAAGCUUUGGUUCCACAUAAGCCCAAAUAUUUUCCUCACUCCUCCCCCCUCAUGUGCAAUCCUGUGGCCAGCUCUUCCGUUUCUCAAUUCUGGCGCUAGCUGCUCAAUGUUCGGGAUGACUUCAAAGCUUUGGUGAAAUUCUCUGUUGGCAACGGUGCCUCCGUUCGUUUUUGGUUGGAUUGGUGGGUUGGGGAUGGGACCUUUGCGCUUUCCUUUCCUGUUUUUUUCUUUUGUUACUUAUCCUUCUGUCUCCAUCGCGGAGCUGGCGGCUAGUGGUUGGGACCUCGGCUUUCGCCGGGUCCUAUCUCCUGUAGAGUUGGAGGACUGGCACCGGCUUGUUGCCUGCGCUCUCGGAGGCUCAGGACUUGGCCCCAUUCUGCUUCUGGCCGCUUUUCUGUUAAGUCCUGUUAUCGUGUUUUGUCCUCGAGGUCAGUGGUGUCUAAGUUUAAGCCCAUCUAGGUGGUCAGAGUGCCUCCGAAGAUCAAAAUUUUCAUGUGGCAGGCCUUGAGGGGCUGACUGCCCUUCGCGGAUUAUAGUAAGAAGAGGCACGGCCCGGGUUCGGAGUUUUGCUCCUUGCGUGGGAACUUAGAGGAUAUUAAUCACAUUCUAUUCUCGUGUCCUCUGGCCCAGCUACUUUGGAGUUGUAUUAGGGACUGGAUGGUUGUGUCGUGGGCGCCUGCUAACUUUAAUAAUCUUCUUGCGCUUUUGGUUCCUUUGUCUAUUCAAGUCAGAUGGGUGUUUUGGUUCGCCUUCCCUGCCAUGUGCUAGACCCUCUGGACGACCAGAAAUAAAUUUACUAUCGAACAGGUGUUCCCUAACAAGGCGGUUCAUGUUGUUUCCAAUCUCUCAAUAUUUUUGAUGCAGUGGAAAUCUCUGAUUAAGGAAGGCAACAAGGCAGCUGUGGAGUUGCUCAUUUCCCGUGUUCGUGCUUCGGGAAUAUCUGUCUCAAGGGGUGAUCGACUCAGGCCGCAGUAGGUAUUGCUACUUGUCGUCGUUUGGUGUUAGUCAUCUGGGGACUCUUGAUGCUGGCCUGCGUGCCAUUUUGCCGGUUGUGGCCGUCUGUUGAAUUCGGUGCUGUGGUGUGUGUCCGUCCUAAACUCUUGUUGUCUGUCCUACUCGGUUGCCUGGUGCCUUUAUUAAUUUAAAGCCGGGCUGAGGCCUUUUCUCUAAAAAAUUAUUUAUCGUAUCACGGAUUAUAUGAUAAAACGCUUGAGACAGGUUUCUCUGCAUGGAUAAAAACAACAAGGAUACGAAAUAAAAAAAAGACACGGAUAUAGUUACCAAGCAAAAUCAACUGUAUGUCGCUCUCUUCGACCUUUGCUCCAGAAUGCACGACCCAUCCAAGUCUGCUGACAUCCCAUUUAUCGACCAAUGAUUGGCACAGGUUUUUCUAUUCAGUCAAGCUAAUUUAUGGAUUUCAGUAUUUCAAACUAAUGGAACUAUUUCUUUCCUGUCGAUACCUUGCUUGGCCUUUCUCAGCAAGAUGAAAUUGAUGACACCCUUUUUCACUGCCAUUGAUCCGACCUGUCUCUAGCUGUCCAUUGGUGCUGGUCACCGCGACGGCAAGGAGGGCAAGGAGGGCUGCCCACCUUUGAUUAAUCAUGCAUGCAUCUGAAUUAUCCAAAUUCAUCAAGAUAUCCUAAAUAGAUCCAACCUGAAGAUUAAACGUAGUGCAGUGGAGGAACAUAGGAGUUGUAAAUGUAAUUAGCAUGCACUGAUUGUUGGGCAUAAGCCACCGCAGGACGCGUUGGGUGCGAGCCAGGGCGCGCCGGAUCCGUGGCCGUGUGUGUGUGCGCGCUUGAGUUUGUGGCUUGAGUGAAAUAGUGGCUGUUCGUGCAGCCGGGUGGCGUUCGUGCGCCGGAUAUAUCUGCUGUGUGCGCCUCGUUCUUCUUCCUCCUUUCCUCUAGUCCUGAGCGAGAGAGAGUGAGAGCUCCGUUGAGAGGCACGGCAAGGCUACGGUAACAACAAUUGGUAUUCAGAGCCACUAGUUCGGGGGGCGGCCGUGGCGCGCGGCGGACAUGAAGGUCUCGGCAACGCGCGGCGAGUCCACGGCGGUGUGGCGUGAUGCCGGGUGCGCGGCGAGCGCGUGGCGUCAGCAACGCGCGGCGAGUCCACGGUGGUGUGGCGUGAUGCCGUGCGCGCGGCGAGCAGCGACGGUCGCAGAGACGAGGAGGUCACGAAGGACCUGCGUGGUGUCGCAGAGGCCGCGGCGGCUCGGCGCGACGACCGUGGAGGCGCUGCGCUGUGGUUGACGGCGCAGCGGUGCAGGGCAAUAAGCGCGGCGGCGAGCCGGGCGCGACCGGUGCGUGUUAUGGAUGCGCACCGGACGCGUCGGGCACGUCGGGACCGCGGGAGUGGACCGCGUCGAGGCGCAGGACCUGGUUGCGCAGACCGCGUACGUGCGCGGCGGGAGCGCGGGGACGUGGGGAGUGCACGCGAAGGGCACGGCGGCACGGUGGCAGGCGUGGCAGCGACGUCAGGGCGGCGGCGGCUACAACAACGUCGACGGCACGACGGAGGCCGCAGCGGUGCGGUGCGACGGCCAUGGCGACAUCAACGACGAUGGACUCACCUGCUGUAGUUCGUGGCUUAGGGGGGUGUGUGUUGGGCAUAAGCCACCGCAGGACGCGUCGGGUGCGAGCCAGGGCGCGCCGGGUCCGUGGCCGUGCGUGUGUGUGUGCGCUUGAGUUUGUGGCUUGAGUGAAAAAGUGGCUGUUCGUGCAGCCGGGCGGCGUUCGUGCGCCUCGGUCUUCUUCCUCCUUUCCUCUAGUCCUGAGCGAGAGAGAGUGAGAGCUCCGGUGAGAGGCACGGCGAGGCUACGGUAACAACACUAAUCAACUAGGUUAUUCGGCCAUCCGUUGUUGUACUAGCUAGCCAGAGCCAUAAGGAGGAGGAUGUGAAGAUGACACGCACACAAUAUCAAGUUUUUGGGUUUGUGCUCGUGUUGCAUAUUUCACUUUCCAUCAAGAAAAAAAAAUUGUGGUAUAGGAUGGCAGAAUGAAAAUAACGAAAAUCAAUAUAUGGAAUUACGGAUGCAACAACUAAGGUCAUACCCACCACAAGAAUUGUGUGUGUUAUAGCUAGUUCAGCAGAUGACAGUAUUGCCAGCUUCUCCUUUGUUCUAGCUAGGACACAAAUUCGAUCCACUGAUUUGAGGCAUCGAUCUGCCGCAAGUCCUCAAAGGACAUAUAGACAAGGCGAAGAACUAAAUAAAGUUGCAAAGCAAAAUUAUCGAAAAAAUAUGAUCCCAGAGAUACACAGUAAUGUUGUCAUCAAAUCUCAAGAAUAUAAAUUUCACAUGAUCCCACCAUGUAACAUAUCCCAGGUCAGCAAUGACUGAGCGCAGGCUAACUAAUUAACAUGAAGCAAGAACCAAACAGACAGAAAGAGCAAAAGAAACAGCUAGAACAGGAUGAAGCAGAGUAUUGUACUACUCAUGAUGACGAGCCGAACUCGAUGUGGACGCCAACGACGACGAGGAAGAAGGCAUCGAGGGCGAAGAAGAUGAUGGUGUGGAUGAGGAUGGAGACGGCGCUCGUGUGGAAUUUGCCGCACUCGAUCGUCCGUGAUUUGCCAGGGAUCUGGAAGACAAGCCCUGGGGACAGAAGGAUGAAGAGCAUGAAGGAGAUGAGAACUGGACCCCAGUCUUGCAUCUUCUUCUUCUUCUUCUUCUUCUUCUUCUUCUUCUUCUUCUUCUUCUUCUUCUUCUUCGAAGUCUUUGGGAUGACGAUGAUGAUGAAUACUCAAGCCAGCUACAGCUAUGCUUCUUCUUCUUCUUCGAAGUCUUCUGGUUCGUGUCUCAAACCGGGACUAAAGGGGUUCUGAAAUUUGUUAUUUGUUUUCUAUUUUUAGUUUAUGUUUUAAAUUGCUUAUAUUUUUUAGGAUAUUUGAUGUUUUUGAGUGAUUCUUUUUGCAUUAGAUUCAAAAUUUUGUCUAGUUUUUGUUUGUGCCAUUAGUUUACAAAUUUGAAUGUUUUAAAUAUGAAUUUUUUUCAAAUUUUCUUCAAACCCUAGAUUGUGAAUAAUUUGAGUUUAAAAAUGGGUUUUAAUUUAAUUGUUUUUGCUCCUAGUCACAUGUAAGACUGUUGUCACACAGUAAGAUUUAUUUGGUUAUUUUUAGAAUAAUUUGAAUUAGGAUUUUAGUUAAGUUAAAAAGUAAUUCUUUUUGCCACUUUAAUAGAACGUGACUCUGGCUGGGACGGUGCUAGCAGAUGUAGUGGACGGUACGAUUGGAUGGACACCAUCCGGGACUAAAGGGGUUCAAACUCUACCCCCACUAGUGCAGAACCGGCCUUUAUCACCGGUUCGUAAGGGCCUUUAGUGCCGGUUCUGCAACCGGCACUAUGGAGUGGAGACUAAAGGCCCCCCCUUUAGUACCGGUUUGGCACGAACCGGCGCUAACGUGCCACCACGUGGCACGAGCCAGGCCCGGGUGCGUGUAGGACAUUAGUACCGGUUGGUAACACCAACCGGUACUAAAUGUUUGGGUGUGUUUUGGUUUUAAUUUUUAUUUUUCCUUUAGUUUUGUGUUUUCAAUUUAAUUUAGUGAUUGUUUUACAUUAUAAUGAGUUGUUAAAUCAUUAGGUGAAAGUACCGCAGAUUAGUUUCGACUGGAUGCAUGUGGAUCCUAGCUAAGUGAUCUAAGUAAUAUGGAUAUGGCAUAUACUUGAUUACUUAGCUAGGAUCCAUCCAGUUGAAACUAAUAUGCGGUUUCUUUCAUAAAUGUUAUAAUAACUCAUCAUCAUCAUCAUCAUAUUAUAAGCGUUCAUAACACCACAAAAGCAAAUCACUCUUUGAGAUUAAGUUCAGGACGAAGAACACGGACACGCAUGAGAGGACAACAAGUACUAAGAGCAUGAUAACUAGCUAAAUCACUCCUGCUGCUCUCUCACAGGUAAAAUAGCAUAGAACAUGUAUAGCUCUCUUGAUUCAUCAUAUUGGAGCAUGCAGAUGAACCUGUCUCCUAAUCGUGGGCUGCGCUUCUGAUUGGUGCCCCCUAGUACUUCUCUGCGAUCGUUAACAAUUUUGCUCCAAUCUUUCACUAUUAAGCAUUCAUCGCUUUCAGAAAUCCUGAAUGCACUCAUGUGCACUGUAGGAUAUCUUGGCCGUAAGCUAACAAUUGACAUGCGACCUUUAGUCUCGAUCCACUGAGGCACAACUGUCAUCGGGAGUCCCUGUUGAAGAACAUCGUAUAGUAAUUAAUAUACUUAGCAAUGAAAGUUUAGCUUGAAAAAUAAUGUAUGCAAAAGAUGCACUGAGGACUAAUAGUAAAAAUCUUACCAUCUUUCCUAAAUACAUGUGACCGUAGUUCAAUACGAUCACUAUUGGUCGCACGUUUUGAGUACUAAGAUUUUCAAAUUCAGGAAAAUGAUUUCUCUUAACAGCAUCAAGAUCCUCAAGCCAUGAAACAUAAUGACUUAUCUCCUCGCAGUUUAGUUCAACUCCGGGACAGUAGUAGGUCCUGUCUACCAAGCGCCGGACAUGUUUGCUUGAAUGGAAAUAAGCUGUCAAUAGAAAUUAGUUGUGAACUAUUUUUGAAUAAACAAUAUCAAAGACAUAAAUAUGGUUGAGAAACUCACAUAAUGGUAGAACUGGAGGCGUCUGCACAUCGACCCAGAUGUCUCUAUUACCUUCAAUAUCAUCUUCCGGACGAAUAUCAAAGGUGAUAACCAUAUCAGGCUCAAAUGCAUAAGCCUUGCAUAGUGCUUGCCAAGUUUUGCAUUCAAAAUAGGUGUACGUGUCUGCAUUGUAUAAUUUGAUGUUGAAAGUAUAACCAUGCUCGGUCUUCAGGUAAACUCUUUUUACCUCCAUAGUUUCCAUAGCACUGAAACCUAUCUUAUCCAAGACAAAAAUUCUUGCAUGGCAGGGGAUGCGCUAGUAGAAUAGUGAAAAUUUAAAAUUAUAAGUUGAAGCAAAUGAAGCAUAUAUAAGUCAUGCUUAAUUACGAAAAAAGACUUGUCGUUGUGACUUACUGUAUCCACUUCGAAGGUCUCAUCCAGCUUGAUGCUGAAGCGCCUAUCAUCAACAAGGAAAUUUCUGUCGCACAGGCCGCGCUGGUCUUCACAGGAUUCGCACUUAAUGAAAUCUUUUUCGUCGUCAGACGACAUUUCCUAUGUUCAUAUAGGUGAAACAUUAAACACUUACUAGUUCUAUUAAUUCAACUAAUUCAACUACUUCUAUUAGUUCAACUAGUUCUAUUAAUUCAACGAAUUCAACUAAGCAUUUACUAAAAAUAAACGUGUUCUAUUAAUUUUCUUACUAAAAUAAAGUAGCUAGUUCCAUAUAGUAAUAUUUUAAUUAGAUCAUCAAAUCUCAGGUAUCUAAAUUUUCUUACUAAAAAUAAACUAGUUCUAUUAAUUCAACUAAUUCAACUAAGAAUUUACUAAAAAUAAACUAGUUCUAUUAAUUUUCUUACUAAAAUAUAUAAGGUAGCUAUAUAUAUAGUAAUAUUUUAAUUAGAUUAUCAAAUCUCAUAUACCUAAAUUUUCGUACUAAAAAUAAACUAGUUCUACUAAUUCAACUAGUCCAACUAAGCAUUUACUAAANNNNNNNNNNNNNNNNNNNNNNNNNNNNNNNNNNNNNNNNNNNNNNNNNNNNNNNNNNNNNNNNNNNNNNNNNNNNNNNNNNNNNNNNNNNNNNNNNNNNNNNNNNNNNNNNNNNNNNNNNNNNNNNNNNNNNNNNNNNNNNNNNNNNNNNNNNNNNNNNNNNNNNNNNNNNNNNNNNNNNNNNNNNNNNNNNNNNNNNNNNNNNNNNNNNNNNNNNNNNNNNNNNNNNNNNNNNNNNNNNNNNNNNNNNNNNNNNNNNNNNNNNNNNNNNNNNNNNNNNNNNNNNNNNNNNNNNNNNNNNNNNNNNNNNNNNNNNNNNNNNNNNNNNNNNNNNNNNNNNNNNNNNNNNNNNNNNNNNNNNNNNNNNNNNNNNNNNNNNNNNNNNNNNNNNNNNNNNNNNNNNNNNNNNNNNNNNNNNNNNNNNNNNNNNNNNNNNNNNNNNNNNNNNNNNNNNNNNNNNNNNNNNNNNNNNNNNNNNNNNNNNNNNNNNNNNNNNNNNNNNNNNNNNNNNNNNNNNNNNNNNNNNNNNNNNNNNNNNNNNNNNNNNNNNNNNNNNNNNNNNNNNNNNNNNNNNNNNNNNNNNNNNNNNNNNNNNNNNNNNNNNNNACGGGGACGGCGCAACGACGAGCGGCAGGCCGGGGGCGACGGCGCGAUCGAGACGGCGACGUGGUACGGGGCGGCGGCGACGAGCGGCGGGGGCGACGGCGGUGACGGCGACGAUUGGCGGUGAGGGCGACGGCGGUGACGGCAACGACGGGUGGCGGGGGCGGCGAGGGCGGCGGCGAUUUUGCGCGAAGGAGUUGGAGAAGAAGUGGUGGUCGAUGAAACUGAAUUUUUUAUAAGUGCCAUAUAUAUAGGAGGGGCCUUUAGUACCGGUUGGAGCCACCAACCGGUACUAAAGGCCAAUUUUUGCCAGGCCAAGGGGCGGAAAACUGCCCCUUUAGUACGGGUUCGCGGCUCCAACCGGUACUAAAGGCCCCCCUUUAGUACCGGUUGGAGCCACGACCCGGUACUAAAGGUAUGCGCUGGCGCAGGAGCGGUGCGGGCAAGUUUAGUCCCACCUCGCUAGCCGAGAGGCGCCCGCACCAGUUUAAAAGCCCCGGCGCGGCUGCUGUCUUGAACUCCUCUCUAUAGCAGGCUUUUGGGCCUAACUCUGGCGCGCUGCCCGUUGAGCCUGCUGGCCCUUCUGGGCCUGUAUUUGCAAACCCUAUGGUUGGCAGGCGCAGCGGGCAGCGCCCCAACAAUUUUUUAUAUAAUUUUCUUCUAUUUAUUUCCGAGUAAUUUUUUUGCUGUAUUUAGUUUCUUUGUGAAUAAAAAAGAAUUAUAUAGUUUUUUUUCUUUUCUGCAUUAUUUAUUUUCUGCUAUUCAUUUUGUAGUGAUUUUUAAUUUCACUGUCAUUUAGCUCUCUAAACAAAUCGGUAAAUGACUGAAAAACAACAAAUGAUGUCAGAACGUGUUGGAAAUUGAUGACGUCGCUUUGAAUGAUGCAUACUGAACGCAAAAAUAGGCUGGAGUUCAAAUAAGUUUAAAAAACAUUGAAGUGCCCGUGUAACAGAUGAGUUCUCGUCCGAAACCCUGAUACUCCGAAAGAGAUUGUCCAGUUUGUACACGAGGUGCGUCCAGUUUUCGCCGUGACCCUCUCUACUCUUUUGCACAUGCUAUGCGGGCGAAAUGAUGAUACCAUGCCAAGUUCCAACAUUUUCAGAGUUCAUUUUGUAGUAAUUUUCAAUUUCACCGUCAUUGAGCUCUCUAAACAAAUCGGUAAAUGACUGAAAAACAGCAAAUGAUGUCAGAACGUGUUGGAAAUUGAUGACGUCGCUUGGAAUGAUGCAUACUGAAUGCAAAAAUAGGCUGGAGUUCAAAUGACUGAAAACAACAAAUGAUGUCAGAACGUGUUGGAAAUUGAUGACGCCGCUUUGAAUGGUGUGUACGGAACGCAAAAAAGUCUGGAGUUGUAAUAAGUUUAAAAAAAUGAAGUGCCCAUGUAACAGAUGAGUUCUCGUCAGAAACCCUGAUACUUCGAAAGAGAUUGUCCAGUUUGUAUACGAAGUGCGUCCAGUUUUUGCCGUAACACAAGAAGUCCGGAGUUGUAAUAAGUUAUUAAAGAUAAAAAAGACCCUGAUACUUCGAAAGAGAUUGUCCAGUUUGUACACGAAGUACGUCCAGUUUUUGCCGUAACACAAGAAGUCCGGAGUUGUAAUAAGUUAUUAAAGAUAAAAAAGAGGCACAAUGCUCGUUAAUUAGCUUCAAGUCUUUCGGAAUAGUGCAAACUGCACUGCACAUAGCUCCGUGCAGUCUACACUAUUCCUCAAGGCUUAAAGCUAAGCAACAUGCAGAUGAGCAUUGCGCCUCUCCUUCAUCGUCUCUGCACUCAGAGCUUAUAAACCGCUCCUAGUGCCUCUCUCUUCGCGAGGUGGGACUAAAAAACAGCUUACUAAGAAACUAUAGUACCGGUUCAUGGCACGAACUGGUACUAAAGGUGCCCGUGGGGCCCCAGCCUGACCACAGCCUGACGCAACAUCAUUAGUACCGGUUCGUGACACGAACCGGUAUAAAAGGUUGCUCACGAACCGGUACUAAUGAUCUCCGUCCGCCUAGCCGUUGGAACCGACACUAAUGGACACAUUAGUGCCGGCUCAAAAUCAAACCGGCACUAAUAUGCUUCACAUUUGACCUUUUUUCUACUAGUGCCCCCCCCCGCGUGUAUCGCCAUUCCAGUUUUGAAAAGAACAAAAGAAACUGAUAAAAACUUCAAAAAUUAAAAUCCUUCGAGACGUAGUUAUGUUACUACAUCUACUAGUUACGAAAAUUUAAAAACUUAAAUUUGAACAUGUUUUGCAAAAAAGUGUUAUGAAAAAGUAAAACGGCUAUAACUUUUCCAUACAAUGUCGAAAAAACGUAUAAUAUAUCAAAAUAUUUAGCACGAAAAUCCAGAUCCGUUUUCGACGGCCGUAGGCUGUUUUGCAAAUUUUUAGAAUCCUCAAAUUUUGAAAGGAAAAAAAGUUAUCUUCAAAUUUUUUUUUUGAUUUUUUGGUCAAACUCUGGUCAAACUACUUAUUUAAGAAAUAUUAGUGUUACAAAAUUAUUGGUUUUAAGAAUAAUAGUUUCAAACUCAAACGCGAAACUGUGAUUUCAUGCUCAAGUUCAACUCCUAAGGGUUAAUACGAUUGACAGCUUACUAGUCAGGAAAACAACAAGUGCAGACUUGAAACGAUGAGGAAUAGAACUCGGAUGUUAAGCGUGCUCAGGCUGGAGUAGUGAGAGGAUGGGUGACCGGCCGGAAAGUUAGACGAUUUGGAAUGAUGAGGGAUGAUUAGAGAUUAAAGAUUAAAUUGAGCAGUGAUGAGGAGUGAUUAAAGAUUAAAUUCUCAAAUAAUUCAGAAAAUUGAAAAUCAGAAAAAAUUAAAAAAAUAUUCAAAUAUUUUUCUAUUUUUUUUUCAAAAAAAUUCCUUUAAUCCCCAACCGGGACUAAAGGUGGAGCUCAACAGACGUGGAGCCCCUUUACUCCCGGUUCGUAGGUGAACCGGGACUAAAGGUUUUGGGCUUUAGUCCCGACAACCGGGACUAAAGGCCCUCUGAAACCGGGACUAAAGACCCGUUUUCUACUAGUGCAUGGUCCCUCUUACCUUUUAUUUUCACAUUAGAGGUAAGAGUAUAUAAUAAAUUUGAGCCGUUGAUUUCAUUAAGUAGUCGGUCUGAGUAACUCUUACCUUCUUACCUCCCAUGUGAAAAAAUGAGCUACGUGAGAGGGACUAUGUUAAAAUUUCUCGUCGUCAAGGAUAUAAGAAGAAAAUGAACAAUGGUAAGAAUUACCAAGCAAGGAUCAGCUGUAUAUCGAUUAUAUAUAUAUAUAUAUAUAGACUAUUCGUCACCUUGGGUGAGAAAUAGUUAUUCUUCACCCCCCUCUAUUUUACCUUCAAUGCACCGUAAUUUUAUGUUCCGUAAGUUUUGUCUUAUUUCUGACACAAAAAGAGACCGUAAGAAAAUAUAUAAUCGCCGUAAAAAAUAUUUCAUGUUCUGUAAAAUUACAAACGUAAAAACAUAGUGUAAAAUACACAUAAACUGCAAAUUUUCUUGUCUUAUGACCUAUAUUUUUAUUUUCUUAUGCCAAAUUUUACAUAAUGAAUCAAUAUGAAUGUAACUAUAUAUCGCUCUCUUCUUCGCCUUUUUUUCCUGAAUGUGGGAUCCAUUCAAGUGCAUUGACAUGCCUUUUCUUGAUGCUAUGAUUGAGGCAUGUUCUCCCAUUCAGUUAGGCCGAUCAAUGUUUUUUAUUAUACUGUGAACUUUUUAUUAUGAUUAGGUAGUUGAGAAAGUGAUUUCAGAAAACAACGGCCGCGGCAAAGAGAACAACAACCUUAGAAGAAGGAAAAUAAAACUUUUUACAAUUCACUUGUUUAACCUUAGUUGAGAAGAGGAUUUCAGAAGGUGACUUUCUAUUCUUUUUAAGAGAAGGGUGAAUAUGAUUAGCUAGCCAGUUAGGUGAUCAACACAAGAUUAAUAUCAAUGAGAAGGUGAAGAACGAUUUCACUUGUUUUUAAUGAGCUUGUUGAUAACAGACAGGCAAGGCAGGUGAAAAGUGAGUGAGGUCUCUCUGGCUGGACAUCUCUCACUUUUCCUUCUGUGAGAGUGAGUGCUGAGGUCAACCGGACACAAGGCCAACUCUGCUAGUCGUCCUUCUACUCCUAUCACUUUUCUUUCCUGACAAAGACUUGCUCUGAACCCGUAAUUCAGAUUCACGGUGAUGACUAAUCCAUGAACAGGAAAGAAAAAACAUGAUUUAAACAUCCGAUGUUCAAAUUCUGAAUCCACCGAUCCACUAAUCCAGCAUAUUUACACGAAUCUAGAAUGACAUCAACUAGGAUUAACAGGAGCAAUAACUAUGAUUAGCCUUCACGAAGCUUCAUGGAGGAGGAUGUAGUCGUGUUUUCUUGCCGUGCCUGAAACUACGCUUUCCAUCAAUCAGAAAACAAGAGGUGGAGCGGGCAAAAGCGGAAAGGAAAACAAUGUAGAGCGGUCACACACACACAACAGUACUGUACAAUGCUAGUUGGUCGAUGACACUGACAAUUCAAUUGAUUUGCUGCAACCAUUCCAAAGGACAUAGUGGAUAACUUGAUAUACAUACACACACACACAACAUGUUUUGGUUCGCGAAGAUAAGAAGGAAAAACCACUUAUGAUUGUUUCCAAGCUCAAUCAAUUGUAUAUUUUUUUUGAUACAGUGUGAUAUAUAAAUAUCAAGAUGAUAUCAAUUACACCUGGCUUCUGCAACGACACUAUAUCAAGACCAAGUCGUGACAUCGAGGAUGCACACAAUCAAUCGUGUAUAUAUGGGUAUGUUCUCCUUAUGAUCAUGCAUGCAUGUUGCAUGGGCCAAGUGUAUCAGCAGUAUGGCUUUUGUCUGCUGCAUGAUGGAGACAGGUUUCCCGAUUCAGUUAGGCCGAUCUACGGAUUUCGCAGUUCAGCCAUACUUUGUCUGAAAUUCAUUUAUUCUCGUUUCGUGGAUGGCUCUUUUCUGCAGGGAUAAAAUGGACAAGGAUAAGAAGAAAGAAGACACUGCUAAACCAAAGUUACCAAGCAAAUAAACUGUAUAUAUGUCGCCCCCUUCGCCUUUUGUUCCUGAAUGCGUGAUCCAUCCAAGCUUGUUGACAUGGCUUUUGUUGAUGAAUGACUGAGACAGGUUUUCUCAUUCAUUAGGCUGCUCUAAGGAUAUCCGUAUUUGAACUAACUCAACGCUUUCUUUCAUGUCGAUUCCUUGCAUGGACUUUCUCAGCAAGAUGAAGUUAGUGAAACCCUUUCACUGGCAUUGAUCCUGCUGCCCUCGAGCUGUUCAUUGGCGCUGGCCGGUGCAAUGGUGGUGAGGGAAAGGAUGGGGAUUUGUCUUUAUGGUGAAUUGCUCUUGACUACUGCUACUUGUCUUCGAUGUUUCAAUUUGUAUUUUGUACUUGUGAUGAUCUUUAUCGCACAAGUCCAUUUAGGGCAUAAUCUCUUGCCGUCUUUGCAUUUUUUUCUCUUUUUGUUUUGGACGUGUUGGAUUGUGGACAUCUUGUUAUGUAGAUGUCGGAUUGCAGUCAGUGUGGUUGUACCAGCUUUGAUGGGAUGAUUGAAUGAAAUUCCAGCUAGCGAUUUUUUUCUUUUUUUGCAUCCAUUUUCCAUUUUUUUGCAUGCAUGCUUCUGAAAUGGAUCAUUUUGGAUAUUCUGUCAGGUUGCACUAGCCACAAGUUUAAUAGAGGAUUGAUCAUCAAAAGUUGUUUGUCUAGUUGUCCAAAAGAUCGUAUGUUUAUCACGAAAGCAUGGUGCUUGGUAUUUUAUUCUGAGGAAAAACUGACUCUCCGUUUUCACUUUACGUAUCAAAUCCUUAUCAAGGUUUUGUACUUUUUUGCGGUAGAGGUUUGGAACUUUCUACAGUUUGUGUAGAGUUCAGUAUCUGAACUUUGUACAAGAUUAGUAAAGCUUUACACAUCGAGUUUUUUUUUCUGGAACCAACUUUGUUGUGUUUUCUAAAGUGAUAAGACGAAGUGGAAUUGGUAGAGUGACACGACUCGUCAAAUUUGCUUUAAGGCAUCAAGAACUGUAAUCCAAAAACAAGAAGUUUAACCAUUUCACUUAAUUUUAAUGAGUUUACUGAUGUUUGAUGACAGACAUGCAGAGACGGUGAGAGCGAGGUCUUUUAUUUUCUAGAUCAUGGAAGAACAUAUAACUUUUCUCCUUUGUGUGAGUGAGUGGUACUAGUAACUGGUGAGGUCAACUAGCAGGCAAAUGUUCAAUGCUCUCUUUUCUGAUGAAGGUUGUUCUUAACUAACUCUGAAUUACAUGGAGGAUCGGCUGCCUGCCUUUGAUAAAUCAUGCAUCUGAAUUAUCCAAAUUCGAUCCAACCUGAAGAUUGAAUGUGAUGAAGUGGGGGAACAUAGGAGCUGUAAAUGUAAUUAGCUUGCACUGAUCAACUAGGUUAUUUGGGCAUCCGGUGUUGAACUAGCUAGCCAGAGCCGUAAGGAGAAUGAUGUGAAGAUGACACACACAUCCAAUCUCAAGUUUUCGGGUUUGUGCUCGUGUUGUAUAUUUUGCUUUCCAUCAAGAAAAAAUUGUGGUAUAGGAUAAUAGAAUGGAAAUAAAUAAAAGGAAUAGACACUUGCAACAUCUAAGACCAUACCCACCACACGAAUUGUGUGUGUUAUAGCUAGUUCAGGAGAUGACAGUACUGCCAGCUUCUCCUUUGUUCUAGGACAAGAUUUCAAUCCUCUGGUUUGAGGCAUCUUUGCUGCAACUGCUCAAAGGACAUAUAGACAAGGUGAAGAACUACAUAAAGUUGCAACGCAAAAUUAACUAUGCAUAUAUCUAUAUGUUCUCCUUUUCUUCCUGCAUGCAUGAUCCAAGUGUGCCGACAUGCCUUUUGUUGCUGCACCUGCAUGACCGAGAUUAUUUCCCAAUUAUGAUGUCUGAACAUGACUUUUCUCUUAUGCCAAAAUUCAGUUCAAACGAUCCAUGGGUUUCAUCAUUAUGCCAUACUUAUUUUUAAAUUAGUUCACCAAUAUAUACCAUGGAGCACUAGUGAGACCCUUUCUUUCCGGCCUACCAGUACCUUGCCUAGCCUUUCCGUUGAUUCAUUAAGAAGACUGGUCUCUUUUAUGCUGAAACUAGACGCAAAACCAUAGAACUUUCUUUUUCUUUUUCAAAAAGGAGGAAGACCCACGGCCUCUGCAUCAUGUGAUGCACACAGCCAUUUAGAACUAGAAACUGGUAAGUUACUUUCAGUUAACUAGCUAGUGGUUUCCGAGAAGUUCAAGAGGAAACUCAUGUCUUUCUUCGAGAAAUAAGUGAACUUGAGAAAAAUUGACCAACACGUUUAUAAAAGAACAGAGCAACCAUAAUUGCCGAUGUGGUUAGACAAUGGCAUGUAGUACUUGGAAUCAGACUCACACCAAUCAAAAGGGUCUCAAAUCUCUAAGCAUUAAGAUUUUUCAGAUAGUCCUAGCUUGGCUUGGUUUUAGUUCAAUCCAAAUUUAACAAUAGCGCUAAUGUACUUAUAUUAAUAUUAUUGCAGUACAUGAUAAUUAAUUAAUGCAUGAGGUUGUGGUUGUGACCAGGCAAGACCAACUUAUGAACUUGCAAGCAUGGCAUUCAGAUUGAUGUGCAGACAACGCCAACAUCAACAUUGUCUAGAUAAAGAUUAAUUUGUAUUUUAUUCCAUAUUUUAAACAGCUACUUUGGNNNNNNNNNNNNNNNNNNNNNNNNNNNNNNNNNNNNNNNNNNNNNNNNNNNNNNNNNNNNNNNNNNNNNNNNNNNNNNNNNNNNNNNNNNNNNNNNNNNNNNNNNNNNNNNNNNNNNNNNNNNNNNNNNNNNNNNNNNNNNNNNNNNNNNNNNNNNNNNNNNNNNNNNNNNNNNNNNNNNNNNNNNNNNNNNNNNNNNNNNNNNNNNNNNNNNNNNNNNNNNNNNNNNNNNNNNNNNNNNNNNNNNNNNNNNNNNNNNNNNNNNNNNNNNNNNNNNNNNNNNNNNNNNNNNNNNNNNNNNNNNNNNGCGACUAAUAAAAUUUUGACCUCUUUUACAAAAAAAGUGGGUUGUCUAGAUAUGCAACUAGAUGAACAAUAUAUAUGACAAUCUUAAGAAGUAACAAGUGCAAGAAAGAGUAAAACACAAGAUAUAAACUUGCAUAACCGAAAUAAUCACAAGUGGAGUCGUGGAGACUGGGAUGUGUUUUCGAAGUUCCCUGCUUUGAAGAGGUACGUAAAUAAUAGAUGGUGUGCUUUUGUUUGUGCUCCACAUGGUGGCAAUUUUAAAUUCAUAUGUUUGUCUCUUCAUUUAUAUAGAAAAAAUAGCAUGUAAAUUUUUAAUCCACAUUUCUUGCCAUCAUGGUACAGAUGCAAAAUUGCCAUGAACUUUUUCUUUUUUGCCAUCAAAAAUUACACAAACAAUAAUUCCCCCAACAACAACAAUUACCGCAACAACAAUUGCGCCAACAACAAAAGUUCCCCCAACUGCAACAAUUCCCCAAGCAACCACAACAACAAUUUCCCAUACCAUACCCACCCCAACAACCAUUCCCCCAGCAACAACAACCUUCCCCACACCAACAACCAACUGGGAGCGAUGUUAUAAGUAUCAGUGGCCGAUGAAAUGAAGAGAUGUAAUACUAGACGGGUGAAUCAUCGUUGUUAGUCAAUUGAGCAUUUAAUGUAACAAUGAUAAAUAAAGUGAUGUGCACCAUCAUGUGUAACCCCGACCUAUACUAGUUCAAACAUGGGGUAAAAGACAAAUAAGUUCUUUUCUAAAGCACAUUGCUGGCAAUUGUUACAUUCAUGCCAUAUUUCGAUUUUCAUCCCUAACUACAAUCUCAAUGUUAUGCGCUAUCUACUUAUUUAUGAAGUGUAGUAUUAUGAACAUAACAUAUUAACGUGUGUGAAACUUGGUUCAAAUUGAUGUACUAUUAACUCGGGAGUAAGGAUUAAUGACAAUUUAAUAUUUCAAUGGAGAGCCACAUGAGUUGUGCAACCUUCUUAUCUGACAUGGAUCUACAUCAAACUAGGUGUUAAUGUUCUCCACAAACUCCAUGUCAGAUUUCAUUGUUCAUUUAUAGUGAGAAUAAUUGAUUACUUAUGCACUUUUCGCCUUUGAUGUUCCACUCACAAAAUAAGUUUAACUACCAACUAUCUCCAAAAACAAUCUUAGCGGGACAAAAAGUAUCCUCUGACAAAUCACGACCCAUCAAACAAGGUUCAAAUUUGAAGGAAAAUGACCCCUUCAACUUGAGUCAAACAAAUAAUUUGCAUACAAUCAACCGAAAUCAUUAUGGGCUUCUUCAGCCCUCCACUCGAUACACACCUACGCAGGGAGUCCACCAUUGCCGCUACCGAACAACAUUUUUGGAGGCGCACAUUAUCACCCAUAAACACAAAAUAAAUCAAAACGCAAUACAAGCCUAAAAGCGGUCAGUUCCUAGGGCCAGAAAAAGCUUGUUGACCUGCAAUUGCACAUGGUUUAUUUUUCACCUAUUUAAGUAUGAGUAUAAAUCCCACAGGGAAUACAUGAAUUGGACUUUGUCCCUAAGAGACACUUAUGGUAAUGUGCCUGCAUAUUAGUUUUUGACACAAAGCAAAGUGAACGCCAAAGAUUAUAAUGACUUCUGAGUUUAGUGCGAACAAAAGUAAAUAAUGCAAAAGAAUUAAAACAGCGCAGCGGAACGAAUAAAGCAGGGAAACCGGUGGAGGAUUGAAGCAUUCUCAAGGACUCCAUAAUUCCCAUUGCAGUGUGUCUAAGGUAACAUAUGCCACUUCAUAAUUCUAAGCUAGAUACUUGAGUCACUCUUGACAUUUGUUAUUGGGCGUAUCCGGGUACAAAAUACGUUCUACUCGAGGUGUACUCCGUACCACGAAGGCCACCACAGAAGCUUCCCCACUCUAGUUCUCACUGCGGUAAUUAAGGGUUUCCCCGUGGAAGCGGCCUUAUCAAGGGUUCUCCGUUAUGCCCCUAUCAGUUGCAAAGGCGAGGUAAAGAGUCUUUUACACUCACCUUGAAUUACCUCAACAUCCUAACCUUUACAACCAUGGUAAUAUGCCUCGUGGCCUUGCGACAGAAAUGGUGAGUGGGGCACCUUCACAAAAUUCAUGAAGGCUAUUGAAAAAAACAUUCAACAGAGAAUAUCACAUCCUUAUUAACAUUUCAGCCUCCUAUACAUACCAUGGUUCAUCCAAAUCCCUGAGAACUGAGGAAACUACUCACACGUUGAGACAUGGAUGAAACAUCGGAUAAUACAUGUAUGGAUCGUACGAAUAGUGGAAAUAGUGGUGGUAAACAUGGUUUAAACACACGGAUAAUACAUGUAUGGAUCCACAAGGUUUCGGUAUUACAAUGGGAAGGAGAUGGAUGAUGCUGACGUCCCCUUGCACGAGCUGGUGGUGAUAGUGAUCUCCUCCUUUCCUUAAAUCUGCAAGCACAUUUAAAACAACAUCUUGGAGAGAACAGGAAAAAAGAAUUGUGCAGACGCGGUAAAAGCUAGCAAAUUUUACUGUGUAGGCGGGCUUGUGAUGGCUGUGGCAGUGUGGAUCUGACUACCGAGUUGUGACAAGUUGUGUGGGGCGAUGGUGGAGGUCCUCCCUCUUCUGAGCGUGAUAUCUGGCGACGGUGGGUUUCGACAGUCCCUCUCACGGGUGUGGAGGCGGGUCAAGGGGCGGUGAGUGUUGGCCGUGGUUUAGGCUGGCACUGGCGGAUCUGGGCAGGGGGAUUCAAUGGAGAGGCGGGGCUGGCAUUGGUGCGACUUCUCAGCGACUGGAGUUGCCGGCUGUUCGGAGCGCCCCCGCCCCUCUUGAUGGGGUGGCGCCCCCCUCGUGCAUAUGUCGGCAGCGGGUCGGUGAUGCAGACUAGCCGCCGGGCAAGGAGUUUGACAUGGUCGUCCUUGUCGGGGUUAGUUGCUCCCCACACAAGUUUUAGUGCUUAGUCGCCUAGGAUUAGGGUUUUUUGACUCUGGGUCGUUGUCGGUCAAGCCAAGGUGAAUGCUUGCAGCUCUGUUGGGGGAGGCACCUCCACACAUUGUAGUGUCGGUGAUGAUUGGUAGAUGUGGUGGUCAGGGCUAUGAUAUGCCGGCUGGUGGACCAGUGCCUCAGUUCACAGACUUGGCAUCUACGCUGGUCUCGACGAUGGUCGUCGGCAGUCACCUAGCGAGGUGACUGAUGCCGGGCUUUACUUGCUGCGAUUUGUGCAUUGUGAAGCGAGCGGGUCUAGGUGGUGCUCGGUGGUGAUGGUUGUGUUAGCAUUGCAUUCGUGCGCGGAUCAGUGCCGGUGAUCGCAAACAUGGCGUGGUGCGAGCUCGCCUGGCCAAGGGCUCGGUGCUGGCUCACCGGCGGUCCCCCUACUCCACCGACCAUUGGCUGGGGAUGCAGGUGUGGGUGCGUCCUAUGGUGGAGGUGCCCAACCAAACUCUUGGACUGAGUCUGGGCUAGGAGUAGAUGGAGUGUCGUCGCUCUUCCUACCAUGGUUGGCUACGUUGUCAUGUGAGCGGCGUAUGGUAUUUCGCAACAAGGAUGCCGGGUUGGCGGCCCCUGAUGGCGGGCCGCAUGAUUGCUCUUUGGCAGCCAUUAUUUCGUUGGUGGUGGCUCCCCUCCUGGGUUGUGGGGGCAACGGGAGGUGUUGCGGUUAGUAGCUCAGACGUGCCCUCUCUCUCGGAGGGGCAGCGUCCUGAUCAAGAUCUGGGGAUCUAACAUCAACGCGCUAGUCCUGAGGACCUCGUGGUGGCACAGGUGAGUUGUCGAGCAAAAGCUCCGUGCCUUGGCGUCGCCGCUGACGACACUCAUGGGUGCCACACUCUUCUUGAAGACGUCGUUGUGGUUCUUCUCUCCGUGUCAGGGCUCCGGGUGUAGAACUUUGUCUGGUGUGGACUCAGCAGGGGCGACGCUGUGCGGAGUUCUCCCACUUGGGGCCGUUGUCGUGGAGCUUAGGUGUGCUAGGUCGUAGCGUGAGGAUGUUUUGUUCUUCCGGUGCUUGUUGCUGGUAGCGUAGAAGCGUGCGUUUUGCAUGUGCCGGACAACUCAGGACCGACUUUGUAAGGUCUACGUGACCAUAUUGUAUCGUUUGGCCGUGUGCAUCUUUGGAUGUUGCUUUGUUUAUAAAGCGGGGCAAAAGCCUAUUUCGAGAACAACGAAAACAACAGCAACAACAAACAAAUCAACAACUUCAGAAUAGUUUAUCUUUUAAAAUUUCACUUGCUUAAUAAACUACAUGCAUAGGACUUUCUACAGUGUUUUAGAGAAGGACAACUACGAUUUGCUAGCUAGCUAGUUAGGUAUUUCAACACAACAUCAACAGGAAGGAGGAGAAGAACUGUUAACAGCCAGGCAGGCAGGUGGAGAGUGGAUGUGUGAGAGUGAGGUCUCUCUGGCUUUUUCCUGUAUGGUACCCCUACUUCCUUCGCUGACAAAGACCUGUUCUGAAUCUGUAAUACUGAUUCACAGUAAUGAUGGUGGAUCGACUAUAUCUUGACUAAUCCAUGUACAACGAAAAUUACUACGUACAUGAUUAAAAAUCCAAGGGUCAAAUCCUGAUCAAUCGAUCCGGCAAAUUCUGCACGAAUCUAGCAUGACAUCAUGUGUGAUUAACAAGAGUUUCAAUUAUAAUUAGCCUCCGAGAAGCAACAUGGAGGAGGAUGUAGUCGUGUUUUUGGCCUUGUUAGAAACUUCGCUUUCCAUCAAUCUGAAAACAAGUGGUAGAGGGCAAAAAAAUUAAAAAAAACAUGUGUAGAGGAUACCGCAACACAUAAAGCCACACACACAAAAACAGCAGUAUGCUAGCUGGUCCAUGACAUUGACAAAUCAAUUGAUUUGCUGCAACCAUAUGUAUGAAUAAUAUCGCCAAGGAUAAGAGAAGGAAAAAAUAUAAAUAUACCGAUAGGCUCUUCUUUUGUUCAUGGAUGCAUGUUGCAUGAGCCAAGUGUAUUGGCAGUAUGGCUUGUGUUUGCUGCAUGAUGGCGGCAGGUUCCCAUUCAGUUAGGCAUGCUAAGUCCUAAAUUCAUUUAUUCACGUAUCAGGUAGAAGUAGAACAAAUUUCAUUUCUUUUCUGUAGGUUCCUUGCUUAAAAGAAAAUAGAAAAAAAUACACUUCUAUAAUUACCAGAAAAAAUCAACUGUAUGUCGCUCAGCCUUCCCUUUUUGUUCCGUAUCAGUAUCAACAAUCAUAGUACUAAUAGCUUUCUAUACUGGCGGUAGUAAAUUCAAUAAAAGAAACCUGGAGACUAUCUGAACAAUUUGAAACAAUAUAUACAAAUUGAGAUCAACUAACGACAAAAAUCCAAAAGAAAUGUUCAUGUCUACGUGGAGUGAAUCGAUCAAGCCGUGCAAAGCCCUAACAAUUCGUUUUGUAUUAAUAACUCAUAUGACAAUACAACCGCUCCAUAUGAAAAUGUAAUAUGAUGAUUCAUGAAUGCUUAUCCAUCUUAUAAAUAUAUUGUGCAAAAAAUAUCGAGUUAGUUCAGAGAAAACGCUGUCUAGAACAAUCUUCACAUUAAUAGUGUGAUCUAUCUCAACGACUCACACAAGAUUACAUAGUUUGUUCCCUUAAGUAUGCCAAUCUGGAUACGCCUAACAAUAUGUAGAACAUGACAAACUAAAUCAGAACAAGGGACAAAAUCUAGAUCAAUGUUUGAAGUGUAAAGUGAAUACGAUGAGUCAUUUGUCGUUAUCAAGCAUUCCAUACACCUAGAUGAUAUGUGCAAGAACAAUCAACUAUGACGAAUAAUCCAAAAUCACGAUAGUAAGUAGUACCAUAAAACACGACAUACCAAAUUAUUGUAAAUGAUAAGCUUAAGAGCACUUUUUCAAGAAGCACGUGUAAAGAUUACAAACUUAGUUCCCUUAAGUUAUGCCAAUCUGGAUACACCUAACAACAUGUAGAACAUCACAAACUAAAUCGGAAAGACGGACAAAAUCUAGAUCAAUGUUUGAAGUGUAAAGUGAAUACGAUGAGUCAUUCAUCGUGAUCAAGCAUUCGAUACAGCCAGAUGAUAUGUGCAAGAACAAUCAACUAUGAUGAACAAUCCAAAAUCAUGCUAGGAAGUAGUGCCACCAAACACAACAUAUCAAAUUAUUAGGUCGAUAAUCGUAAGUGCACUUUUUCAAGAAAAGAGUGGGAAGAUGAAAACAAAAUAUGUCAUGCCUGCUAUAAAUACGACUACACCAUGUGGGUCUCUUCCAUCAUCUAACCUUCAAACACCUAAAGCAAAAACACCAAAGCCAAGUGAGCAAUAGUAAACACAAAUCAAACAUGAAGACCUUCAUCAUAUUUGUCCUCCUUGCUAUGGUGAUGAGCAUCGCCAGUGCCACUAGGCAACUAAGCCCUAGAAGCAAGGAGUUGCAAACACCACAAGAACAAUUCCCCCAACAGCAAUUUCCUCAACCACAACAAAUCCUCCAACAACAAUUCCCCCAACAACAACAAAUCCCCCAGCAACCGCAACAAUUCCCCCAACAACAAAUCCCGCAACAGCAAAUCCCGCAACAACAAAUCCCCCAACAACAACNNNNNNNNNNNNNNNNNNNNNNNNNNNNNNNNNNNNNNNNNNNNNNNNNNNNNNNNNNNNNNNNNNNNNNNNNNNNNNNNNNNNNNNNNNNNNNNNNNNNNNNNNNNNNNNNNNNNNNNNNNNNNNNNNNNNNNNNNNNNNNNNNNNNNNNNNNNNNNNNNNNNNNNNNNNNNNNNNNNNNNNNNNNNNNNNNNNNNNNNNNNNNNNNNNNNNNNNNNNNNNNNNNNNNNNNNNNNNNNNNNNNNNNNNNNNNNNNNNNNNNNNNNNNNNNNNNNNNNNNNNNNNNNNNNNNNNNNNNNNNNNNNNNNNNNNNNNNNNNNNNNNNNNNNNNNNNNNNNNNNNNNNNNNNNNNNNNNNNNNNNNNNNNNNNNNNNNNNNNNNNNNNNNNNNNNNNNNNNNNNNNNNNNNNNNNNNNNNNNNNNNNNNNNNNNNNNNNNNNNNNNNNNNNNNNNNNNNNNNNNNNNNNNNNNNNNNNNNNNNNNNNNNNNNNNNNNNNNNNNNNNNNNNNNNNNNNNNNNNNNNNNNNNNNNNNNNNNNNNNNNNNNNNNNNNNNNNNNNNNNNNNNNNNNNNNNNNNNNNNNNNNNNNNNNNNNNNNNNNNNNNNNNNNNNNNNNNNNNNNNNNNNNNNNNNNNNNNNNNNNNNNNNNNNNNNNNNNNNNNNNNNNNNNNNNNNNNNNNNNNNNNNNNNNNNNNNNNNNNNNNNNNNNNNNNNNNNNNNNNNNNNNNNNNNNNNNNNNNNNNNNNNNNNNNNNNNNNNNNNNNNNNNNNNNNNNNNNNNNNNNNNNNNNNNNNNNNNNNNNNNNNNNNNNNNNNNNNNNNNNNNNNNNNNNNNNNNNNNNNNNNNNNNNNNNNNNNNNNNNNNNNNNNNNNNNNNNNNNNNNNNNNNNNNNNNNNNNNNNNNNNNNNNNNNNNNNNNNNNNNNNNNNNNNNNNNNNNNNNNNNNNNNNNNNNNNNNNNNNNNNNNNNNNNNNNNNNNNNNNNNNNNNNNNNNNNNNNNNNNNNNNNNNNNNNNNNNNNNNNNNNNNNNNNNNNNNNNNNNNNNNNNNNNNNNNNNNNNNNNNNNNNNNNNNNNNNNNNNNNNNNNNNNNNNNNNNNNNNNNNNNNNNNNNNNNNNNNNNNNNNNNNNNNNNNNNNNNNNNNNNNNNNNNNNNNNNNNNNNNNNNNNNNNNNNNNNNNNNNNNNNNNNNNNNNNNNNNNNNNNNNNNNNNNNNNNNNNNNNNNNACAACAAUUCCCCCAACAACCACAACAACAAUUCCCCCAACAACAAUUUCCCAUACCAUACCCACCCCAACAACAAUCACAAGAAGCUUCCCCAUACCAACAAUACCACAACAACAACUAUCUGGGAGCGACGUUAUAAGUAUCAGUGGCCGAUGAAAUGAAGAGAUGUAAUACUAGACAGGUGAAUCAUCGUUGUUAGUCAAUGGAGCAUAAUGUAACGGGUAUAAAUAAAAUGAUGUGCACCAUCAUGUGUAACCCCGACCUGUACUAGUUCAAACAUGGGAAUAAAAGACAAAUAAGUUCUUUUCUGAAGCACAUUGCUGGCAAUUGUUAUAUUCAUGCCAUAUUUCGAUUUCCAUCGCUAACUACAAUCUCAAUGUUAUGGUCUAUCUACUUAUUUAUGAAGUGUAGUACUAUGAACAUAACAUAAUUAACAUGUCUGAAAAUUGGGUCAAAUUGAAGUACUAUUAAUUCAAGAGUAAGGAGUAAUUACAAUUUAACAUUUCAAUGGAGAGCUCUAAUUGUAGACUGCGUUGUUAAUUCCCCGAAGAGGAGAGGAUGAUGUAGUAUAGUAGAGAUAAGUAUUUCCCUCAGCUAAGAACCAAGGUUAUUAAUCCAGUAGGAGAACCACACAAAACCUCGUUAGCAGCACCUGCACACACAACAGCAAACACUUGCACCCAACGCAAAUAAGAGGGUUGUCAAUCCUCUUAGCGAUUAUUUGCAAGGAUUAGUUCUGACAGUGAUACAUAGAUAAAAUAAAUUACUAAAUAAAAUAAAAAUAAAUAAAUUGCNNNNNNNNNNNNNNNNNNNNNNNNNNNNNNNNNNNNNNNNNNNNNNNNNNNNNNNNNNNNNNNNNNNNNNNNNNNNNNNNNNNNNNNNNNNNNNNNNNNNNNNNNNNNNNNNNNNNNNNNNNNNNNNNNNNNNNNNNNNNNNNNNNNNNNNNNNNNNNNNNNNNNNNNCAGAGUUUUCACUAGAGGAUUCUCUCUUGAUCAUAGAGCAUAUGGUGGGUAAACACAUUACUGUUGGGCAAGCUAUUAUAUACUAAAAGGAAAAUAUUGGUCCAAAAUAGAGAAUAGGCUAGAAAAUCCGGCGUUAAUUAGAAAAUAUGAACCCUUGAUCCGUUUAAUUUUAAAAAUUAUAAAUCUAUGACCGUUCAAUAUACGUAACAAGGUAGGGCGUGGAUAACUUCCCGCGUAACGUGACACAUGUAAGAAACACAAACAUGGGUCCAGUUAAGGCAAACACGUAGAUGUGUUGAAGUGGGAAUGAAUAGAAUUGCUACGUCCGAAUAUGCAAGAGAUAUAAAAGAAGAAGAAAACUAAAGAACAUGUCGUGUUCAGAUUGGACUAAACGUAUGUGCGUAUACAACCACAACCACAAUCCGAAAGGUCCAGCCAUUAAUCCCGUGGGUCCAUCCAAAACAAAAGGUGGAUAUCCAUCUAAUUGCCCCACGUCCAUGGAACAUACUUAUUAGAGUCCACAAACAACAGCUGCUGGUCUCUUUUACAUGAUCCUCCUUGCACUGUUAGGACUUUGCCGUCGGACAUCCCAAAGUUCUUGUGAAGUUCACAUCUAAAAAUACUAUCAUAAUAAAAAAAAUCCAUUUCAUACUCCAGGAAAGAUAUCACCGUCCCAAAGUUUCAAUUGCAAUCUAAGUUUUGCCACAACUGGGUAUUUAAAGCUUAUUUUGCCAUAGCCAGGCAAUUUCAGCCACUAAGGUUUUUGUGGCAGAUCAAGCAUCUUCCCAUUGGAAACUCCCAACUGUAAAAAGACCAGCAAAUUAGCAAUCAUUGGCAAAUCAGCAAUCUUAUAGCGGCAGCAGCUCCCAUCAAUCAGGCAACUCAUCUUUCAAAAAUCAGAGACAAUAAGCAACCAUACACAUCAUGGACAUAUGAUAUUAACGAUAAUUACAUAUGUGAUUUCUGUGUUGAAUUUCGUACAACAUCACCAUGAAGAGAAGCGCAUCCACAUGGCAAGUAAUUUCCAAAAGCCGCCAAGAAGGUGAAAAGCAAUCAAAUAUGCAAUCCAACAAGUUAAUUAUUAAGCUAUAGACCAUGCAUGUUUCAGUGGUGCAUACAAGAUCAGUAGAACAAAUUCCUAGCCGUUACGACAUUCAUCAGGGAGGCGAGGACUGUGAAGCGAGGGGUUGCGAGCUGGAGGGAAUGGCGGCACACCCCGUGUCUCAGCCGAGAGAGGAGAGGCCGGGGAUAGAAUUAAGAGAGACACGAGAGAUGACAGAUGAUAGGCUAGGGAUCGUUGGGCGUUCUCACAUAUUGCGUGGAGGUGGUUAGCUAAAUGGGGCAGCACAAAGGCCCAGUCAACCGCAGGUGGCAGAGUUUUCUCCCAGUGCAGCAGCCCUUUAGGACAGUUGAGCCAAGAAAUAUAAUUACAAAAUUAGGGAUUCAUCCAAUAGUCAGAAAUGAUCUAUACAAGUGAUCUGAUAGUUACAAAUGUUGAAUGCUUGAGAGAGCUGGGAUAAGGCUAGGUUUUACUGUCCUAAAUGUAUUAGAUAUGUAGAAUCUGACAGUUAUUAAAGUUUAAUUGUCCUUCGAAACAAACUAUGGCUAAUCACCACUACGCUAAUUACUUUUUACAAUUGUUGAACAUGAAUGGGGGUUAGGGGGGCGUAACACUGCUGAUGAGGGUCCCAACCCCGAAAAAGGUGGAGGGUGCAUGAUCAAAUUAACAUCUAACACUAACAUGCAAUACCUUUUAAGUUCUUAUAUUGAUUCAAUCGCAAAAGGGAGAAAUGAAACAAAAGUAGGCAGCGGGACCUGGAAGUCAACAGAGGAAACAGAAGGGUAUGCUCAUCGUGUGGAAUCGUUUGUGGGGGCGAGCUGAGUAAACAGAGGAAGGUGAUCGAAUGACGUCUCAGGUUUAUUUGUUUACUGAACAGACAGACAUGUGUAAGUUUUUUUUCCCUUUGAGGGGAAAGACGUGUGUAACUAGGGAGAGAUGAUUUUGCACGUUCUGUAUUUUUUUCCACCAGAAAACAGAUACUACUUUAACAAAUAAAUCCUACACUAAAUAUUUUAUAUGCUGCAAAUUACAGGCCACAUACGCAUGAGCCUAAAUUAUAGGCGACUAUUUCAUAGGGUGAAAGUAAACAAAAUAGAAAAUCUUAUAGGCGACAUAAGCAUGAACCUAAAUUAUAUAUUUUAUAUGCUGCAAAUUAUUUUAAAAACAUGUGAAAAUAUAGUGCAUGAUCAUCAGACCAAAAACUCUAGCCUGUACAAAACACUCAUAUUUAGACGUAUAUUUCAUAUGGAGCUGCCAAUUCAUAUCAAUCCGGCACUACAACAGUAACACUAUCGUGCAGCCGCUUAAGUCAAAUCUAAGGUUAAAGCUAAUCAACACAAAAUAUCCAAUGUAAAAGGAAUUACUUAUACUAAAAAAUAUAAAAUAUACCUAAGAGUGCGAACAAUGACGAAUAUUUACUAUAAGAGUGCUAGCCCUCGCAUUUGCGAGGGCCACCUUGCUAGUUGAUAAAAAACAAAUAAUUAUGAUGGAUUCAUGGCAAUGAUCAUGUAUAUAGGCAUCACGUUCGAGACAAGUAGACCGACUCCCGUCUGCAUCUACUACUAUUACUCCACCCAUCGACCACUAUCCAGCAUGCAUCCAGAGUAUUAGGUAUAAAACAGAGUGACGCCUUAAGUACGAUGACAUGAUGUAGAUAAAGUAAAUUCAAGAAAUAUGAUUAAACCCCAUCUUUUUAUCCUUAAUUGUCAGCCCAUUGGCUGUUAUUUUCCCCGAUCUGACCGUCCGCGACGCUCCUGUUGUUCGCAACGCUACCGCUACGACUGCGGGAGCAUGUCAUUUUCGUUAUACAUGUAACCCAAAAAUAUCUCUAACAUUAAUGACAACAAUACAAAUACGUGUUAUGUCCGUUUUUGUCACUGGGAUUGAGCAAUGCAAGAUUGAAUCCAUCACAAAGCACCUCUCCCCAUUGCAAGAUAAACCAAUCUAGUUGGCCAAACCAAAUCGAUAGAUCAGGGAGAAAUAUAAAGCUAAAAUAAUCACGCAUAAAAGAGCUCAGAGAAGACUCAAAUAUUUCUCAUGAAUCAUAUGAUCAUAAACUCACGAUUCAUUGGAUCCCAACAAACACACCGGAAAAGAAGAUUACAUCGGAUAGAACUCCAAGAACAUCGGGGAUAACUUUGUAUUGAAUAUCAAAGAGAGAGAAGAAGCCAUUUAGCUAUUGGCUAUGGACCCAUAGGUGUGUGGUAAAAUACUCACACAUCAUCGGAAGGACAGCAUUGUUUAUGUGGAAGCCCUUCGUGAUCGAUUCCCCCUCCGGCAGAGUACUGGAAAAGGCCUCCAGACGGGAUCGCGGAAGAACAGAGGCUUGCGGCGGCGAAAAAGUUUUGUCAUCUAUCUCUCUGGUGGUUAUGGAAUAUUUGUGAAUUUAUAGUGGAAGAAUUAGGUCAGGAGGUGCCACGAGGGGGCCAUAAGCCUAGGGGCGCGGUGAUACGUCCAUUUUGCAUCAUGUUUUAUUACGGUUAUUUAUUAAGUUUUGAGCCAAUAUAACACUUCAUGGAGUAUUUCUAAUGCCUUUUCUCUCUUAAUCUGCAAGGUUUACACAAAGAGGGAGAAUACCGGCAGCUGGAUUUCAGGGCCUGAAAAAGCUACAUCAGAGAUCCCUAUUCUGCACAUCUCCAAAUGGGCUGAAAAUUCACGAAGAUUUAUUUUAGAAUAUAAAAAAAAUACUGGGCCAAAGAUCCACGGGAGGAGGCCACCCAGGUGCCCACACAACAAUAGGGCGCGCCCCACCCCUGGGGCGCGCCCUGAUGCUGUAUGAGGCCCCUGGCCCACUUCAGCCCCCCUCCUUCUGGUAUAUAAGUCAUUUUACCAUAAAAUAUUUAUGGGGAGACUUUCAGGACGAGGCGCCGCCGCCACGAGGCGGAACUAGAGCAGGAGAAAUUUGGCUCUCCGGCGGGCAGAUUCCGCCGGGGAUACUUCCCUCCGGGAGCUGGAAAUCAAAGCUUACGCCAUCACUAACAACCCUCUCAUCGUGGGAGGGCCAAUCUUCAUCAUCAUAAACCACAACACCAUCUCAUCUCUAUCCCUAGUUCAUAUCUUGUAUUCGAUCUCUGUGUCAAAACAUUAGAUUGGUACUUGUGUUUGACUAGUAGUGUUGAUUACUUAUCGUAGUUGAUGCUAGUGGAUUUGUUUGGUGAAUUACCAAAUGUUCUGAUCGUGCAUCCAAAUUAUAUCCUCUCUGAUCAUGAACAUGAUGAUGAUGUGUGAGUAGUUACUUUUAUUCUUGAGGACAUGGGAGAAGUCUUGUCAUUAGUAAUCAUGUGAUUCCACUGGUAGAAAACUGGGCUUUGGUCACAGGGCAAUAUUCACAUUAGUCCCGGUGCAGUCACGAACGGGGACUAAUGUGAGCAUUGGUCCCGGUUCGUGCGGCCAGGGGCCUGCCGGGCCUCGUGGGGGCAUUGGUCCCGGUUCGUCCGGCCCCUUUGGUCCCGGUUGGUGGGACAAACCGGGACCAAUGGGCCACGCUCCUGGCCCACCACCCUUUAGUCCCGGUUCAUACCACAAACCGGGACUAAAGGGCUGGUCCUAGUUGCGGCCAGUGUUUAGUCCCUCCUCGCCAACCGAAGGGCGCUCACACCAGUUUAUAAGCCCGUCCCUCUCUGCCUUGUUGAGCUUCUCUUAAAGUGAAAAUAGAUGCCCUUAUACAGGGAAUUUGACCUAAAUUCACAGUAAAUUUCAUAGAAAUUUGUUAUGAAUUUAGGUUUAAUUUUCUCUAUAAGCGCAUCUAUGUUCAUUUUUUAUAUUUAUAAAAUAAAUAAACAUUAAUAAAAUAAAUAAAACUAAAUAAACCUUAAUAAAAUAAAAUAAAAUAAACUAUAGUAACUACAAUAAAUAAACCUUAAUAAAUUAAGUAAAAAUAGCAGCAGUAAAAUAAAUAAAAAUAGCAGCAGUAAAAUAAAUAAAAAUAAAAUAAUUAAAGUAAAAUACAUAAGUAAUUAUAAAUAAAAUAAAUAAGUUUUUUGUUGUAAGUAGAACAAAACAAAACAAAUAAAGCAAAAGAGAAAAAAAACAGAGGAACAAAAUUAUGCCACCUACUGGGCCACCACGGCCUGAAUACGACUAGAAACCCAUCCAUGGGCCAGGAUUCANNNNNNNNNNNNNNNNNNNNNNNNNNNNNNNNNNNNNNNNNNNNNNNNNNNNNNNNNNNNNNNNNNNNNNNNNNNNNNNNNNNNNNNNNNNNNNNNNNNNNNNNNNNNNNNNNNNNNNNNNNNNNNNNNNNNNNNNNNNNNNNNNNNNNNNNNAAAAAAUUAUGCCACCUACUGGGCCACCACGGCCUGAAUACGACUAGAAACCCAUCCAUGGGCCAGGAUUCAGGCCCGCAGAAGGCCCAGUAGGCCCCACAGGCAAAGAGAACAGUUAGGCCCGAAAGCCUGCAGUUGAGAGGAGUUCGAGAGGGUGGGCGCAGCAGCGCUUAUAAACCACUCUCGAGCUCUCUCAACUAGCGAGGUGGGACUAAACUUUUGACGCGGGGCAGCACAAGGCCUUUGGUCCCGGUUGGUGCCACCAACCGGGACUAAAGGAGGCAUUGGUCCCGGUUCGUGGCACCAACCGGGACAAAGGCCUUUAGUCCCGGUUGGUGCCACGAACCGGGACCACCGAGUUCCCUAUAUACCCCAUCGCCACAGCAGAGCACUCCAGAGUGCUCUGUUUUUUCUGGCCGCGAGGGGAGGGCAUUUGGGUGCUCUAGCUCACCUCCUAUGCACAUGAGGUGUUCGAUGAAAUGUCUGAGCCACACUAGUUAAUCUUUGUCCUCUCGAAACUCGACCUCCGAGCUCCAUUUUCCCCGAGAUUUGUCUAGGUUUAGCGGUCCGUCACGUCCCGUCCCCGUCUUCACCGCCGUCGAUCGCCCGCGCCGAUCUCGUCGCCAGCACCACCGUGGUGAGCCUCUUGUUCUUAUCUUCUUUCUGAAAGGAAAAAAAUUCUUACUUUAGAUAGUUACUUGUCUAAUUUUGUUACUUUUAUUAUUCCUUCUUAUUACAUAGUGCGAUGGUUUUGGUAUCCGCCCCCGUCGGCCCUCAUCCUGUCUAUGAUUCGGAUGUGGUAUAUAUUAUCUUUUUAUAACUAUUUGGUUCAUUUACUGUUUAUGACAAAUAUACCGACCAACGUGACAUAGAUUUUAUUUAUCUAGGAGGUGGUUGAACCGGAAAUUCUAACCGACCCUAUUGUUGAGAGGUUAAAUUUAGUUGAAGAAGAAAACAAUUAUUUGAAGGAAAAAAUAAAAAAAAUUGAGGAGGAGAAGAUGAUAUUGGAGUGGCAUGUUGCGGAUGUCGUCGAUGAUCACAAGAUCAAGAUGGAUGCAAUGCGCUUAAAGAUUAGAAAGAUUAGAAAAUAUGCCAUUCAUACUGAGGCUUGGUAUCAUUAUGCCAUUGGAUCAAUUGUUACCUUGGUUGCGAUUAUGAUCGCAUUUGUUUUCGCAUUGAAAUGUUUUACAUAGUUUCAAUGUAUGGUUUAAUUAAUUAGAUGCUCUGGAGAGCUAUAUAUAUGUUGUUAGAUGAGAACUAUGUAUGUACUUUGGUUUUAAUGUGAUGAUGAACUUCUAUUAAUUUGGUCACUUAAUUAUCUAUUCAUGAUGUUCUGUAAUGGUUUUUGACACACUUAAUUAUAUAUAAUGCACGCAGAUGAACCGGCAAUGGAUGUACGAUGACAGACACACCUCCGAGUACAUUAAGGGCGUGCAUGAUUUUCUCGAAGUGGCUGAGGCAAACAAGCAGAAUGGUUUUAUGUGUUGUCCAUGCCCUAUAUGUGGGAAUACGAAGUCUUACUCUGACCGGAAAAUCCUUCACACCCACCUGCUUUACAAGGGUUUCAUGCCACACUAUAAUGUUUGGACGAGGCACGGAGAAAUAGGGCUUACGAUGGAAGACGGUGAAGAAGAAGAGGAUGAUGACAACUAUGUGCCCCCUGAAUACGGUGAUGCUGCAACGGGGGAAGCUGCUGAAGAUCAAGAGGAACCAGACGAUGUGCCCAAUGAUGCUGCAAGGGGGGAAGCUGCUGAAGAUCAAGAGGAACCAGUGCCCGAUGAUGAUGAUCUCCGCCGGGUGAUAGUCGAUGCAAGGACGCAAUGCAAAAGUCAAAAGGAGAAGCUGAAGAUCGAUCGCAUGUUAGAGGAUCACAAAAAAGGGUUGUACCCCAAUUGCGAAGAUGGCAACACAAAGCUCGGUACCGUACUGGAAUUGCUGCAGUGGAAGGCAGAGAAUGUUGUGCCUGACAAAGGGUUUGAGAAGCUAUUGAAAAUAUUGAAGAAGAAGCUUCCAAAGGAUAACGAAUUGCCCGACAGUACAUACGCAGCAAAGAAGGUCGUAUGCCCUCUAGGAUUGGAGGUGCAGAAGAUACAUGCAUGCCCUAAUGACUGCAUCCUCUACCGCGGUGCGUACAAGGAUCUGAACGCAUGCCCGGUAUGCGGUGCAUUGCGAUAUAAGAUCAGACGAGAUGACUCUGGUGAUGUUGACGGCGAGCCCCCCAGGAAGAGGGUUCCUGCGAAGGUGAUGUGGUAUGCUUCUAUAAUACCACGGUUGAAAUGUCUGUUCAGAAACGAAGAGCAUGCCAAGUUGAUGCGAUGGCACAGUGGGGACCGUAAGAAAGACGGGAAGUUGAGAGCACCCGCCGACGGGUCGCAGUGGAGAAAAAUCGAGAGAAAGUACUGGGCUGAGUUUGCAGCUGACCCAAGGAACGUAUGGUUUGGUUUAAGCGCGGAUGGCAUUAAUCCUUUCGGGGAGCAGAGCAGCAAUCACAGCACCUGGCCCAUGACUCUAUGUAUGUAUAACGUUCCUCCUUGGAUGUGCAUGAAGCAGAAGUUCAUUAUGAUGCCAGUUCUCAUCCAAGGCCCUAAGCAACCCGGCAACGACAUUGAUGUGUACCUAAGGCCAUUAGUUGAAGAACUUUUACAGCUGUGGAAUGGAAACGGUGUACGUACGUGGGAUGAGCACAAAAAGGAGGAAUUUAACCUGCACGCGUUGCUGUUUGUAACCAUCAACGAUUGGCCCGCUCUCAGUAACCUUUCAGGACAGACAAACAAGGGAUAGCACGCAUGCACGCACUGUUUAGAUGACACUGAAAGUAUAUACCUGGACAAAAGCAGGAAGAAUGUGUACCUGGGCCACCGUCGAUUUCUUCCGACAAACCAUCAAUGUCGAAAGAAAGGCAAGCAUUUCAAAGGCGAGGCAGAUCAGCGGAAGAAGCCCGCCAUGCGUACCGGUGAUCACGUACUUGCUAUGGUCAAUGAUUUACACGUAAUCUUUUGAAAGGGUCCCGGCGGACUAGCUGUUCCGAAUGACGCUGAGGGACACGCACCCAUCUGGAAGAAGAAAUCUAUAUUUUGGGACCUACCCUGCUGGAAAGAGCUAGAGGUCCGCUCUUCAAUCGACGUGAUGCACGUGACGAAGAACCUUUGCGUGAACCUGCUAGGCUUCUUGGGCGUGUAUGGGAAGACAAAAGAUACACCUGAGGCACGGGAGGACCUGCAAUGUUUGCACGAAAAAGACGGCAUGCCUCCGAAGCAGUAUGAAGGUCCUGCCAGCUACGCUCUUACGAAAGAAGAGAAAGAAAUCUUCUUUGAAUGCCUGCUCAGUAUGAAGGUCCCGACUGGCUUCUCGUCGAAUAUAAAGGGAAUAAUAAAUAUGCCAGAGAAAAAGUUCCAGAACCUAAAGUCUCAUGACUACCACGUGAUUAUGACGCAACUGCUUCCGGUUGCAUUGAGGGGGCUUCUACCAGAAAACGUCCGAUUAGCCAUUGUGAAGCUAUGUGCAUUCCUCAAUGCAAUCUCUCAGAAGGUGAUCGAUCCAGAAAUCAUACCAAUGCUAAGGAGUGAUGUGGCGCAAUGUCUUGUCAGUUUCGAGCUGGUGUUCCCGCCAUCCUUCUUCAAUAUCAUGACGCACGUCCUAGUUCAUCUAGUCGACGAGAUUGUCAUUCUGGGGCCCGUAUUUCUACACAAUAUGUUCCCCUUUGAGAGGUUCACGGGAGUCCUAAAGAAAUAUGUCUGUAACCGCGCUAGGCCAGAAGGAAGCAUCUCCAUGGGCCAUCAAACAGAGGAUGUCAUUGGGUUUUGUGUUGACUUCAUUCCUGGCCUUAGGAAGAUAGGUCUCCCUAAAUCGCGGUAUGAGGGGAGACUGACUGGAAAAGGCACGCUUGGAGGGGACUCAAUAAUAUGCAGGGACGGAUAUUGUUGGUCUCAAGCACACUACACAGUUCUACAGAACUCUACCUUGGUGACCCCGUAUGUCGAUGAACACAAGAACAGUCUGCGCUCCAAACACCCGGAGCAGUGUGACGACUGGAUUACAUGUGAACACAUCAGGACUUUCAGCAGUUGGUUGGAAACACGUCUCAUAGGUGACACCACUGUUUGUGUUGAGUUGUACUCAUUGUCCAGGGGACCAUCUUCGACUGUAUUGACUUACAAAGGAUACGAGAUAAAUGGGAAUACAUUUUACACGAUCGCCCAAGAUCAAAAGAGCACCAACCAAAACAGCGGUGUCCGCUUUGAUGCAGCAACCGAGAGGGGAAAGGACACAUAUUAUGGUUACAUAAUGGACAUAUGGGAACUUGACUACGGACAUGAUUUUAAGGUCCCUUUGUUUAAGUGCAAAUGGGUCAAUCUGUCAGGAGGUGGGGUACAGGUAGACCCACAGUACGGAAUGACAACAGUGGAUCUGAACAAUCUUGGGUACACUGAUGAACCGUUCGUCCUAGCCAAUGAUGUGGCACGGGUUAUCUAUGUGAAGGACAUGUCUACCAGACCGAGGAAAAGAAAAGAUAAGGAAGCGAAUACAUCAUACGAUGAGCCAAAGCGCCACAUAGUUCUUUCAGGAAAAAGGGACAUUGUGGGAGUGGAGGGCAAGACAGACAUGUCUGAAGAUUAUGAAAAGUUUCAUGAAAUUCCUCCCUUCAAAGUCAAGGCUGACCCAAGCAUCCUGAUAAACGAUGAAGAUUAUCCAUGGUUAUGGCGCAAUAAGCCAAUGACACAAGCGAAGAAAAAGUGAAGACUUUCUCCCGCAACUAUUAUGAUGAUACCAUGCCAACUUUGUAAUAGACGAGUAUGAUACCAUUGUCCGUUUUGUACAAGAAGUGCAUCUAGUUUUUUGCCGUAACCCUCUCAACUUUCUUGCACAUGCUGUGUGGAUGAAAUGAUGAUACCAUGCCAACUUUCAAUCUUUUCAGAGUUCAUUUGAAAUGCUUUUCAAUUAGUAAAUGCAUGAAAAAUAACAGGCCAAAAAUUAAAAAUUAUGCCACCUACUGGGCCACCACGGCCUGAAUACGAUUAGAAACCCAUCCAUGGGCCAGGAUUCAGGCCCGCAGAAGGCCCAGUAGGCCCACAGGCAUGUACAGAGAGGUUAGGCCCGUAAGCCUGCUUUAGAGAGGAGCUCGACAGCUCAGGCGCACCGCACCUUAUAAAUAGGUGCGGCUCUCUCUUAGCUAGCGAGGUGGGACUAAACUCACCACCACGCCGCUGUGCAAGGCCAUUGGUCCCGGUUGGUGGCACGAACCGGGACCAAUUCCACCCUUUGGUCCCUGUUGGUGCCACGAACCGGUACUAAUGAGGCUGUGGCCCCACGAGCACCUUUAGUACCUGUUCGUGGCACGAACCGGUACUAGAGUUUCUUACUAAGCAGUUUUUUAGUCCCACCUCGCUAGCUGAGAGGCACUAGGAGCGGUUUAUAAGCCCUGAGUGCAGAGACAAUGAAGAAGAGGCGCAAUGCUCACGUUGCUUAGCUUCAAGCCUUGAGGAAUAAGGUAGACUGCAUCGAGCUAUGUGCAGUGCAGUCUACACUAUUCCAAAAGGCUUGAAGCAAAUCAACGAGCAUUGCGCCUCUUUUUUAUUUUUAAUAACUUAUUACAACUCCGGACUUCUUGUGUUCCGACAAAAUAAAAUGAACUUUAAUAAAAUUUAUGAAACUAAAAUUAACAAAGUAUUUUACGUUCAAAACAUUAUAAGAAACCUCUAUUAUUAUUGAAACUAAAAUCAUAUAAAAUUGAUGCAACUAAAAUUAUUGAAGUAUUUUCUGUUCAAAAUCAUUAAAAGCAAAAAGAAUUUUCAUAAAGAACUUUUUUUGAUCGAAACUUUAAUAGCAAAAAGAAUUAUCAUAAAGUAAAAUAAAUAAGUAAUUAGAAACAAAAUAAAAUAAAAUAAAUAAGUUUUUUGUUGUAAGUAGAAACAAAACAAAAUAAAUAUAGCAAAAAAGAAAACAAAAAAACUAAAUACAGCAAAAAGAAUUUUCAUAAAGAACUAAUGGCACUAAUAGAAAGUNNNNNNNNNNNNNNNNNNNNNNNNNNNNNNNNNNNNNNNNNNNNNNNNNNNNNNNNNNNNNNNNNNNNNNNNNNNNNNNNNNNNNNNNNNNNNNNNNNNNNNNNNNNNNNNNNNNNNNNNNNNNNNNNNNNNNNNNNNNNNNNNNNNNNNNNNNNNNNNNNNNNNNNNNNNNNNNNNNNNNNNNNNNNNNNNNNNNNNNNNNNNNNNNNNNNNNNNNNNNNNNNNNNNNNNNNNNNNNNNNNNNNNNNNNNNNNNNNNNNNNNNNNNNNNNNNNNNNNNNNNNNNNNNNNNNNNNNNNNNNNNNNNNNNNNNNNNNNNNNNNNNNNNNNNNNNNNNNNNNNNNNNNNNNNNNNNNNNNNNNNNNNNNNNNNNNNNNNNNNNNNNNNNNNNNNNNNNNNNNNNNNNNNNNNNNNNNNNNNNNNNNNNNNNNNNNNNNNNNNNNNNNNNNNNNNNNNNNNNNNNNNNNNNNNNNNNNNNNNNNNNNNNNNNNNNNNNNNNNNNNNNNNNNNNNNNNNNNNNNNNNNNNNNNNNNNNNNNNNNNNNNNNNNNNNNNNNNNNNNNNNNNNNNNNNNNNNNNNNNNNNNNNNNNNNNNNNNNNNNNNNNNNNNNNNNNNNNNNNNNNNNNNNNNNNNNNNNNNNNNNNNNNNNNNNNNNNNNNNNNNNNNNNNNNNNNNNNNNNNNNNNNNNNNNNNNNNNNNNNNNNNNNNNNNNNNNNNNNNNNNNNNNNNNNNNNNNNNNNNNNNNNNNNNNNNNNNNNNNNNNNNNNNNNNNNNNNNNNNNNNNNNNNNNNNNNNNNNNNNNNNNNNNNNNNNNNNNNNNNNNNNNNNNNNNNNNNNNNNNNNNNNNNNNNNNNNNNNNNNNNNNNNNNNNNNNNNNNNNNNNNNNNNNNNNNNNNNNNNNNNNNNNNNNNNNNNNNNNNNNNNNNNNNNNNNNNNNNNNNNNNNNNNNNNNNNNNNNNNNNNNNNNNNNNNNNNNNNNNNNNNNNNNNNNGCCGCCCCUGCCUCGACGCCGCCCCUCCUCCCCGUUCGGUCUGGCUCCGGCGACCCCCUUUCCUCCCUGUCCCCUCGAUCCUCUUCAUAUAAUUUGUUCAUAUAUUUUUUUUCAUAUAAUUUUUUUCAUAUGCAUAUGUUGAUUAUAUGGAUGGAUGGAUGAUGUAUAUGUUCAUUAUAUGGAUGGAUGGAUGAUGUAUGCUUUUUUUCAUAUAAUUUUUAGGCAGAUUUUUAGAAUUUUUUGUGUAUGUAUGUUAUGUUUAUAUGUAUGUAUGUAUGUAUGUUCAUAUGUAUGUAUGUUUAUAUGCAAAGCAUAUGCAAAGAAAAUGUAUGAAUGGUCAUAUGCAAAGAAAAAAUGUAUGUAUGGUCAUAUGCAAAGAAAAUGUAUGUAUGUAUGUUCAUAUGAAAGAAAAAUGUAUGGAUGUAUGUUCAUAUGCAUAUGCAAAGAAAAUGUAUGUUCAUAUAUAUGAUGAUAUGUUCAUAUAAAAAGGAAAAUAAGAAGAGGAAGAAAGGAGAAGAAGAGGAGAGGAAGAAGAGGAGAAAUAAAUAAGAAGAGGAAAAAAGAAGAAAAAGAAGAGGAGAAGAAGAAAGGAAUAGAAGAGAAGAAGAAAAAAUAGAAAAAAUUCUAUUUUUUCUUCUUCUCUCCUCUAUUCCUUUCUUCUUCUCCUCUUUUUUUUCUUCUUUUUUUUCUUCGAUCUUCUCCUCUAUUCCUUUUCUUCUUCUCCUCUUUUUNNNNNNNNNNNNNNNNNNNNNNNNNNNNNNNNNNNNNNNNNNNNNNNNNNNNNNNNNNNNNNNNNNNNNNNNNNNNNNNNNNNNNNNNNNNNNNNNNNNNNNNNNNNNNNNNNNNNNNNNNNNNNNNNNNNNNNNNNNNNNNNNNNNNNNNNNAUAUACCCCUCUCCCGAUAACUUCAACACGAGGGGGGGUCGAUAUACCCCCUCCCCGCCGAUAAUAUUAUUUUCCCAUGCACGUAUGUCGUCGUUGUCGAUAUAACCCCCUCCCGAUAACUUCAACACGUGGGGGGGGGUCGAUAUACCCCCUCCCCGAUAACAUUAUUUUCCCAUGUAUGUAUGUCGUCGUUGUCGAUAUAUAUAACUCCCUCCCAGAUAACUUCGACAUGAUGGACGGUCGAUAUUUAUACUCCCUCUCGACCGUGAUAACUUAUACCACGGGAGCACCCCCUAGCCCUCUCGCUCGACCAAAACUCUCGAGGACACCCAAACCCUAGAAAAAACUAUGUCGGUCUCCUACCCCCUCCCGCCGCGCCCCUACCCUUGAAGCGUUGCCUAGGCCACCCCAAACCCGGAAUAAGCUAGGUCUACGUUUGCACUAAUAUAUCCACCUGCUGUCAUGUUUGUGUAAUAAUUGCCAUGUUGUAAUAUUUGCAGAAACAAUGGAGCACGGACGAGAUGAGCAAGCAGAAGAGGUGUUGGGGGACAUAAUCUUAGCCGGAGGUGAUAUCUUGUCGUAUCUUAACGACAAUGAUGGUCUGGAAGAACAGGGUGAAGAAGCAGGCUACGGUGAUUGAAGAGUGGAGGAGGAAAGACAUGAUUAUGAUGGCUCCGGUGACCCAAUGCUGGUGCAAGAAGGAGCCCGUGGUGACGGCUCCGGUGACCGAACAGAGUCCGGCCAGGUAAAUAUAUUAGUUAAGCCUGUGCUGACUAGCUAAUUGAUGCAUUCAUUGUUUUGGUAUGUACAUAUAUUAAUUAACACUCGUCUUUCUUCUUUUUUCUAGCCCUCCGGAUCGAGCACAACUGCGGUAAAGAGACGAGGCCCGAAGAGAAAGUUGCGCUCGGAUGAAAGGUUUGAGAUCACAGCAAUCGCGCGCGACGGCCAACCGAUUGAACCCAUCCGGACAAAGGAUGCAUUUGCUGCUCAGUGCGGGAUUCUAGUUAGGGACAAGAUCCCGAUCAGCAUCCACCAAUGGUAUAAGCCUAAGAAGGAAGACCCUGAGGUGUCUUAUGUCAAUGAUAUGCAGAAAGAUGAUCUUUGGACUGAUCUGAAGGCAAAUUUCACCCUACCGCCAGAGGAGGAUUCGGAGAAGCCAGUUAUAGAGCAAUUAAUCAAGUCUCAUGCUCUUAAGAAGAUGGCAGACCUAUUCAGGAGGUGGAAGAAUGAGCUGAAAACGUUUGUCGACAAACAAGAGACACCAGAAUUCAUCGGCCGGUAUGAGAAGAUCAGAGAUCACUGGCCCGCAUUUGUGGCCCACAAGACAUCGGAAAAGAGUAAGAAGAUGUCAGCGACAAACAAGAAGAAUGCUGCGAAGAAGAAGCUUCACCAUCGCACGGGGUCAGGUGGCUACCUCAAAGCCCGACCUAAGUGGGCAAAGGCUGAGAAUGAUCUGCUUGAAAAAGGGAUCGAACCACAGACAAUGAACUGGACAGACUGUUGCCGGACUUGGUUCUUCGGGGCUGGCGGAACCUUGGACCCUGUAUCAGGGAGGUGUGUUUGGACGAACGAGCUUUUGAGAAUACUAGUCAAGAAGAUUCGGCAAUAUAUCGAUGCAGCGCAGGAAGGGACGUUCGUUCCAGACAGAGAGAACAACGAGCUCACAAUGGCCCUCGGGAAUCCUGAGCACCCUAGACGGACACGAGGCAUGCCAGGCUCCGUUCCGUGGAAGGCUGGUUUUCCGGACGCAGGCGGUUACAAAAGCCAGGAGAGGAGGAAAAAAGUGGAGCAGAUCCAAAUUCAGAAGCUGCACGAAAGGGUUCAAGCGCUAGAGGAACGAGACGGCAAUCGACAUGCCGAAACUGCCCCCGAAGCUACACCGCCAUCUCAGCGGAGAAGCAGCAUGGCUUCCACCGAGCUGCUUCAGCUGGAGCAUGCGGCUCCUGCUAGCUACCCCGUGGAUGCUAUCACGGAGUCUCAACAUUGCCACCUUAUGGCGGAAUGGCAGAACUUCAAAGUCAAGGCAGCGGUUGGCUCUGUUUUACCUCCUGAACCCGGCGCAACCUACCACUGCCGGCCGAUUCCAGAAGGAUAUGCUAGGGUGAUGGUUGAUGAAAUAACGGAGGGAUUUGAGGAGCUCCAGCUUGACCACCCUACCGGUGAAGGGGAGACUUGGCUGGGUUCUGCUCUGAAGACUCCAUGCCUAUGGCGGAAGGAGCUCAUCAAGCUUCCGAACUCGACGGCUCCGGCGAGUAAGGGCACUCCGCCUCCUCCUCCGCCUCCUCCUCCGGCGAGUGAUCAGGGCACUCAGCCUCCUUCUCCGGCGCGUGACGGCACUCCGCCUCCUUCUCCGCCAGCGCCGGCGCCCCAGAGCAGCCAGCCUCCUCCUUCUCCGCCUCGUCAGCAAGGGCGGAAGAGACCCGCCACCGCUGCGGCUGCUCCGGCGCGUCGUAGUCCUUCUCCUCCGCCUCGUAAGCAAGGAAAGAAGACAGUCGCAGCCGCUCCGUCUGCUCUGUCGGCGUCUAGCAGUACAGCUGCCAGAGGCGGGAGGCAAUACAGAUUCGGUCCUUCUCUGAAGACUCCAGAGAAGUUACCAUACGAUAGGACCGAGGAGGAAACCAGGAAGAUCGUGCGAGCCGAAGUGACAAACUUCUUUGAAGGGGUGAAUGCAAAGAAACAUCCACCUCCGGAGGAGAAGGUAGAUCCGGUGAAAGUAAAGCGCACUCUGGCUGCCUUGACAAAACCACCAAAGUCUCCGCCGAGAGGCCACUAUGAGCGCAUUCUUGCAAAGACAUAUGCCGAAGCGGAGCGGUCGGGAAGUACUGUUAGUGAUAAAAGGUUAAAAGAACGACGAGCUGGCAAAAAAAUUGCCCAGCUCGGCGAACAAGCGAACCAAUCGUGCCCCCCGCUCAAGGUGUCAAAAGACAUCGUCGCUAAUGAUCCGAGUAUGGUGCCCGGUUAUAGCAAUCUUGGAGAUUACCUGCCCGACGAUGUACAUUAUGAAAUCAUGGAGGUGGACGAACACAAAUACCAUUACGGGAAGCCUCUCGUCAAAGAUGAAAGAUCUCUAACAACGAUGAUGCGAAGACUACAUGAUUGGUACAUGAAAACCUGCAGAGAGUCUGAUGGGAUGGAUAAUUUGACGCUGAGAGUUAAACCGGAGCAUGACCUCAUUGGAAUUGAUCUGCUGAAUGUUCCAUUUGAGGAUUUCUUCCAGUUUUACAAUCAAAAGGCCCUCAAUAAAACAACGAUCACUUGCUACUGUCUGUAAGUAGUACUACUUCUGUCAUUAAGUCUCUCUAUAUAGGUCAGCUCUUUCAUUGCAUGUAUUUAUACUUAUCCUCACUAUAUUAUGCAGAUUGAAGAUCGCCGAAUUGAAGAAAAGACAAAUCGGUGAUAUUGGGUUCAUUAACACAAAUCUCAUAUAUGCAUAUACGGUUGAAAAACAUCCAAAGAAGCCGAGGCCAACUUGCUACAAUCGUUGGUAUUAAAUCAAAACAAAGAUAUAAUACUCUUUCCUUACAACUUCAAGUGAGUGUUACUGUCUUGUGCAUAUUCGGUUUCCCUUAUUAGUCCAGGUUAUGGUAAUGUAAUUGAUGACUUAUGCAUGCAUGCGCAGCUUCCACUAUAUUCUCCUAGAGAUUAAGCUUGAGCAGGGAGUAGUAACCGUCUUAGACUCGAGACGAAAAGAUCCCUAGGACUAUGAGAACAUGACUCAAAUGCUCGAGAAGUAAGUUAAAUCGAUCAUUAUCCACCAUAUCAGCAACUUUGUUCAUUUCAUAAUAUCAAGUAAUUGUUUUCUUUGUCUGGCAGGGUUUGGAGAAAAUUCACCUCAAAAGCUCCGGGACUGCCGAAGAAGCUGCAAUUUAAUCACCCGAAAGUAAGUACUAUAGUAGCAUGUUCCGCGCAUCUCCUAGUGAUUCAAGCGCUAGUUUCUUCAAUACCAUUUAGCAUGCUUGCUUAUCAAUUUGAUUGACCUCUAUUUCUUGUAAAGUGGUUGUGGCAGGAAACCGGGAAUAAUUACUGUGGAUACUACGUUUGCGAGUCCAUCCGCUACACGACCUGUGAGCGGGGCUACACUGAAGAACAAUAUGAAGUGCGUAAGCAAUAAUAUUCACAAUUUUAUUUUAUUACCAUCAUUUGUGUUGAGUUUCAUUUAUUCAUAUAUAUAUAUAUAUAUAUAUAUAUGUAUUGACCCCCUUCUUCAAAUUAGAUGUUUCGGAAGCGGGAUGAACUCCUAGCACCAGAUCGUAUGCGAGGAAUUCAAGAGGAAUUGGCGGCAUUCUUCCUUGACCACGUGAUCGCUGAAAACGGAGAAUACUAUGUGGACCUUGUGUUCCUACAAUUUAAUUAGGAGAUUGUAUUGUAAGAGAUAAUUAUUGUAUAUAUGUAGCCGGUAGUGUCGGAUAGAUAUACGAGAACUUGUUGUUCGACCAAUAUCUCGGAGAAGGAGAGGUGGUCGAUAUCACUUCUCUCUGUAUGCAUAUGUUCAUGACGAUCUUCUGUUUCCUUCAUUUGAUUACUAGCUAGCGUGUCUACUCCUCUCCAUACGUAUAUAGUAUGUAGCGUCGACCAAGCACGGAGAUAAGAGAGGACACUUCUCUCUAUUAAUUAGCUAGCUAACACAAUAUAUGAAACACCUAAAUUAACCCCCCAAAACCCCUAAACCACCCCCUUUCAAAAAAAACAAAAACCUCAGCUCCUGCCAGCUGCUGACGCGUGGAUGCCUAUUGGUCCCGGUUGGUGACACCAACCGGGACAAAAGGCCCUGCCUAUUGGUCCCGGUUGGUGCCGGCCCCCUGCCUGGGCUGGCAGCAGCGGCCACGUGGAGGACCUUCUGUCCCGGUUCGUGUAAGAACCGGGACUAAAGGGGGGAGGCAUUAGUAACGACCCUUUAGUCCCGGUUCGAGAACCGGGACAAAAGGCCCUUACAAACCGGGGUAAAAGCCCCUUUUCCUACUAGUGUUCCGGUAUUCGUUCAAUAUUUUGAUGAUAUGUAUGUUGUGAUUCUCUUAGUGGUGUCAUGUGAACGUCGACUACAUGACACUUCACCAUUGAUGGGCCUAAGGGAACUCAUUGUGGAGUAGUAAUUAGAUGAUGGGUUGCUAGAGUGACAGAAGCUUAAACCCCAGUUUAUGCACUAUUCCGUAAGGGGCUGAUUUGGAUCCACUAGUUUAAUGCUAUGGUUAGACUUUGUCUUAAUUCUUUUUUCUUAGUUGCGGAUAUCGGUGUCAAAACCGACAGAUCUCGGGUAGGGGGUCCCAAGUUGUGGGUCUAGGAUCAAUAGGUAACGGUGACGAUGAACACGGUGUUUUACCCAGGUUCGGGCCCUCUUGAUGGACAAUUUUUUUUAAAAAAAAAAUUUAGAAAUAUUUUUUUCAAUUUUUUUUUCAUUUUUUCUUAAUCUCGGGUCACUAUGGCUUAAUCUCGAGUCAAUAUGAUUAAUCUCAAGUCAAAUCGCACUAAGUGGUCAAACUUCCCGGAAGGUCACCCAUCCUCACACUACUCCAGCCCGAGCACGCUUAACUUCACAGUUCUAUCCAACCCCAGCACCACCUCACUCAACAGGCACUUGUUGAUAUAUCUACCAUAUCAAUCCUAUUAAACCUUGUUGAUGUCUAGGACUUUGUUCAUGUUCAUGAGUAUGAUAAAAUUUUGAAAAAUAUUUCAAACUUCCCGGUCAUAUCACGUAUCAUUUUUUGAAAAAAAAUUCCAAGAAAAAAUUCAACACCAAUUUUUUUUCUGUUACUAGUGGCGCACCUAGCAAACGGUGCGCCACUAGUAAGUUUGAAAUUUUUUGAAUUUUUUUGCCUCUAGAUCUUGAAAGCCCCGUAACUUUUUUUCUGUUAGGUUUUUGAGGAUUUUGAAAAUGUUUAACGGGGUUCCCCCGAUUAAAUUCGGAUGUAACUUUUCGAGUAGAUGAUUUUUCAUACAAAAAACUUUUUAAUCCGAGUUCGUAUGCAAAAGUUAUGCCCAUUUUACAAAUUCCAGAGAGAUUUUGCAAAUAAAGUUGAAAUUCAUAUUUGUAAAUUUUCCCAACAACUAGACCACAUAUCACAUGGGAAACUUAUUUUCUUUUAUUUUUUUAACAUUUCCAUUAUUUUCUUUUAUUUUUUUAAAACUGAAAAGGCGGUCCAUGAGGGGGUGCAUUCGGUGGAAUUUUUGGGUCAAGUUAGUAAUGGCGCACCGUGGGAGUGGUGCGCCAUUACUAGUUCAACUAGUAAUGGCGCAACACUCCCAUGGUGCGCCAUUACUAGUUUUGAAAAAAAAUAAAAAAAAUUUGAAAAAAAAUUUGAAUUUUUUUUACUAGUGGCGCACCGUGGAUGUGGUGCGCCAUUACUAGUUUAACUAGUAAUGGCGCACUAUCCCCUGGUGCGCCAUUACUAGUUUUGGAAAAAAAAUAAAAAAAUUUGAAAAAAAAAUUACUAGUGGCGCACCGUGGAUGUGGUGCGCCAUUACUAGUUUAACUAGUAAUGGCGCACUAUCCCCUGGUGCGCCAUUACUAGUUUUGAAAAAAAAUAAAAAAAAUGUUACUAGUGGCGCACAGUGGAUGUGGUGCGCCAUUAGUAUUUGGACACUAAUGGUGCGCCAUUAGUAUAUAGUAGUGGUGCACCACAUGUCUGGUGCGCCAUUAGUGUCCAUAUGAUCUAUAGCCCUUUUCCUAGUAGUGUUAGGGGUAUGAUCAGUAAUGUCAUAAUGAUGAUAAUAAUCUAUCGACUAGCCUGGCCUCGGCUUAUAUAAUGUACCAGAGGCCUAUGAUAACAAGACUCCUAGUUGGCUAUGUUGGUGGAGAGGAGUCCUUGUCUUGAUCAUCAAGUCUUGUGGAAUCUUCCCUGUAUAUGUCAUCGGUUGUCCGAACUGGCCCAUUAGUGAGGUCCUCGGCCCGACCCACUGGUCGGGAGACAACGUGGUGAGUACCCCCUAGUUCAGGACACCGUCAGCGGAUGCUUGCGAGAGGGGGUAAUCAUAAGUGGGAGGCUUGUUCAAGUAAGAACAACACCCAAGCACCGGUCCACCCACAUAUCAAAUCAUCAAAGUAGCGAAAGCGAACCGAAUGAACAUGAUGAAAGUGACUAGAUGAAAUUCCCGUGUGUCCUCAAGAACGCUUUUCUCAUUAUAAGUACUAGUUCUGGCCUGUCCUUUGCACUAAAAAGGAUUGGGAUAUCUUGCUGCACUUUAUUUACAUUUGUCACUUGCUACUCGUUACCAAUUAUCUUGCUAUCAGACUACUCGCUACCGCUUGUUUCAGUGUUUGCAAAAAUAUCGUUAUUGAAAACCGCAAGUCAUUUCCUUCUGCUGCUCGUUGGGUUCGACACUCUUACUUAUCGAAAGGACUAUGAUUGAUCCCCUAUACUUGUGUGUCAUCACGGGGCCACCCACCUGGGGUGCUCCCUCCCUAGCUUAUCACUCCCUCGAGACUCCUCGGGUCUUCCCCGAAGCUUCCAGGGUCUCUUUUGGUCCAGAAAACUUAAUCCAAUGUUUUUCUGUGUUUGUACCUUUUUUAUAAUGAUAUUAUAAAAUGAUAAAAACAAGCAAAAAAAUAACAACUGGCACUAGGCACUACGUUAAUAGGUUAGUCCCAAAAAAUGAUACAAAAAUAGCACAAAGUUGCAUAUAAAACAUCAAAGAUUGCUAAUAUAAUAGCACGAAACAAUAAAACAUUACAGAUAGGAGGCGUAUCAAGCAUCCCCAAGCUUAAUUCUUGCUCUUCCUCGAGUAGGUAAAUGAUAAAAACAAAAAAUUUGAUGUGGAAUGCUACCUAACAUGUUUCAUCAUGUAAUCUCUCUUACGGUAUGAAUAAUAAGAUCCGAAUGAUUCAAAGCAAUAGUCUAUAAUUUGAUAUAAAGACAUCAAUACUCAGGCAUACUAACAAACAAUCAUGCCUUUCAAAAUAACGAUGCUAACCCAAGUUAUCCCUACAAAAUCAUAUAAUCCUAUCAUGCUCCAUCUUCUUAACACAAAGUAUUUAUGAUGCACUACCCCAAUGACAAUCCAGGCAAUUGGUUCAUACUUCUUAACGUGCUUCAGCUUUUUCAACCCCCACGCAAUACAUGACGGCAAGCCAAGGACAUAACACUAUGGAUGGAAUAGAACAUGAUGAUAGAGAUCAAUAAGGGGAAAUCAAAAAUAAGAAGAUGGUCUCACAUCAAUGCGGCUAACAAACGGGCUAUAGAGAUGCCCAUCAAUUGAUGUCAAUGCAAGGAGUAGGGAUUGCCAUGCAACGAAUGCACUAAGAAGGCACCCAAGGUAAUAUCCAAGGAGACUCAAGCGUCGAAGCCUGGGGAUGCCCCGGAAGGCAUCCCCUCUUUCUUCUAAUGACUAUCGGUAACGCACUUGAGGCUACAUUUUUAUUCAUCACAUGAUAUGAGUUUUUCUUGGAGCGUCUUGUAUGAUAUGAGUCUUUGCUUUGUUUAUUUUUAGUAUAUCACAAUCAUCACCUCUGAACGCAUUUGCUUGAGAUAGCUUCAUGUCAUCAUGAUUUGCUUGAAUUGCCCUUUGUGCUUCACUUAAAUUUGUUGAGCUAGGUGGUUGCUCUAGUGCUUCAUUUAUAUCUUUUUUUAACACGGUGGUGCUUUUGUUUUGAAGAAACUUGUUCUCAUGCUUCACUUAUAUCUUUUUGAGAAUGCUAGAAAUUUUAUAAAAAUAUUAGUCUCAUGCUUCACUUAUAUCUUUUUGAGAGUUUGAAAUUAGUUAUGGUAAAAUGUACAGCUAUAAGCUUGGUCUCCAUAUGAUGAAUAUUCAAGAAGGAUAAUGAUAACUAGUAUAAAAAAUUUAUGGGACUUCAAAAACUUGAUUCUUUGCAACAAUUUUGAGAUAUGUAGAUGAUAAUACGUGAGUUAUGUUCAUGAAUAAUUAUACUCUAGUAUGAAUAUUGAUGUUAAGGUUUAUGAUUCCCUAUGCAAGCACGUAAAGUCAAUAGUUAUGCAAUGAAGUUACAUCCUACUUGUGGUGCAUUAUUCGGUGUUGGUUAUGUUUUCUGUAUGCAUGUGCAUCAUUACAAUUUCUUAGUUGGUCGCUUCUCAACCAUUUUGCUAGCCUCCAUUCGUACUAAGCGGGAAUACUGCUUGUGCAUCCAUUACCUUAAACUUGUUUUGCCAAUUGUGUCCAUCAUACCUACAUAUAUACGGUAUUUCAUUGCCGUCCCAAGUAAAUUUGCAUGUGCCAUCUCUAAUAAUUUUCAAAAUAAACUUCUCUUUUGUGUGCCUGUAUUGCUCAUGAAGUGAUAAGGGGUGGACGAUGAAUUCCGUGUUGUAUAUGUCAUUUUCAUGAUGAGUGUUUAUUCACUUGUCAUUGCACGAGAGUGUGGCGGUAAUAAAAGGGAUGCCCAGUCCCAAAAAUAAAUUGAAUUUCCUGGAAUAUGUUGUUAUGGAGGGCACCCGUGAAUACGGCUAGACAUGGAUUGUGAAAGGAAAGGUGGAAAAACUAACUCCUUCGGAUGUGAAUGGAAAAAAGGGACAAAAGUCUCAAAACCAUGGAACGAUGACAGGGAGCAAAAAAUUUCUUUUCAGUUUGGGAGCCGCCUAUGAUGUAUAUAACGUGGAAGGUAAGGAAAGCCUUGAGUCGCUGUCGUUGACGAGAAAACCAGGCCUCCCAAAAUAAAUUUUUUAUCUCUUUUUAAAACUUGAGGUCUGGCACCACUGUAAAUCAAUGCUUCCCUCUGCGAAGGUCGUUCUAUUUAUUUUUAUGUUGAGUCUCAUCCUUCUCAUUAAAAACCAACUAGGGGGUCAUGUGAUCAUGUGUGUGCAUGGAGUAUGAUUGACACUCGACUGUGUUUCAUAAAUCGAUCAAUGGUUGAGCAUAAUGGGCUAGGGAUAAUUUUCUUUAGCAUUGUUAUUUUGAAAGGCAUGGUUGCGUGUUAGCAUUGGAGGGGGUAUAUAUAGCCACAUCAUUGGUCCCGGUUCGUGGCUGGAACCGGGACUAAAGGCCACCCUUCUGUCCUGGUUCUAGGCACGAACCGGGACCAAUGGCUGUGGGCUAGGAGCGAGGACCAUUGGUCCCAUUCGUGCCUAGAACCGGGACAAAUGGGUCCACACGAACCGGGACAAAUGCCUCCCGAGGCCCGGCCGGCCCCCUGGGCGCACGAACCGGGACGUAUGACCCCCAUGGGUCCCGGUUCGUGACUGAACCGGGACUAAUGGGCUGGCCAGGCCCCAACCAAAGCCCUGUUUUCUACUAGUGAGGGGCGAUGCUCUGCGGAGUUCUCCCUCUUGGGGGCGUUGUCGUGGAGCUUAGGUGUGCUAGGUCGUAGCGUGAGCAUGUUUUGUUCUUCUGGUACUUGUUGUUGGUAGCGUAGAAGCAUGCGUUUUGCAUGUGCCGGAUAUCUCAGGAUCGACUUUGUAAGGGCUACCAAACCAUAUUGUAUCAUUUGACCAUGUACAUCUUUGGAUAUUGCUUUGUUUAUAAAGCGGGGAAAAGCCUAUUUCGAGAACAACGAAAACAACAACAACAACAGCAAACAGAUCAACAACUUCAGAAUAGUUUUUCUUUUAAAAUUUCACUUGCUUAAUUAACUACAUGCAUAGGACUUUCUACAGUGUUUUAGAGAACAACAACUACGAUUUGCCUGCUAGCUAGCUAGUUAGGUAUUUCAACACAACAUCAACAGCAAGGAGAAGGAGAAGAACUGUUAACAACCAGGCAGGCAGGUGGAGAGUGAGUGUGUGAGAGUGAGGUCUCUCUGGCUCUUUCCUGUAUGGCUACUCCUACUUCCUUCGCUGACAAAGUCCUGUUCUGAAUCCGUAAUACUGAUUCACAGUAAUGAUGGUGGAUCGACUAUACCUUGACUAAUCCAUGUACAACAAAAAUUACUACGUACAUGAUUAAAAAUCCAAGGGUCAAAUCCUGAUCAAUCGAUCUGGCAAAUUCUGCAUGAAUCUAGCAUGACAUCAAGUGUGAUUAACAGGAGUUUCAAUUAUAAUUAGCCUCCGAGAAGCUACAUGGAGGAGGAUGUAGUCGUGUUUUGUGGCCUUGUCAGAAACUUCGCUUUCCUUCAAUCUGAAAACAAGUGGUAGAGGGUAAAAGAAUGAAAAAAAACAUGUGUAGAGGAUAAGCAACACAUAAAGGCCACACACACAAAAACAGGGGUAUGCUAGCUGGUCCAUGACAUUGACAAGUCAAUUGAUUUGCUGCAACCAUAUAUAUGAAGUGUAGUAUUAUGAACAUGUGUGUGAAACUUGGUUCAAAUUGAUGUACUAUUAACUCGGGAGUAAGGAUUAAUGACAAUUUAAUAUUUCAAUGGAGAGCCACAUGAGUUGUGCAACCUUCUUAUCUGACAUGGAUCUACAUCAAACUAGGUGUUAAUGUUCUCCACAAACUCCAUGUCAGAUUUCAUUGUUCAUUUAUAGUGAGAAUAAUUGAUUACUUAUGCACUUUUCGCCUUUGAUGUUCCACUCACAAAAUAAGUUUAACUACCAACUAUCUCCAAAAACAAUCUUAGCGGGACAAAAAGUAUCCUCUGACAAAUCACGACCCAUCAAACAAGGUUCAAAUUUGAAGGAAAAUGACCCCUUCAACUUGAGUCAAACAAAUAAUUUGCAUACAAUCAACCGAAAUCAUUAUGGGCUUCUUCAGCCCUCCACUCGAUACACACCUACGCAGGGAGUCCACCAUUGUCGCUACCGAACAACAUUUUUGGAGGCGCACAUUAUCACCCAUAAACACAAAAUAAAUCAAAACGCAAUACAAGCCUAAAAGCGGUCAGUUCCUAGGGCCAGAAAAAGCUUGUUGACCUGCAAUUGCACAUGGUUUAUUUUUCACCUAUUUAAGUAUGAGUAUAAAUCCCACAGGGAAUACAUGAAUUGGACUUUGUCCCUAAGAGACACUUAUGGUAAUGUGCCUGCAUAUUAGUUUUCGACACAAAGCAAAGUGAACGCCAAAGAUUAUAAUGACUUUUGAGUUUAGUGCGAACAAAAGUAAAUAAUGCAAAAGAAUUAAAAGAGUGCAGCGGAACGAAUAAAGCAGGGAAACCGGUGGAGGAUUGAAGCAUUCUCAAGGACUCCAUAAUUCCCAUUGCAGUGUGUCUAAGGUAACAUAUGCCACUUCAUAAUUCUAAGCUAGAUACUUGAGUCACUCUUGAAAUUUGUUAUUGGGCGUAUCUGGGUACAAAAUACGUUCUACUCGAGGUGUACUCCGUACCACGAAGGCCACCACGGAAGCUUCCCCACUCUGGUUCUCACUGCGGUAAUUAAGGGUUUCCCCGUGGAAGCGGCCUUAUCAAGGGUUCUCCGUUAUGCCCCUAUCAGUUGCAAAGGCGAGGUAGAGAGUCUUUUACACUCACCUUGAAUUACCUCAACAUCCUAACCUUUACAACCAUGGUAAUAUGCCUCGUGUCCUUGCGACAGAAAUGGUGAGUGGGGCACCUUCACAAAAUUCAUGAAGGCUAUUGAAAAAACAUUCAACAGAGAAUAUCACAUCCUUAUUAACAUUUCAGCCUCCUAUACAUACCAUGGUUCAUCCAUAUCCCUGAGAACUGAGGAAACUACUCACACGUUGAGACAUGGAUGAAACAUCGGAUAAUACAUGUAUGGAUCGUACGAAUAGUGGAUAUAGCGGUGGUAAACAUGGUUUAAACACACGGAUAAUACAUGUAUGGAUCCACAAGGUUUUGGUAUUACAAUGGGAAGGAGAUGGAUGAUGCUGACGUCCCCUUGCACGAGCUGGUGGUGAUAGUGAUCUCCUCCUUUCCUUAAAUCUGCAAGCACAUUUAAAACAACAUCUUGGAGAGAACAGGAAAAAAGAAUUGUGCAGACGCGGUAAAAGCUAGCAAAUUUUACUGUGUAGGCGGGCUUGUGAUGGCUGUGGCAGUGUGGAUCUGACUACCGAGUUGUGACAAGCUGUGUGGGGCGAUGGUGGCGGUCCUCCCUCUUCUGAGCGUGAUAGCUGGCGACGGUGGGUUUCGACAGUCCCUCUCACGGGUGUGGAGGCGGGUCAAGGGGCGGUGAGUGUUGGCCGUGGUUUAGGCUGGCACUGGCGGAUCUGGGCAGGGGGAUUCAAUGGAGAGGCGGGGCUGGCAUUGGUGCGACUUCUCAGCGAGUAGAGUUGCCGGCUGUUCGGAGCGCCCCCACACAAGUUUUAGUGCUUAGUCGCCUUGGAUUAGGGUUUUUUGACUCUGGGUCGUUGUCGGUCAAGCCAAGGUGAAUGCUUGCAGCUCGGUUGGGGGAGGCACCUCCACACAUUGUAGUGUCGGUGAUGAUUGGUAGAUGUGGUGGUCAGGGCUAUGAUAUGCCGGCUGGUGGACCAGUGCCACAGUUCGCAGACUUGGCAUCUACGCACUGAUGCCAGGCUUUACUUGCUGCGAUUUGUGCAUUGUGAAGCGAGCGGGUCUAGGUGGUGCUCAGUGGUGAUGGUUGUGUUAGCAUUGCAUUCGUGCGCGGAUCAGUGCCGGUGAUCGCAAACAUGGCGUGGUGCGAGCUCGCCUGGCCAAGGGCUCGGUGCUGGCUCGCCGGCGGUCCCCCUACUCCACCGACCAUUGGCUGGGGAUGCAGGUGUGGGUGCGUCCUACGGUGGAGGUGCCCAACCAAACUCUUGGACCGAGUCUGGGCUAGGAGUAGAUGGAGUGUUGUCGCUCUUCCUACCAUGGUUGGCUACGUUGUCAUGUGAGCGGCGUAUGGUAUUUCGCGACAAGGAUGCCGGGUUGGCGGCCCCUGAUGGCGGGCCGCAUGAUUGCUCUUUGGCAGGCAUUAUUUCGUUGGUGGUGGCUCCCCUCCUGGGUUGUGGGGGCAACGGGAGGUGUUGCGGUUAGUAGCUCAGACGUGCCCUCUCUCUAGGAGGGGCAGUGUCCUGAUCAAGAUCUGGGGAUCUAACAUCAACGCGCUAGUCCUGAGGACCUCGUGGUGGCACAGGUGAGUUCUCGAGCAAAAGCUCCGUGCCUUGGCGUCGCCGCCAACGACACUCAUGGGUGCCGCACUCUUCUUGAAGACGUCGUUGUGGUUCUUCUCUCCGUGUCAGGGCUCCGGGUGUAGACCUUUGUCUGGUGUGGACUCAGCAGGGGCGACGCUGUGCAGAGUUCUCCCUCUUGGGGCCGUUGUCGUGGAGCUUAGGUGUGCUAGGUCGUAGCGUGAGGAUGUUUUGUUCUUCCGGUGCUUGUUGCCGGUAGCGUAGAAGCGUGCGUUUUGCAUGUGCCGAACAACUCAGGACCGACUUUGUAAGGUCUACGUGACCAUAUUGUAUCAUUUGGCCGUGUGCAUCUUUGGAUGUUGCUUUGUUUAUAAAGCGGGGCAAAAGCCUAUUUCGACAACAACGAAAACAACAGCAACAACAAACAAAUCAACAACUUCAGAAUAGUUUAUCUUUUAAAAUUUCACUUGCUUAAUUAACAACAUGCAUAGGACUUUCUAAAGUGUUUUAGAGAAGGACAACUACGAUUUGCUAGCUAGCUAGUUAGGUAUUUCAACACACCAUUAACAGCAAGGAGAAGGAGAAGAACUGUUAACUGCCAGGCAGGCAGGUGGAGAGUGGGUGUGUGAGAGUAAGUCUCUCUGGCUUUUUCCUGUAUGGCUACUCCUACUUCCAUCGCUGACAAAGACCUGUUCUGAAUCUGUAAUACUGAUUCACAGUAAUGAUGGUGGAUCGACUAUAUCUUGACUAAUCCAUGUACAACGAAAAUUACUACGUACAUGAUUAAAAAUCCAAGGGUCAAAUCCUGCUCAAUCGAUCCGGCAAAUUCUGCACGAAUCUAGCAUGACAUCAUGUGUGAUUAACAGGAGUUUCAAUUAUAAUUAGCCUCCGAGAAGCUACAUGGAGGAGGAUGUUGUCGUGUUUUUGGCCUUGUCAGAAACUUCGCUUUCCAUCAAUCUGAAAACAAGUGGUAGAGGGCAAAAAAAAAUAAAAAAACAUGUGUAGAGGAUACCGCAACACAUAAAGCCACACACACAAAAACAGCAGUAUGCUAGCUGGUCCAUGACAUUGACAAAUCAAUUGAUUUGCUGCAACCAUAUGUACGAAUAAUAUCGCCAAGGAUAAGAGAAGGAGAAAAAAAUAUAAAUAUACCGAUAGGCUCUUCUUUUGUUCAUGGAUGCAUGUUGCAUGAGCCAAGUGUAUUGGCAGUAUGGCUUGUGUUUGCUGCAUGAUGGCGGCAGGUUCCCAUUCAGUUAGGCAUGCUAAGUCCUAAAUUCAUUUAUUCACGUAUCGGGUAGAAGGAGAACAAAUUUCAUUUCUUUUCUGUAGGUUCCUUGCUUAAAAGAAAAUAGAAAAAAAGACACUUCUAUAAUUACCAGAAAAAAUCAACUGUAUGUCGCUCAGUCUUCCCUUUUUGUUCGGUAUCAGUACCAACAAUCAUAGUACUAAUAGCUUUCUAUACUGGCGGUAGUAAAUUCAAUAAAAGAAACCUGGAGACUAUCUGAACAAUUUGAAACAAUAUGUACAAACUGAGAUCAACUAACGACAGAAAUCCAAAAGAAAUGUUCAUGUCUACGUGGAGUGAAUCGAUCAAGCCGUGCAAAGCCCUAACAAUUCGUUUUGUAUUAAUAACUCAUAUGACAAUACAACCGCUCCAUAUGAAAAGGUAAUAUGAUGAUUCAUGAAUGCUUAUCCAUCUUAUAAAUAUAUUGUGCAAAAAAUAUCGAGUUAGUUCAGAGAAAACGAUGUCUAGAACAAUCUUCACAUUAAUAGUGUGAUCUAUCUCAAUGACUCACACAAGAUUACAUAGUUUGUUCCCUUAAGUAUGGCAAUCUGGAUACGCCUAACAAUAUGUAGAACAUGACAAACUAAAUCAGAACAAGGGACAAAAUCCAGAUCAAUGUUUGAAGUGUAAAGUGAAUACGAUGAGUCAUUUGUCGUUAUCAAGCAUUCCAUACACCUAGAUGAUAUGUGCAAGAACAAUCAACUAUGACGAACAAUCCAAAAUCAUGAUAGUAAGUAGUACCAUAAAACACGACAUACCAAAUUAUUGUAAAUGAUAAGCUUAAGAGCACUUUUUCAAGAAGCACGUGUGAAGAUUACAAACUUAGUUCCCUUAAGUUAUGCCAAUCUGGAUACACCUAACAACAUGUAGAACAUGACAAACUAAAUCGGAAAGACGGACAAAAUCUAGAUCAAUGUUUGAAGUGUAAAGUGAAUACGAUGAGUCAUUCGUCAUGAUCAAGCAUUCGAUACAGCCAGAUGAUAUGUGCAAGAACAAUCAACUAUGAUGAACAAUCGAAAAUCAUGCUAGGAAGUAGUGCCACCAAACACAACAUACCAAAUUAUUAGGUCGAUAGUCUUAAGUGCACUUUUUCAAGAAAGGAGUGGGAAGAUGAAAACAAAAUAUGUCAUGCCUGCUAUAAUUACGACUACACCAUGUGGGUCUCUUCCAUCAUCUAACCUUCAAGAACCUAGAGCAAAAACACCAAAGCCAAGUGAGCAAUAGUAAACACAAAUCAAACAUGAAGACCUUCAUCAUAUUUGUCCUCCUUGCUAUGGUGAUGAGCAUCGCCAGUGCCACUAGGCAACUAAGCCCUAGAGGCAAGGAGUUGCAAACACCACAAGAACAAUUCCCCCAACAGCAAUUCCCUCAACCACAACAAAUCCUCCAACAACAAUUCCCCCAACAACAACAAAUCCCCCAGCAACCGCAACAAUUCCCCCAACAGCAAAUCCCACAACAGCAAAUCCCGCAACAACAAUUCCCCCAACCACNNNNNNNNNNNNNNNNNNNNNNNNNNNNNNNNNNNNNNNNNNNNNNNNNNNNNNNNNNNNNNNNNNNNNNNNNNNNNNNNNNNNNNNNNNNNNNNNNNNNNNNNNNNNNNNNNNNNNNNNNNNNNNNNNNNNNNNNNNNNNNNNNNNNNNNNNNNNNNNNNNNNNNNNNNNNNNNNNNNNNNNNNNNNNNNNNNNNNNNNNNNNNNNNNNNNNNNNNNNNNNNNNNNNNNNNNNNNNNNNNNNNNNNNNNNNNNNNNNNNNNNNNNNNNNNNNNNNNNNNNNNNNNNNNNNNNNNNNNNNNNNNNNNNNNNNNNNNNNNNNNNNNNNNNNNNNNNNNNNNNNNNNNNNNNNNNNNNNNNNNNNNNNNNNNNNNNNNNNNNNNNNNNNNNNNNNNNNNNNNNNNNNNNNNNNNNNNNNNNNNNNNNNNNNNNNNNNNNNNNNNNNNNNNNNNNNNNNNNNNNNNNNNNNNNNNNNNNNNNNNNNNNNNNNNNNNNNNNNNNNNNNNNNNNNNNNNNNNNNNNNNNNNNNNNNNNNNNNNNNNNNNNNNNNNNNNNNNNNNNNNNNNNNNNNNNNNNNNNNNNNNNNNNNNNNNNNNNNNNNNNNNNNNNNNNNNNNNNAACAACAAUUCCCCCAACAACAAUUCCCCCAGCAACCACAACAACAAUUCCCCCAACAACAAUUUCCCAUACCAUACCCACCCCAACAACAAUCACAAGAAGCUUCCCCAUACCAACAAUACCACAACAACACCUAUCUGGGAACGACGUUAUAAGUAUCAGUGGCCGAUGAAAUAAAGAGAUGUACUACUAGACAGGUGAAUCAUCGUUGUUAGUCAAUGGAGCAUAAUGUAACGGGUAUAAAUAAAAUGAUGUGCACCAUCAUGUGUAACCCCGACAUGUACUAGUUCAAACAUGGGAAUAAAAGACAAAUAAGUUCUUUUCUGAAGCACAUUGCUGGCAAUCGUUAUAUUCAUGCCAUAUUUCGAUUUCCAUCGGUAACUCCAAUCUCAAUGUUAUGGUCUAUCUACUUAUUUAUGAAGUGUAGUAUUAUGAACAUAACAUAAUUAACAUGUCUGAAAAUUGGCUCAAAUUGAAGUACUACUAAUUCAAGAGUAAGGAGUAAUUACAAUUUAACAUUUCAAUGGAGAGCUCUAAUUGUAGACUGCGUUGUUAAUUCCCCGAAGAGGAAAGGAUGAUGUAGUAUAGUAGAGAUAAGUGUUUCCCUCAGCUAAGAACCAAGGUUAUCAAUCCAGUAGGAGAACCGCACAAAACCUCGUUAGCAGCACCUGCACACACAAAAGCAAACACUUGCACCGAACGCAAAUAAGAGGGUUGUCAAUCCUCUUAGCGAUUAUUUGCAAGGAUUAGUUCUGACAGUGAUACAUAGAUAAAAUAAAUUACUAAAUAAAAUAAAAAUAAAUAAAUUGCAGCAAUGUAUUUUUGUGCUUUUAUAUAUGAUAAAAGUAGACCCGGGGGGGGCAUAGUUUUCACUAGAGGAUUCUCUCUUGAUCAUAAAACAUAUGGUGGGUAAACACAUUACUGUUGGGCAAGCUAUUAUAUACUAAAAGGAAAAUACUGGUCCAAAAUAGAGAAUAGGCUAGAAAAUCUGGCGUUAAUUAGAAAAUAUGAACCCUUGAUCCGUUUAAUUUUAAAAAUUAUAAAUCUAUGACCGUUCAAUAUACGUAACAAGGUCGGGCGUGGAUAACUUCCCGCGUAACGUGACACAUGUAAGAAACACAAACAUGAGUCCAGUUAAGGCAAACACGUAGAUGUGUUGAAGUGGGAAUGAAUAGAAUUGCUACGUCCGAAUAUGCAAGAGAUAGAAAAGAUGAAGAAAACUAAAGAACAUGUCGUGUUCAGAUUGGACUAAACGUAUGUGCGUAUACAACCACAACCACAAUCCGAAAGAUCCAGCCAUUAAUCCCGUGGGUCCAUCCAAAACAAAAGGUGGAUAUCCAUCUAAUUGCCCCACGUCCAUGGAACAUACUUAUUAGAGUCCACAAACAGUAGCCGCUGGUCUCUUUUACGUGAUCCUCCUUGCACUGUUAGGACUUUGCCGUCGGACAUCCUUAAGUUCUUGUGAAGUUCACAUCUAAAAAUACUAUCAUAGUAAAAAAAUCCAUUUCAUACUCCAAGAAAGAUAUCACCAUCCCAAAGUUUCAAUUGCAAUCUAAGUUUUGCCACAACUGGGUAUUUAAAACUUAUUUUACCACAGCUCGGCAAUUUCAGCCACUAAGGUUUUUGUGGCAGAUGAAGCAUCUUCCCAUUGGAAACUCCCAACUGUAAAAAGACUAGCAAAUUAGCAAUCAUUGGCAAAUCAGCAAUCUUAUAGCGGCAGCAGCUCCCAUCAAUCAGGUAACUCAUCUUCCAAAAAUCAGAGACAAUAAGCAACCAUACACAUCAUGCACAUAUGAUAUUAACAUAAUUACAUAUGUGAUUUCUGUGUUGAAUUUCGUACAACAUUACCAUGAAGAGAAGCGCAUCCACAUGGCAAGUAAUUUCCAAAAGCCGCCAAAAAGGUGAAAAGCAAUCAAAUAUGCAAUCCAACAAGUUAAUUAUUAAGCUAUAGACCAUGCAUGUUUCAGUGGUGCAUACAAGAUCAGUAGAACAAAUUCCUAGCCGUUACGACAUUCAUCAGGGAGGCGAGGACUAUGAAGCGACGGGUUGCGAGCUGGAGGGAAUGGCGGCGCACCCCGUGUCUCAGCCGAGAGAGGAGAGGCCGGGGAUAGAAUUAAGAGAGACACGAGUGAUGUCAGAUGAUAGGCUAGGGAUCGUUGGGCGUUCUCACAUAUUGCGUGGAGGAGGUUAGCUAAAUGGGCCAGCACAAAGGCCCAGUCAACCGCAGGUGGCAGAGUUUUCUCCCAGUGCAGCAGCCCUUUAGGACAGUUGAGCCAAGAAAUAUAGUUACAAAAUUAGGAAUUCAUCCAACAGUCAGAAAUGAUCUAUACAAGUGAUCUGAUAGUUACAAAUGUUGAAUGCUUGAGAGAGCUGGGAUAAGGCUAAGUUUUACUGUCCUAAAUGUAUUAGAUAUGUAGAAUCUGACAGUUAUUAAAGUUUAAUUGUCCUUCAGAAAAAACUAUGGCUAAUCACCACUACGCUAAUUACUUUUUACAAUUGUUGUACAUGAAUGGGGGUUAGGCAAGCGUAACACUGCUGAUGAGGGUCCCAAACCCGAUAAAGGUGGAGGGUGCAUAAUCAAAUUAACAUCUAACACUAACAUGCAAUACCUUUUAAGUUCAUAUAUUGAUUCAAUCGCAAAAGGGAAAAAUGAAACAAAAGUAGGCAGCGGGACCUGGAAGUCAACAGAGGAAACAGAAGGGUAUGCUCAUCGUGUGGAAUCGUUUGUGGGGGGCGAGCUGAGUAAACAGAGGAAGGUGAUCGAACGACGUCUCAGGUUUAUUUGUUUACUGAACAGACAGACAUGUGUAAGUUUUUUUUCCCUUUGAGGGGAAAGACGUGUGUAACUAGGGAGGGAUGAUUUUGCACGUUCUGUAUUUUUUUCCACCAGAAAACAGAUACUACUUUAACAAAUAAAUCCUACACUAAAUAUUUUAUAUGCUGCAAAUUAUAGGCCACAUACGCAUGAGCCUAAAUUAUAGGCGACUAUUUCAUAGGGUGAAAGUAAACAAAAUAGAAAAUCUUAUAGGCGACAUGAGCAUGAACCUAAAUUAUAUAUUUUAUAUGCUGCAAAUUAUUUUAAAAACAUGUGAAAAUAUAGUGCAUGAUCAUCAGACCAAAAACUCUAGCCUGUACAAAACACUCAUAUUUAGACGUAUAUUUCAUAUGGAGCUGCCAAUUCAUAUCAAUCCGGCACUACAACAGUAACACUAUCGUGCAGCCGCUUAAGUCAAAUCUAAAGUUAAAGCUAAUCAACACAAAAUAUCCAAUGUAAAAGGAAUUACUUAUACUAAAAAUAUAAAAUAUACCUAAGAGUGCGAAAGAUGACGAAUAUUUACUAUAAGAGUGCUAGCCCUCGCAUUUGCGAGGGCCACCUUGCUAGUUGAUAAAAAACAAAUAAUUAUGAUGGAUUCAUGGCAAUGAUCAUGUAUAUAGGCAUCACGUUCGAGACAAGUAGACCGACUCCCGUCUGCAUCUACUACUAUUACUCCACCCAUCGACCGCUAUCCAGCAUGCAUCCAGAGUAUUAGGUAUAAAACAGAGUGACGCCUUAAGUACGAUGACAUGAUAUAGAUAAAGUAAAUUCAAGAAAUAUGAUUAAACCCCAUCUUUUUAUCCUUAAUUGUCAGCCCAUUGGCUGUUAUUUUCCCCGAUCUGACCAUCCGUGACGCUCCUGUUGUUCGCAACGCUACCGCUACGACUGCGGGAGCAUGUCAUUUUCGUUAUACAUGUAACCCAAAAAUAUCUCUAACAUUAAUGACAACAAUACAAAUACGUGUUAUGUCCCUUUUUGUCACUGGGAUUGAGCAAUGCAAGAUUGAAUCCAUCACAAAGCACCUCUCCCCAUUGCAAGAUAAACCAAUCUAGUUGGCCAAACCAAAUCGAUAGAUCAGGGAGAAAUAUAAAGCUAAAAUAAUCACGCAUAAAAGAGCUCAGAGAAGACUCAAAUAUUUCUCAUGAAUCAUAUGAUCAUAAACUCACGAUUCAUUGGAUCCCAACAAACACACCGGAAAAGAAGAUUACAUCGGAUAGAAAUCCAAGAACAUCGGGGAUAACUUUGUAUUGAAUAUCAAAGAGAGAGAAGAAGCCAUUUAGCUACUGGCUAUGGACCCAUAGGUGUGUGGUAAAAUACUCACACAUCAUCGGAAGGGCAGCAUGGUUUAUGUGGAAGCCCUUCGUGAUCGAUUCCCCCUCCGGCAGAGUACUGGAAAAGGCCUCCCGACGGGAUCGCGGAAAAACAGAGGCUUGCGGCGGAGAAAAAGUUUUCUCAUCUAUCUCUCUGGUGGUUAUGGAAUAUUUGUGAUUUAUAGUGGAAGAAUUAGGUCAGGAGGUGCCACGAGGGGGCCAUAAGCCUAGGGGCGCGGUGAUACGUCCAUUUUGCAUCAUGUUUUAUUACAGUUAUUUAUUAAGUUUUGAGCUAAUAUAACACUUCAUGGAGUAUUUCUAAUGCAUUUUCUCUCUUAAUAUGCAAGGUUUACACAAAGAGGGAGAAUACCGGCAGCUGGAUUUCAGGGCCUGAAAAAGCUACAUCAGAGAUCCCUAUUCUGCACAUCUCCAAAUGGGCUGAAAAUUCACGAAGAUUUAUUUUAGAAUAUAAAAAAAUACUGGGCCAAAGAUCCACGGGAGGAGGCCACCCAGGUGCCCACACAGCAAUAGGGCGCGCCCCACCCCUAGGGCGCGCCCUGAUGCUGUAUGAGGCCCCUGGCCCAAUUCAGGCCCCCUCCUUCUGGUAUAUAAGUCAUUUUACCAUAAAAUAUUUAUGGGGAGACUUUCAGGACGAGGCGCCGCUGCCACGAGGCGGAACUAGAGCAGGAGAAAUUUGGCUCUCCGGCGUGCAGAUUCCGCCGGGGAUACUUCCCUCCGGGUGGUGGAAAUCGAAGCUUACGUCAUCACUAACAACCCUCUCAUCGUGGGAGGACCAAUCUUCAUCAUCAUAAACCACAACACCAUCUCAUCUCUAUCCCUAGUUCAUAUCUUGUAUUCGAUCUCUGUGUCAAAACAUUAGAUUGGUACUUGUGUUUGACUAGUAGUGUUGAUUACUUAUCGUAGUUGAUGCUAGUGGAUUUGUUUGGUGAAUUACCAAAUGUUCUGAUCGUGCAUCCAAAUUAUAUUCUCUCUGAUCAUGAACAUGAUGAUGAUGUGUGAGUAGUUACUUUUAUUCUUGAGGACAUGGGAGAAGUCUUGUCAUUAGUAAUCAUGUGAUUCCGGUAUUCGUUCAAUAUUUUGAUGAUAUGUAUGUUGUGAUUCUCUUAGUGGUGUCAUAUGAACGUCGACUACAUGACACUUCACCAUUGAUGGGCCUAAGGGAACUCAUUGUGGAGUAGUAAUUAGAUGAUGGGUUGCUAGAGUGACAGAAGCUUAAACCCCAGUUUAUGCACUAUUCCGUAAGGGGCUGAUUUGGAUCCACUAGUUUAAUGCUAUGGUUAGACUUUGUCUUAAUUCUUUUUUCUUAGUUGCGGAUGUCGGUGUCAAAACCGACAGAUCUCGGGUAGGGGGUCCCAAGCUGUGGGUCUAGGAUCAAUAGGUAACAGUGACGAUGAACACGGUGUUUUACCCAGGUUCGGGCCCUCUGGAUGGAGGUAAAACCCUAUGUCCUGCUCUUGUUUGUAUUGAUGAAGUAUCAAGGUACAGAGUUGAUCUACCUCGAGAUCAUAUGUUCUGGUCUAAACCCUAGGGGUAUGAUCAGUAAUGUCAUAAUGAUGAUAAUAAUCUAUCGACUAGCCUGGCCUCGGCUUAUAUAAUGUACCAGAGGCCUAGGAUAACAAGACACCUAGUUAGCUAUGUUGGUGGAGAGGAGUCCUUGUCUUGGUCACCAAGUCUUGUGGAAUCUUUCCUGUAUAUGUCAUCGGUUGUCCGAACUGGCCCAUUAGUGAGGUCCUCGGUCCGACCCACUGGUCGGGAGACAACGUGGUGAGUACCCCCUAGUCCAGGACACCGUCAGCGGAUGCUUGCGAGAGGGGGUAAUCAUAAGUGGGAGGCUUGUUCAAGUAAGAACAGCACCCAAGCACCGGUCCACCCACAUAUCAAAUCAUCAAAGUAGCGAAAGCGAAUCGAAUGAACAUGAUGAAAGUGACUAGAUGAAAUUCCCGUGUGUCCUCAAGAACGCUUUUCUCAUUAUAAGUACUAGUUCUGGCCUGUCCUUUGCACUAAAAAGGAUUGGGAUAUCUUGCUGCACUUUAUUUACAUUUGUCACUUGCUACUCGUUACCAAUUAUCUUGCUAUCAGACUACUCGCUACCGCUUGUUUCAGUGUUUGCAAAAAUAUCGUUAUUGAAAACCGCAAGUCAUUUCCUUUUUCUUCUCGUUGGGUUCGACACUCUUACUUAUCGAAAGGACUAUGAUUGAUCCCCUAUACUUGUGGGUCAUCACGCGGCCACCCACCUGGGGCGCUCCGUCCCUAGCUUAUCACUCCCUCGAGACUCCUCGGGUCUUCCCCGAAGCUUCCAGGGUCUCUUUUGGUCCAGAAAACUUAAUCCAAUGUUUUUCUGUGUUUGUACCUUUUUUAUAAUGAUAUUAUAAAAUGAUAAAAACAAGCAAAAAAUAACAACUGGCACUAGGCACUACGUUAAUAGGUUAGUCCCAAAAAAUGAUACAAAAAUAGCAAAAAGUUGCAUAUAAAACAUCCAAGAAUGAUAAUAUAAUGGCACGAAACAAUAAAACAUUACAGAUAGGAGGCGUAUCAAGCAUCCCCAAGCUUAUUUCUUGCUCGUCCUCGAGUAGGUAAAUGAUAAAAACAAAAUUUUUGAUGUGGAAUGCUACCUAACAUGUUUCAUCAUGUAAUCUCUCUUACGGUAUGAAUAAUAAGAUCCGAAUGAUUCAAAGCAAUAGUCUAUAAUUUGAUAUAAAGACAUCAAUACUCAGGCAUACUAACAAACAAUCAUGCCUUUCAAAAUAACGAUGCUAACCCAAGUUAUCCCUACAAAAUCAUAUAAUCCUAUCAUGCUCCAUCUUCUUAACACAAAGUAUUUAUGAUGCACUACCCCAAUGACAAUCCAGGCAAUUGGUUCAUACUUCUUAACGUGCUUCAGCUUCAACCCCCGCGCAAUACAUGAUGGCAAGCCAAGGACAUAACACUAUGGAUGGAAUAGAACAUGAUGAUAGAGAUCAAUAAGGGGAAAUCCAAAAUAAGAAGAUAGUCUCACAUCAAUGCGGCUAACAAACGGGCUAUAGAGAUGCCCAAAAAUUGAUGUCAAUGCAAGGAGUAGGGAUUCCCAUGCAACGGAUGCACUAAGAAGGCACCCAAGGUAAUAUCCAAGGAGACUCCAGCGUCGAAGCUUGGGGAUGCCCCGGAAGGCAUCCCCUCUUAAUUCUAAUGACUAUCAGUAACGCACUUGAGGCAACAUUUUUACUCAUCACAUGAUAUGAGUUUUUCUUGGAGCGUCUUGUAUGAUAUGAGUCUUUGCUUUGUUUAUUUUUAGUUUAUCACAAUCAUCACCUCUGAACGCAUUUGCUUGAGAUAGCUUCACGUCAUCAUGAUUUACUUGAAUUGCCCUUUGUGCUUCACUUAAAUUUGUUGAGCUAGGUGGUUGCUCUAGUGCUUCAUUUAUAUCUUUUUUAACACGGUGGUGCUUUUGUUUUGAAGAAACUUGUUCUCAUGCUUCACUUAUAUCUUUUUGAGAAUGCUAGAAAUUUUAUAAAAAUAUUAGUCUCAUGCUUCACUUAUAUCUUUUUGAGAGUUCGAAAUUAGUUAUGGUAAAAUGUACAAGCUAUAAGCUUGGUCUCCAUAUGAUGAAUAUUCAAGAAGGAUAAUGAUAACUAGUAUAAAAAAUUUAUGGGACAUGAAUAACUUGAUUCUUUGCAACAAUUUUGAGAUAUGUAGAUGAUAAUACGUGAGUUAUGUUCAUGAAUAAUUAUACUCUAGUAUGAAUAUUGAUGUUAAGGUUUAUGAUUCCCUAUGCAAGCACGUAAAGUCAAUAGUUAUGCAAUGAAGUUACAUCCUACUUGUGGUGCAUUAUUCGGUGUUGGUUAUGUUUUAUGUAUGCAUGUGCAUCAUUACAGUUUCUUAGUUGGUCGCUUCUCAACCAUUUUGCUAGCCUCCAUUCGUACUAAGCGGGAAUACUGCUUGUGCAUCCAUUACCUUAAACUUGUUUUGCCAAUUGUGUCCAUCAUACCUACAUAUAUACGGUAUUUCAUUGCCGUCCCAAGUAAAUUUGCAUGUGCCAUCUCUAAUAAUUUUCAAAAUAAACUUCUCUUUUGUGUGCCUGUGUUGCUCAUGAAGUGAUAAGGGGUGGACGAUGAAUUUCGUGUUGUAUAUGUCAUUUUCAUGAUGAGUGUUUAUUCACUUGUCAUUGCACGAGAGUGUGGCGGUAAUAAAAGGGAUGCCCAGUCCCAAAAAUAAAUUGAAUUUCCUGGAAUGUGUUGUUAUGGAGGGCACCCGUGAAUACGGCUAGACAUGGAUUGUGAAAGGAAAGGUGGAAAAACUAACUCCUUCGGAUGUGAAUGGAAAAAAGGGACAAAAGUCUCAAAACCAUGGAACGAUGACAGGGAGCAAACAAUUUCUUUUCAGUUUGGGAGCCGCCUUUGAUGUAUAUAACUUGGAUGGUAUCGAAAGCCUUGAGUCGUUGUCGUUGACGAGAAAAGCAGGCCUCCCAAAAUAAUUUUUUAUCUCUUUUUAAAACUUGAGGUCUGGCACCACUGUAAAUCAAUGCUUCCCUCUGCGAAGGUCGUUCUAUUUAUUUUUAUGUUGAGUCUCAUCCUUCUCAUUAAAAAACCAACUAGGGGGUCAUGUGAUCAUGUGUGCGCAUGGAGUAUGAUUGACAUUCGACUGUGUUUCAUAAAUGGAUCAAUGGUUGAGCAUAAUGGGCUAGGGAUAAUUUUCUUUAGCAUUGUUAUUUUGAAAGGCAUGGUUGCGUGUUAGCAUUGGAGGGGGUAUAUAUAGCCACCUCAUCGGUCCCGGUUUGUGGCUGGAACCGGGACUAAAGGCCACCCUUCUGUCCUGGUUCUAGGCACGAACCGGGACCAAUGGCUGUGGGCUAGGAACGAGGACCAUUGGUCCCAUUCGUGCCUAGAACCGGGACAAAUGGGUACACACGAACCGGGACAAAUGCCUGCCGAGGACCGGCCGGCCCCCUGGGCGCACGAACCGGGACGUAUGACCCCCAUGGGUCCCGGUUCGUGACUGAACCGGGACUAAUGGGCUGGCCAGGCCCCAACCAAAGCCCUGUUUUCUACUAGUGAGGGGCGACGCUCUGCGGAGUUCUCCCUCUUGGGGGCGUUGUCGUGGAGCUUAGGUGUGCUAGGUCGUAGCGUGAGCAUGUUUUGUUCUUCUGGUACUUGUUGCUGGUAGCAUAGAAGCAUGCGUUUUGCAUGUGCCGGAUAUCUCAGGAUCGACUUUGUAAGGGCUACCAAACCAUAUUGUAUCGUUUGACCAUGUACAGCUUUGGAUGUUGCUUUGUUUAUAAAGCAGGGCAAAAUCCUAUUUCGAGAAUAAAGAAAACAACAGCAACAGCAAACAGGUCAACAACUUCAGAAUAGUUUUUCUUUUAAAAUUUCACUUGCUUAAUUAACUACAUGCAUAGGACUUUCUACAGUGUUUUAGAGAAGGACAACUAUGAUUUGCUAGCUAGUUAGGUAUUUCAACAGAACAUUAACAGCAAGGAGAAGGAGAAGAACUGUUAACAACCAGGCAGGCAGGUGGAGAGUGAGUGUGUGAGAGUGAGGUCUCUCUGGCUUUUUCCUGUAUGGCUACUCCUACUUCCUUCGCUGACAAAGACCUGUUCUGAAUCCGUAAUACUGAUUCAUAGUAAUGAUGGUGGAUCGACUAUACCUUGACUUAUCCAUGUACAACAAAAAUUACUACGUACAUGAUUAAAAAUCCAAGGGUCAAAUCCUGAUCAAUUGAUCCAGCAAAUUCUUCAUGAAUCUAGCAUGACAUCAAGUGUGAUUAAUAGGAGUUUCAAUUAUAAUUAGCCUCCGAGAAGCUACAUGGAGGAGGAUGUAGUCGUGUUUUGUGGCCUUGUCAGAAACUUCGCUUUCCAUCAAUCUGAAAACAAGUGGUAGAGGGCAAAAGAAUGAAAAAAAACAUGUGUAGAGGAUACGCAACACAUAAAGGCCACACACACAAAAACAGCGGUAUGGUAGCUGGUCCAUGACAUUGACAAGUCAAUUGAUUUGCUGCAACCAUAUAUAUGUACGAAUAAUAUCGCCAAGGAUAAGAGAAGGAAAAAAUAUAAAUAUACCGAUAGGCUCUUAUUUAGUUCCUGGAUGCAUGUUGCAUGAGCCAAGUGUAUCGGCAGUAUGGCUUGUGUUUGCUGCAUGAUGGCGGCAGGUUCCCAUUCAGUUAGGCAUGCUAAGUCCUAAAUUCAUUUAUUCACGUAUCGGGUAGAAGGAGAACAAAUUUCAUUUCUUUUCUGUAGGUUCCUUGCUUAAAAGAAAAUAGAAAAUAUACACUUAUAUAAUUACGAGAAAAAAUCAACUGUAUGUCGCUCAGUCUUCCCUUUUUGUUCCGUAUCAGUAUCAACAAUCAUAGUACUAAUAGCUUUCUAUACUGGCGCUAGUAAAUUCAAUAAAAGAAACAUGGAGACUAUCUGAACAAUUUGAAACAAUAUAGACAAACUGAGAUCAACUAACAACAGAAAUCCAAAAGAAAUGUUCAUGUCUACGUGGAGUGAAUCGAUCAAGCCGUGCAAAGCCCUAACAAUUUGUUUUGUAUUAAUAACUCAUAUGAUAAUACAACUCCUCCAUAUGAAAAGGUAAUAUGAUGAUUCAUGAAUGCUUAUCCAUCUUAUAAAUAUAUUGUGCACAAAAUAUCGAGUUAGUUCAGAGAAAACGGUGUCUAGAACAAUCUUCACAUUAAUAGUGUGAUCUAUCUCAAUGACUCACACAAGAUUACAAAGUUUGUUCCCUUAAGUAUGCCAAUCUGGAUACGCCUAACAAUAUGUAGAACAUGACAAACUAAAUCAGAACAAGGGACAAAAUCUAGAUCAAUGUUUGAAGUGUAAAGUGAAUACGAUGAGUCAUUUGUCGUUAUCAAGCAUUCCAUACACCUAGAUGAUAUGUGCAAGAACAAUCAACUAUGACGAACAAUCCAAAAUCACGAUAGUAAGUAGUACCAUAAUACACAACAUACCAAAUUAUUGUAAAUGAUAAGCUUAAGAGCACUUUUUCAAGAAGCAAGUGUGAAGAUUACAAACUUAGUUCCCUUAAGUUAUGCCAAUCUGGAUACACCUAACAACAUGUAGAACAUCACAAACUAAAUCGAAAGACGGACAAAAUCUAGAUCAAUGUUUGAAGUGUAAAGUGAAUACGAUGAGUCAUUAGUCGUGAUCAAGCAUUCGAUACAGCCAGAUGAUAUUUGCAAGAACACAACAUACCAAAUUAUUAGGUCGAUAAUCUUAAGUGCACUUUUUCAAGAAAAGAGUGGGAAGAUGAAAACAAAAUAUGUCAUGCCUGCUAUAAAUACGACUACACCAUGUGGGUCUCUUCCAUCAUCUAACCUUCAAGCACCUAGAGUAAAAACACCAAAGCCAAGUGAGCAAUAGUAAACACAAAUCAAACAUGAAGACCUUCAUCAUAUUUGUCCUCCUUGCUAUGGUGAUGAGCAUCGCCAGUGCCACUAGGCAACUAAGCCCUAGAGGCAAGGAGUUGCAAACACCACAAGAACAAUUCCCCCAACAGCAAUUCCCUCAACCACAACAAAUCCUCCAACAACAAUUCCCCCAACGACAACAAAUCCCCCAGCAACCGCAACAAUUCCCCCAACAGCAAUUCCCGCAACAGCAAAUCCCACAACAGCAAAUCCCGCAACAACAAUUCCCCCAACCACANNN